rnacentral:lncRNA from 1 species
CGCACUUUAUGAACCUGGACGCGCUCAUCCUCCCUCUUUCCCUCGCUGCCGGUGAAGCUGCGGGCGAGACAGGGGAGGAGGAGGAAGAAGAAGGGGAGGUGGGGAGCUGGUUAAGAUUUGGGGCCAGAGGAGCGAGGCCCAGGGCGGGGUGUGGAGGUUAAGAUUGGGGGGGCGCGGCGCGGGGGCGGGGACAAAUGGAGGGGAGCGCGGGGGANNNNNNNNNNNNNNNNNNNNNNNNNNNNNNNNNNNNNNNNNNNNNNNNNNNNNNNNNNNNNNNNNNNNNNNNNNNNNNNNNNNNNNNNNNNNNNNNNNNNNNNNNNNNNNNNNNNNNNNNNGGGGGGGGGGGGGGAGGAGAGGGAUGCGGGGGUGCGGCCGAGGAAGCGGUCUCCGCGCCGAAUCGCUGGGUGCCUCCGCUUAGCCUGGUCGCUACGCUCGCCGAGGGAGAAGAAGAGAACCAACGGUGGGUGGGGUGGGUGGGGGUGGACACGGUGUGCGCGCGCAUCAUUUCCUUCUUUAUUACCGCCCGCUCCUGCCCGGCCCCGGCACCGGCACCGGCAGCGGCAGCAGCAGCCAUCAUCACGCCCCGCCCCAUAAUUAAUUUCCUGGCUAAUCCCGCGUGCAAACUCGUUCAUCCAUUCAUUCAUCACAGUUUUCCACCGAGUACAAAUGUUUCUUCUCAGCAAAAAAUAUUAAACUUCUGUUAUAGACAGUGCAAACAGUUGAGUGUGUGUAAUCCGAUUCCAAAUGUGGGGAGUGAGAAUCUGAUGUGUAUCCUUGGCAGGGUCAGCUGUAUCGUCAUAAANNNNNNNNNNNNNNNNNNNNNNNNNNNNNNNNNNNNNNNNNNNNNNNNNNNNNNNNNNNNNNNNNNNNNNNNNNNNNNNNNNNNNNNNNNNNNNNNNNNNNNNNNNNNNNNNNNNNNNNNNNNNNNNNNNNNNNNNNNNNNNNNNNNNNNNNNNNNNNNNNNNNNNNNNNAGUAAGGCCAGCUUGAUUGAACGUGUGGUCGAAAAGGUUGGAACGCUUAUCACGAGGCGCACAGCAAGAAUCCGUCGUAUGUGCUUGGCGGGGCUAGCUGUAUCGUCAUAAAUGUAGGAAUUGUGCUACGCUGGUCGUAAGUAAGGCCAGCUUGAUUGGCACAGAGCUCACGCGUGGUCAAAAAUGUUGUAGCGCUUACUACGAGUCAUAGUAAGAAUCCGUUGUGUAUCCUUGGUAGGGUUAGUUCUGUGGUUAUAAAUGCAGGGGUUCUGUUACGCUGGUUGUAAGUAAGGCCAACUUGAUUGGAUGUAAUCUCAUGUACGGUCAAAAAGGUUGUAAUGCUUACUAUAAGGCGGAGAGUAAAAAUCCACCGUAUUGUUGGUUGUAUGGUCAUAAAUGUAUGGGUUGUGCUAUGUUGGUCAUAAAUAAGGCUCACUUGAUUCGAUAAAGAUUUCAUUUUUUUGUCAAUAGGGUAUAACUUGUGUUUGUCUACCUUUUUCUAUCGAUUGUUCUUACUUAAGGUCUUCUAUGUUAGCUUGACUAUGUGGUUCUUUGGUAAGGUGCAUCAAGCUAGAGGACAAUGCUGACAUCAUCAUAAAUGUAGGGGUUAUGCUAUGCUGGUGGCAAGUAAGGCUAGCUUGAUUCGAUGAAGAUAUCGCUUUUCAUAGAAAAGGUGCAACGGUUGUUUCGAGCCAGCCAAUAAGGAUUCAUCGUUUGCUUGGCAGGGCUAGUUGUGUCGCCAUAAAUGCAUGAGAUGUGCUACACUAGCGAAAGUAAGGCAUGCUCGAUUCGGAAAAGGUACCACGCUUUGGCGAAGGGAUGUCACACGCGUUUAUCUAUCUGUUGCUUCUUUUAGAUUGUCCCCACUCGACAGUCAUUAAACCGCCUUUGGGAUCUCUUUGGUGUUAUGGUUUUUCAGCACUGUGCAUCAAGGAGGGCGUUUCAAAUUUGCAACGGUUGUGUGAUGAGUUAAAUUUUGCAUUAUUUUUACCUUUUAUAUUUCACCUUAGUUGUAAGAUUUGCCCGAUUUUACCACGACCGUGGACCUCUUUUGUUUGCUUUCGUCAAAAUUUCACCCAUAGAAGUACUUCGAGGUAUAAGGAGGAAAUAACAAGACUAUAGUGUAAAAUCAUGUGAAAUCUCAUGGUAAAGGCUACUAUAAAAUGAAGAAGAAAAUUGGACAAGAAAUCAGUCGCCACAAGGGCUCCAGAGCAAACAAUGACGUCUGGUACAACCACACACGCCCUUUACAUCGGUCAUACCAGCCACCGACCCAACCCAUGGCCUAGUAUUUCUACCUUGUGCGCGUAGAUCUAGAAUCAGACGCAUAUAGCCACCAGAAACCUCUCCAGAACUAAGAACCCUAGCAUUGUUCUUUGGAAGGGAAUCCAGUUCUCUUCAUACUAAAGACUGAAGUAUAAACCUUGCAUCCAUUCUCUAAGGAUUAACAAGGUUUUGAAUAGGCAAUAGGAAAAACUGCAAUGAGAGAAGGAAGCAGAUUGACUUUCAUGAUUAUAGGGCACCUACUAAACUAGAUGCAACUCACAAGAAUGAUACAACUCUAUCUAGUGAAGAUUUAGGCUUUCUUGCCUUCCACAAGCUUGUUUGUUUCUUUGUGUCUCUCACUUACACACUUCUAGGUUUAGAAGCUAUGAGAAUGUUUAAAGGCUUAUUCGAGCUAGUCUACACUAGUGAAAAAAAGCCUAGCUAUGGCAUGGCCAAACUAGCCUUGCUGGCGUGGACAUCAGACGCCGCCAAUAUUACACCACAGUUAAAAAAUAGUGAUGGCGUUGGAGCCUAUGCCAGCUGUAUAUUACAUAUUGUUGACAUCCACGUAGCCCAACGCCAGCAAUUUUUUGGAUAAUAAAAAAAGUACUUCAAAAACUAAGAGUGUAAACUUCACAAAAGGUACAGAUCAAUUAAACAUACUCAUAAACUUCAUAAGAGUUUAAAACAUACCCAACACUCUAGAUGUCGCUCUCUAUGUUCUUCAAUACAAAGUUCAUCGUAUUUUCGCGGUGAUCUAUUUGAUGUAAUCACUUUGAGCGGUGCAUUUGUUGGGAUCCGAUGAAUUGUGGGUUCAUGUUCAAAUUAUUUAUGAAAAAGAUUUGACUCUUCUCUCAGUUAUAUGAUUCUUAUUUGCAUGAUUAUUAUAGCUUCGUAAAUCUCUCAAUCUAUUGAUUUGGUUUGGUGUCGUUGUCAAAACCAACUCAUCUCGAGUAGGGGGUCCGAAUUGUGGAUCUAGAGUCAAUGGGUAACAAGAGACAAAGAAGACGAUGUUUUGCCCCGGUUCGGGCCCUCUUGAUGGAGGUAAAANNNNNNNNNNNNNNNNNNNNNNNNNNNNNNNNNNNNNNNNNNNNNNNNNNNNNNNNNNNNNNNNNNNNNNNNNNNNNNNNNNNNNNNNNNNNNNNNNNNNNNNNNNNNNNNNNNNNNNNNNNNNNNUCUUGAUGGAGGUAAAACCCUACGUCCUGCUCUUGUUGCUAUUGAUGGAGUAGUACAGAGUACAGAGUUGAUCUACUUCGAGAUGAGAUGUUGUGGUCUAAACCCUAAUCGUAAUGAGCUUAAUGUGUCCAACGAGCUAUGGCCCUGGCUUAUAUAGAUUCUAGGGGUGCUAGGGUUACACAAGGUUGGUUAUAGUAGAGAAGGAGCAUGCUGAUUACUACAUCGCCUUGGAUUGUGUGCCAAGUCUUCGGAAGAGUCCACCUUGAGUCUGAUGCUUCUACUAAUAGUCGAACCGGCCCGGAGUCCGACCAGUGAGAAUAGGCACACAACCCGAGGACCCCUUUGUCCAGACUCCCUCGGUAGCCCCUGAACUGGCCUCCAAUGCCGAAACCUUCUACCUUUGGUGACUUUAUAGGGACUCUGGCUUGCGAGGCGAGUUCCUUUCUUCCUUUAACCGAUGAUAGCUCGGUUGUCGAUGACUUCCCUCCUUCGAAUGCAUAUAUAAAUAUAUAUAUAUAUNCCGAUGAAUUGUGGAUUUAUGAUCAGACUAUCUAUGAAUCUUAUUUGAGUUUCUUCUGAUCUCUCUUAUGCAUGAUUUCAUAUCCUUGUAAUUCUCUUCGAGUUGUGGGUUUUGUAUGGCCAACUAGAUCUAUGAUUCUUGCAAUGGGAGAAGUGCUUGGUUUUGGGUUCAUACUAUGCGGUGACCUCAACCAGUGACAGAAGGGGUAGCGAGGCACGCAUCGUGUUAUUGCCAUCAAGGGUAAAAAGAUGGGGUUUUCAUCAUUGGUUUGAGAUUAUCCCUCUACAUCAUGUCAUCUUGCUUAAAGCGUUACUCUGUUCAUCAUGAACUCAAUACACUAGAUGCAUGCUGGAUAGUGGUCGAUGUGUAGAGUAAUAGUAGUAGAUGCAGAAAGUAUCGGCCUACUUGUCUCGGACGUGAUGCCUAUAUGUAUGAUCAUUGCCUUAGAUAUUGUCAUGACUUUGCGCGGUUCUAUCAAUUGCUCGACAGUAAUUUGUUCACCCACCGUAAUACUUGCUAUUUUGAGAGAAGACUCUAGUGAACACUAUGGCCCCCAGGGUCUACUCCACACCAUAUUUUCAGCCUUACACUUUUUACUUCGCUGCACUUUCCGCCUUCAGAUCUCACUUUGCAAACAAUCUUGAAGGGAUUGACAACCCCUUUGAAGCGUUGGGUGCAAGCUUGUUUGUGUUUGCACAGGUACUGUGGACUUGACGAGACCCUCCUUCUAGAUCGAUACCUUGGUUCUCAAACUGAGGGAAAUACUUACUGCUCCUGUGCUGCAUCACCCUUUCCUCUUCAAGGGAAAAACCAACGCAAGCCCAGCCUCUGUCAACGUGUCAAUUUCUGGCGCUGUUGUCUGUGAGAUAGCAGAAGGAUUUCUGGCGCCGUUGCCGGGGAGGAAUAUUAAGUCAAGAACUCAUCCAAGUAGGUGUCGCAAACUCAUCUCUUGCAUUUACUUUGUUUGCCAGUUGCCUCUCGUUUUCCUCUCCCCCACUUCACCAAUUUGCCUUUUAUCGUUCGCCUUUUUCUUCGCUUGCUUUCGGUUUGCUUGUGUGCUAUGUGCCUUCAAAAUGCUUGCAUCUUCGCUUGCUAAGAAUCUAGUGACAUGUAUUCUCAUCCACUUGCUAAUCUUUUCAAGAGGUCCAACUAUGUUGAACCCAUUGCUAGUGAGUUUUGCUCACUAGAUUAUCUUUAUGGAGUUUUGCUUGAGAUGCGUGAAUCUGAAAAUUGUGAGGAAGAAAUUUAUGAAGUGAUUCACGAGGGCUCCUUGGAUGAAAAGCAUGAUUGCAAUGGUUUCACUAUAAAUUCUAUUAGUGACAGUCAUGCCAAAUAUAUGCAAAACCCUAAGCUUGGGGAUGCUAGUUUUGCUAUGUCCACUACUUGUUGCAAUAAUCAUGAUUGGGGUGAUGAUUUUUCUUACGAUCUUGAAAAUUUGUUCAAGCCUCGUGAUGAAUAUGAUAUUUGCAAUUUUAUUGAAAGUGGGUUUGGAGACGUCAUGACUUUAGUUGAUAAUAAUCCCACUAUUUUUGAAGAGCAUCAACUUUGCAUGCAUGUGGAUCAUGAAAAGAAUAUCCUAUGUGAUAACUAUAUCGUUGAAUUCGAAUAUGAUCCCACAUGUAAUGAUUAUGAGAGAGGAAAAUAUUGUGGUAGAAACUUUCAUACCACCAAAUCACCUCUCGUUAUGUUGAGAUUGCUCUUGUCUCUUUCUUCUUCCUUGCAUAUGGCAGCUAUUGGUUGUCUUGCCAAUUUGUUCUCCUAUAAAAUGCCUAUGCAUAGGAAGUAUGUUAGACUUAGAUGUGAUUUUCACAUGCCUUAUGAUGCUCUCGUUGUGCUUCAAUUCUUGUAUUUUGUGUGAGCAUCAUUGAUUUAUCAAUGCCUAGCUAAAAGGCUUUAAAGAAAAGCGCUUGUUGGGAGGCAACCCAAUGAAUCUAUCUUUUUCUUUCUGUUUUGUUGCGUCCACUGAUGACCCACAAGUAUAUGGGAUCAAUCGUAGUCCUUUCGAUAAGUAAGAGUGUCGAACCCAACGAGGAGCAGAAGGAUUUGACAAGUGGUUUUCAGCAAGGAAAUAUCUGCACGCACUGAAAUUAUCGGUAACAAGUGAUUGUGUGGUGAGAUGAUCCAUAGCAAGCAACAAGUAACAAAAGUAGCAACGGUGCAGCAAGUGGCCCAAUCCCUUUUGUAUCAAGGGACAAGCCUGGACAAAGUCUUAUAGGAGGAAAAAUGCUCCCAAGGACACACGGGAAUUUCUGUCAUGCUAGUUUUAUCAUGUUCAUAUGAUUUGCGUUCGUUACUUUGAUAGUUUGAUAUGUGGGUGGACCGACGCUUGGGUACUGCCCUUACUUGGACAAGCAUCCCACUUAUUAUUAAACCCUCUCGCAAGCAUCCGCAACUAUGAAAGAAGAAUAAAGACAAAGUCUAACCAUAACAUUAAACUAGUGGAUCCAAAUCAGCCCCUUAUGAAGCAACGCAUAAACUAGGGUUUAAGCUUCUGCCACUCUAGCAACCCAUCAUCUACUUACUACUUCCCAAUGCCUUCCUCUAGGCCCAAAUAAUCGUGAAGUGUUAUGUGGUCGACGUUCACAUAACACCACUAGAGGAAAAAAAAACAUACAACAUAUCAAAAUACCGAACAAAUAUCAAAUUCACAUGACUAUUAUUAGCAUGACUUAUCCCAUGUCCUCACGAACAAAAGUAACUACUCACAAAGAAUAAUCAUACUCAUGAUCAGAGAGGUAAUGAGUAGCAUCAAGGAUCUGAACAUAAACUCUUCCACCAAAUAAUCCAACUAGCAUCAACUACAAAGAGCAAUCAACACUACUAACAACCUUACAAGUACCAAUCGGAGUCGCGAGACGGAGAUUGGUUACAAGUGAUGAACUAGGUUUGGAGAUGAGAUGGUGCUGAUGAAGAUGUUGACGGUGACGAGUCCCCUAUGAUGAGAGGAGUGUUGGUGAUGACGAUGGCGACGAUUUCCCCCUCCGGGAGGGAAGUUUCCCCGGCAGGAACGUCCUGCCGGAGCUCUAGAUUGAUUCUGCUCAAGUUCCGCCUCGUGGCGGCGGCGAAACCACGAAAAAGCUCCUCCUUGAUUUUUUCCUGGACAAAACCCUCCAUAUAGCAAAAGAGGAGGGCAAGUGGGCCAGCAGGGUGCCCACAAGCCCCCAUGGCGCGACCUGGGGGGUGGCCGUGCCGUACAGGCUUGUGGCCACCCCCUGGCGCCCCUCUGGCGCUUCUUCGGCCCAGUAUUUUAGAUAAAUUGGGAAAAAAAUCCCCGUUGAUUUUCACGGCCUUUGGAGUUGCGCAGAAUAGGUAUCUCAACUUUGCUCCAAUUUCAGGCCAGAAUUCCAGUUGCCGGUAUUCUCCCUCUUCAUGUAAACCUUGCAAAAUAAGAGAGAAAAGACAUAAGAAUAGUACCGUGAAGUGAAAUAACAGCCAAAGAAGCGAUACAUAUCAACAUGAAAACAUGAUGCAAAAUGGACGUAUCAACUCCCCGAAGCUUAGACCUCGCUUGUCCUCAAGCGAAAGCCUAGCUCAAUAAAUAUGUCCACAUGUUUAGGGAGAGAGGUGUCGACAAAACAAGAUACGAACAUGCAUGCAUCAUGAUCAAGAUCAAAACAGCAAUACCAACAUAUUAUCUCUCAUGCUAAAGUGACAAUUCCUUCACAAAGUAAAGCAUGGAUCAAGAACCUUACUGAGAAGUAACAACCGAUAGCCUUUAGUCAUUGAAGCAAGUGCAAUUUAUCACAACAUCGGAAAGAGUCAAAUAAGAGCUCGUAAAGCAAAUCCACAUACUCAAUCAUUCUUUCGUUCUCUACAAUUGCUACAACUCACGUGGUACUCAUGAGAUCAAAGUUUCAGCUGAACACAGAGAAAGAUAGGGGCUUAUAGUAUUGCCUCCCAACUGCUUACCUCAAGGGUAAUGUCAACAAUAACAAUUCAUGAAUGCCUACCUCCAAGUUGACAUAUGAAUAUAGAUCUUUCCCAAGCAUGUGACGAUAGCCAAGAUAAAGGCGAAAUAAGGAAUUGGUGAAGAUCACCAUGACUCUUUCAGGGACAAAAAGUAAAGGUACAAGAUAGGCCCUUCGUAGAGGGAAGCAGAGGUUGUCAUGCGCUUUUAAGGUUUGGAUGCGUGUCCUCUUAGUGCGGAGGAACGUCACUUUAUAUUGCCUCCUGUGAUAAAGAACUUUAUUAUGCAGUCUGUCGCUUUUAUGUCUUCCUCAUCACAGGUUCGUAUAAAGCUUAUUUUCCACACACUCUUAGAUCAUACAUAUUAGAGAGAAAUUUUUAUUGCUUGCACCGAUGACAACUUACUUGAGGGAUCUUAUUCAAUCCAUAGGUAGGUAUGGUCGACACUCAUGGCAAAACUGGUUUGAAGGUUUAUGGAUGCACAAGUAGUAUCUCUACUUGGUGCGGGAGUUUUGGCUAAUAUGAGGUGGAAGCAAUCGUCACAUGCUAAAGGAUCUCUAAUCAUAUAACAUUGUUCAGAGCCAAGCAAACACAAUUCAUUACGUUGUCUUCCUUGUCCAACAUCUACUUCUAGGCAUGCAAGAGUUUGGUGAGUGUUCACAAUCAUAGAUGGUGUCAGAGAUGAUAUAUUUAUAUGUGAACCACUCCUUCUUUAUCACUUCCUAUUAAUUGCAACAAUGACCAAGGUCUACGUUUGCCUACCCUCAACAUGUUUCAAUCCUCAUUCUUUUUAUAUGUGAAUCCAUCAAAGUUGAGCUCAAAGUUUGAAAUCAAAGUUGAGCUCUUUGAUUGCCCAAUAAGCUUUAUGCUCUAGCUCAAGAGGUAAAUGACAUGCUUUCCCAUACACCAUUUUGUACGGAGACAUGCCCAUGGGAUUCUUAUAGGCAGUUCUAUAAGCCCAUAGUGCAUCAUCGAGCUUCUUAGACCAAUUCUUUCUAGACCUGUUGACAGUCUUUUGCAGAAUCAGUUUAAUCUCUCUAUUACUUAGCUCUACUUGACCACUGGACUGAGGGUGAUAGGGAGACGCAAUUCUAUGGUUGACAUCGUACUUAGCAAGCGUUUUACGGAAAGCACCAUGGAUGAAGUGUGAACCACCGUCGGUCAUUAGAUAUCUAGGGACUCCAAAUCUAGGGAAGAUAACUUCUUUCAGCAUCUUGAUAGAGGUGUUGUGAUCAACACUACUAGUGGGGAUAGCUUCUACCCACUUAGUGACGUAAUCAACAGCAACUAAGAUAUGUGUAUACCCAUUGGAUUUUGGAAAAGGUCCCAUAUAAUCAAAGCCCUAAACAUCAAAUGGUUCAAUGACAAGUGAAUAGUUCAUAGGCAUUUCCUGACGUUUGCUAAUAUUACAUAUUCUUUGACAUUCAUCACACGACAAGACAAACUUACGGGUAUCCUUGAAGAGAGUGGGCCAAUAGAAACCUGAUUGCAAUACCUUGUGUGCAGUUCUAUCUCCCGCAUGGUGUCCUCCGUAGGCCUCGAAGUGACACUUCUGUAGAAUCUGUCCCUGUUCAUGUUCAGGUACACAACGUCUAAUAACACCAACUACUCCUUCCUUAUAAAGGUUAGGACCAUCCGAGAAGUAAUGUCUCAAGUCAAAGAAGAAUUUCUUCUUUUGCUGGUACGUGAAACUAGGUGGUAUAUAUUUGGCAACGAUAUAGUUCGCAUAAUCAGCAUACCACGGUGCACUACGUGAAGCAUUGAUGACAUUCAAUUGCUCAUCAGGAAAGCUAUCAUCAAUAGGUUGUGGGUCAUCAAGAACGUUCUCCAACCUAGACAAGUUAUCUGCUACUGGGUUAUCAGCACCCUUUCUGUCAACAACGUGCAAAUCAAAUUCGUGUAGCAAGAGAACCCAUCUGAUAAGUCUAGGUUUAGCGUCCUUCUUCUCCAUGAGGUACUUAAUAGCAGCAUGAUAAGUGUGAAUAGUGACUUUGGAAUCAACUAUGUAAGACCUGAACUUUUAACAUGCAAACACGACUGCUAAAAAUUCCUUUUCCGUAGUGGCAUAGUUUCUCUGGGCACUGUCUAGAUUUUUACUAGCAUAGUGAAUAACAUUCAAUUUCUUAUCAACUCUUUGCCCUAGGACAGCACCAACAGCAUAAUCACUAGCGUCACACAUGAUCUCAAAAGGUAAGUUCCAAUCAGGUGGUUGAACAAUAGGUGCAGUUAUCAAAGCCCUCUUAAGUAUUUCGAAGGCUUCCUCACAAUCCUCGUCAAAGACAAAAGGAAUAUCCUUUUGCAAGAGGUUGGUAAGAGGCCAAGAAAUCUUAGAGAAGUCUUUAGUGAACCUUCUAUAGAAACCAGCAUGACCAAGGAAACUUAUUAUCCCUUUGAUAUCUGUGGGGUAUGGCAUUUUCUCGAUUGCAUCAACCUUAGCCUUAUCGACUUCGAUACCUCUUUCAGAAAUUUUAUGUCCUAAGACGAUGCCUUCAUUAACAAUAAAGUGGCACUUCUCCCAAUUGAAGACAAGAUUGGUGUAUUUACAUCUAUGUAAGACUUGAUCAAGCUUGUGAGGCAAUCAUCAAAGGAAGACCCGUAAACGGAGAAGUCAUCCAUGAAAACCUCGACAAUCUUUUCAAAAAAGUCAGAGAAUAUAGCCAUCAUACAACUUUGAAAGGUGGCAGGUGCAUUACAUAAGCCAAAAGGCAUACGUCUAUAAGCAAAGGUACCGAAAGGGCAGGUGAAAGUGGUUUUCUCCUGAUCAGAUUGUGCAACUGGUAUUUGGGAGAAACCAGAAUAACCGUCUAGAAAGCAGAAGUGUGUGUGUUUGGACAGCCUUUCUAGCAUUUGGUCGAUAAAAGGCAAAGGGUAAUGGUCUUUCCUAGUGGCUUUAUUCAAUUUCCUAAAAUCGAUCACCAUCCUAUAGCCAGUAAUAAUCCUUUGUGGGAUCAAUUCAUCCUUAUCAUUAGGGACAACGGUAAUGACUCCCUUCUUAGGGACGCAAUGCACGGGACUCACCCAAUCGCUAUGAGCAACAGGAUAGAUGAUACCUGCUUCCAGGAGCUUUAGUAUUUCUUUUCUCACUACUUCUUUCAUCUUAGGAUUUAAUCUCCUUUGAUGAUCAGCAACUGGUUUGAAAUCAGGAUCGGUUUUAAUCUUUUGCUGGCAUAGGGUAGGACUAAUGCCCUUAAGAUCAUCAAGAGUAUAUCCAAUAGCAGCACGGUGCUUCCUCAGAGUUUUUAGUAACUUCUUUUCUUCUUGCUCCGAGAGGCUAGCACUAAUAAUAACAUGAUAUAUCUCUUUUUCAUCAAGAUAGGCAUACUUAAGAGUAUCAGGCAACUGUUUUAGCUCGAACACAGGAUCACCCUUUGGUGGGGGUGGAUCCCCAAGCAGUUCAACACGCAGGUUAUUCUUAUGGAUAGGAUAUUGUUCUAAGACAACUCUAUCUAUCUCAUCCCUUUCAUCCAUAUGCAUAUCAUUUUCAUGCUCAAGCAAGUAUUUCUCCAAGGGAUCAGUAGGAGGCACGGCAAUAGAAGCUAAGGCAAUAAUUUCAUACCUACUAGGCAACUCCUUUUCAUGAGGUUGUCUACCAAACUUAGAGAAAUUGAACUCAUGUGACACACCUUCAAAGCCAACAGUGACAGUUUGUUUCUCACAAUCAAUAUGAGCAUUGAGAGUAUUGAGAAAGGGUCUACCAAAUAUGAUGGGACAAAAGCUAUCUUGUGCAGUAGCAAGAACGAGGAAAUCAGCAGGAUACUUCGUUUUACCACACAAGACUUCAGCAUCCCUAACAAUUCCCACAGGUCAGAUAGUAUCUCUAUUGGCAAGCUGAAUAGUGACAUCAAUAGGUUCUAUCUCAACGGGUGCAAUCUCAUCUUUGAUUUCAUCAUAUAAGGAGUGAGGUAUUGCACUAACACUAGCACCCACGUCACAUAAGCCAUGAUAACAAUGAUCUCCUAUCUUAACAGAAACCACAGGCAUGCCAACAACAGGCCUAUGUUUGUCUCUAGCGUGAGGUUUAGCAAUUCUAGCAGCAUCUUCACAGAAGUGAAUAUCAUGUCCCUCAACUUCUUCAGACGGAAGAUCUUUGAUAAUAGCAAUGCUAGGUUCAACUCUAAUUUUCUCAGGGGGUGUAGGUGUUCUAAUAUAGCCUCUACGUAUCACAGUUGAACCUUUAGAAUGAUCCUUUAUCCUAACAGGGAAAGGUGGUUUCUCAAUGUAAGCACUAGGAACAACAGGAUCAUUAUAGACAAUGACUUUCUCUUCAACUGGAGUGGGUUUAACUACAUUGACUUCUAAAGGAGGAUGAUAUUUAAACCACUUCUCUUUGGGGAGAUCAAUAUGAGCAGCAAAGGAUUCACACAAUGAAGCUACUAUCUCAGAGUCAAGUCCAUACUUAGCGCUAAAAUCACUAAAGGUAUUUGUCUCAACAAAGGAUUUAAUGCAAUCAAACGUGAAAUUCAUACCUGACUCCUUACCUUCUUCAAGCUCCCAAUCUUCAGAGUUGCGUUUAAUUCUCUCCAAUAAAUUCCACUUGAAGUCAAUAUCUCUCUUCAUAAAAGAACCGGUAGAAGAAGUGUCAAGCAUGGUGCGAUCAUCAUGAGAAAGCCGAGCAUAGAAGUUCUGAAUGAUAAUUUCUCUCGAGAGCUCAUGAUUGGGGCAUGCAUAUAGCAUUGAUUCAAGCCUCUCCCAAGCUUGAGCGAUGCUUUCUCUUUCACGAGGCCAAAAAUUGUAAAUAUAAUUCCGAUCACGAUGUACUAAAUGCAUAGGAUAAAACUUUUGAUGAAAUUCGAAUUUCAACCGAUUGUAGUCCCAUGAUCCAGUAUCAUCACAUAGCCUAUACCAUUCAAAGAUAAAGGAAAGACCUUCUUCUUGACCUCAUCCUCGGGCACACCUGCAAGCUUAAAUAAAGCACAAACUUCAUCUACAUAGAUCAGAUGCAAGUUUGGAUGAGAUGUUCCAUCUCCUGUAAAAGGAUUAGCCAGCAGUUUCUCAAGCAUACCCGAAGGAAAUUCAAAGCAAAUAUUUUCAGUAGGUGCAGCAGGUUGAGGAGCAACUAUUUGUGCUUCCGUCUGAGGUGAAGAUACCCCGAACAAGCCCCUCAAAGGAUUAGUAUCCAUAGUGACCAGUGACAAUAAAUUUCAGCACACUAUAUGAAUGUUUCCUUACCAAGUUCCACUUACCAAAGACGCUUCACUCCCCGGCAACGGCACUAGAAAAGAGUCUUGAUGACCCACAAGUAUAUGGGAUCAAUCGUAGUCCUUUCGAUAAGUAAGAGUGUCGAACCCAACGAGGAGCAGAAGGAUCUGACAAGUGGUUUUCAGCAAGGAAAUAUCUGCAAGCACUAAAAUUAUCGGUAACAAGUGAUUGUGUGGUGAGAUGAUUCGUAGCAAGCAACAAGUAACAAAAGUAGCAAUGGUGCAGCAAGUGGCCCAAUCCCUUUUGUAGCAAGGGACAAGUCUGGAGAAAGUCUUAUAGGAGGAAAAACGCUACCAAGGACAUACGGGAAUUUCUGUCAUGCUAGUUUCAUCAUGUUCAUAUGAUUCGCGUUCGUUACUUUGAUAGUUUGAUAUGUGGUUGGACCGGCGCUUGGGUACUACCCUUACUUGGACAAGCAUCCCACUUAUGAUUAAACCCUCUCGCAAGCAUCCGCAACUACGAAAGAAGAAUAAAGACAAAGUCUAACCAUAACAUUAAACUAGUGGAUCCAAAUCAGCCCCUUAUGAAGCAACGCAUAAACUAGGGUUUAACCUUCUGCCACUCUAGCAACCCAUCAUCUACUUACUACUUCCCAAUGCCUUCCUCUAGGCCCAAAUAAUGGUGAAGUGUUAUGUAGUCGACAUUCACAUAACACCACUAGAGGAAAAACAACAUACAACAUAUCAAAAUACCGAACGAAUACCAAAUUCACAUGACUAUUAUUAGCAUGACUUAUCCCAUGUCCUCAGGAACAAAAGUAACUACUCACAAAGCAUAAUCAUACUCAUGAUCAGAGAGGUAAUGAGUAGCAUCAAGGAUCUGAACAUAAACUCUUCCACCAAAUAAUCCAACUAGCAUCAACUACAAAGAGCAAUCAACACUACUAACAACCUUACAAGUACCAAUCGGAGUCGCGAGACGGAGAUUGGUUACAAGUGAUGAACUAGGUUUGGAGAUGAGAUGGUGCUGAUGAAGAUGUUGACGGUGACGAGUCCCCUAUGAUGAGAGGAGUGUUGGUGAUGACGAUGGCGACGAUUUCCCCCUCUAGGAGGGAAGUUUCCCCGGCAGGAUCGUCCUGCACGAGCUUUAGAUUGAUUCUGCUCAAGUUCCGCCUCGUGGCGGCGGCGAAACCACGAAAAAGCUCCUCCUUGAUUUUUUUUCCUGGACGAAACCCUCCAUAUAGCAAAAGAGGGGGGCAGGUGGGCCAGCAGGGUGCCCACAAGCCCCCAUGGCGCGGCCUGGGGAGGUGGCCGCACUGUGCAGGCUUGUGGCCACCCCCUGGCGCCCCUCUGGCGCUUCUUCGGCCCAGUAUUUUUGAUAAACUGGGAAAAAAAUCCCCGUUGAUUUUCACGGCGUUUGGAGUUGCGCAGAACAGGUAUCUCAACUUUGCUCCAAUUUCAGGCCAGAAUUCCAGUCACCGGUAUUCUCCCUCUUCAUGUAAACCUUGCAAAAUAAGAGAGAAAAGGCAUAAGAAUAGUACCUUGAAGUGAAAUAACAGCCAAAGAAGCGAUAAAUAUCAACAUGAAAACAUGAUGCAAAAUGGACGUAUCAUCCACACUAUCACAAUUCUUUUGUGAUUGUGUUUUUUGUGUUUCUUUUUGUGUUUGAGCCAAGCAAAACCUUUAUGACUAGUCUUCGUGAUGGUUGUUUGAUCGUGCUUGAAAAAGACAGAAACUUUUCGCUCACGAGAUGAUUUUUCAUUUUUAUUCAGUAAGAGAUUUUGAGUUGAUUCUUUUUUCUACUGAUUGAUAUGCUUUUAUCCCAGGCCGUCGUAACUUUUCAGAUUUUUUGAGGUACUAGAAGUAUACGAAGUAUACAGAUUGCUACAGACUGGUCUGUUUUUGACAGAUUCUGUUUUUGUUGAGUUGGUUGCUUGUUUUGAUGAAACUAUGGUUAGUAUUGGGGGGUACUAGCCAUGGAAAAGUGAGAAUACAGUAGCCCAUCACCAAUAUAGAUGGAAUUCAAGUUUUCUACAGUAUCAAAAGAAGUGGUGGUUUGUUUUCUUGUACUAAUGUUAUCACAAGUUUCUGUUUAAGUUUUGUGUUGUGAAGUUUUCAAGUUUUGGGUAAUGUUCUCAUGGACAAAGAGACAAGGAGUGGAAAGAGCUCAAGAUUGGGGAUGCCCAAGGCACCCCAAUCCAAAUUCAAGGACACCAAAAAGCCUAAGCUUGGGGAUGCCCCGGGAAGGCAUCCCCUCUUUUGUCUUCAAUCCAUCGGUAACAUUACUUGGAGCUAUAUUUUUAUUCACCACAUGAUAUGUGUUUUUUCUUGGAGCGUCUUGUAUCUUAGGAGUCUUUUCUUUUUGUUGUGUCACAAUCAUCCUUGCUGCACACCUUUUUUUAGAGAGAGAGACAUGCACUCAUCGUGAUUUUGCUAGAAUGCUCAUAGUGCUUCACUUAUAUCUUUUGAGCUAGAUACUUUUGCUCUAAUGCUUCACUUAUAUCUUUUGAGCUAUAUACUUUUGCUCUUGUGCUUCACUUAUAUCUUUUAGAGCACGGCGGUGCGUGAUUUGGUAGUUGGUUUAUGCUAUGAAAGUAGUCCCAAAUGUGCUAGGUACCCAAAGAGGAUGCAAAAACCUCCAUCUUCAUGUGCAUUGAGUAGAAAGAGAAGUUUCGAUUCCUCUCAAUUAGUUUUGAGACAUGGAUUCAGUAAUAUUAAAAGUUAUGUUAGUAGGGUGUUGUGAAUCUAGAAAUACUUGUGUUGGAGUUAGUGAUUCCCGUAGCAUGCACGUAUGGUGAACCGCUAUGUUAGGAAGUCGGAGCAUAAUUGAUCUAUUGAUUGUCAUCCUUUGUGUUGAGGUCGGGAUCACGCGAUGGUUUACACCUACCAACCAUUCCCCUCGGAGUAUGCGUUUAGCACUUUGUUUCGAUUACUAAUAAAAACUUCUACAACAAGUAUGUGAGUUCUUCAUGACUAAUGUGAGCCCAUGGUAUAGAUGCACUUUCACCUUUCACCAUUGCUAGCCUCUCUAGUGCCGCGCAAUUCUCGCCGGUGCACAAACCCACCAAAUUCCUUCCUCAAAACAGCCACCAUAUCUACCUACUAUGGCAUUUUCAUAGCCAUUCCGAGAUAUAUUGACAUGCAACUCCCACCUUUCCGUCUCAUGACUUGUGUCGUCACUCUCAUAUUGCCAUUGCAUGAUCGUAAGAUAGCUAGAAAGAUGUUUCAACGGCAUACGCCAUGCUAGAUCGUUGCACAUCCCGGUACACUGCCGGAGGCAUUUCCUAUGGAGUCAUCAUCAUUGUGAUCUUUGAGCUAUGAAUAAAUAAAAGUGUGAUGAUCAUCAUUAUUAAAGCAUUGUCCCAUGUGAGGAAAUUAAAAAAAAAGAGGCCAAAGAGCCCAAAAAAAGAGAAAAAAGAGAGGCUAAGAGCCCAAACGAAAAAAGAGAGAAAAAGAGAGAAGGGACAAUGCUACUAUCUUUUUCCACACUUGUGCUUCAUGUUAGCACUAUGUUCUUCAUGAUUGAGAGCUUCUUGCUUUGUCACUACCAUAUGCUAGUGGGAAUCUUCAUUUUAUAACUUGGCUUGUAUAUUCCAAUGAUGGGCUUCCUCAAAAUUGCCCUAGGUCUUCGUGAGCAAGCAAGUUGGAUGCACACCCACUAGUUUUCCUUUUGAGCUUUCACAUACUUAUAGCUCUAGUGCAUCCUUUGUAUGGCAAUCCCUACUCAUUCACAUUGAUAUCUAUUAAUGGGCAUCUCCAUAACCUAUUGAUACGCCGAGUCAGUGUGACCAUCUCCUCCUUUUUUUUGUCUCACAACCACCACCACACUCUAUUCCACCUAUAGUGCUAUAUCCAUGGCUCAAGCUCAUGUAUUGCGUGAUAGUUAUAAAAAGUUUGAGAAAGUAAGAGUGCGAAAACAAUUACUUGGCCAAUUCCGGGGUUGUGCAUGAUUUACAUUAGUUGUGUGAGGAUGAUGGAGCAUAGCCAGACUAUAUGAUUUUGUAGGGAUAACUUUCUUUAGCCUUGUUAUUUUGAAAGUUCAUGAUUACUUUGCUAGUUUGCUUGAAGUAUUAUUGUUUUCAUGUCAAUAGCAAACUAUUGCUUUGAAUCGUACGGAUCUGAACAUUCAUGUCACAUGAAAGAAGUUGCAAAGGACAACUAUGCUAGGUAGCAUUCCACAUCAAAAAUUUAUUCUUUAUCACUUCCCUACUCGAGGACGAGCAGGAGUUAAGCUUGGGGAUGCUUGAUACGUCUCCAACGUAUCUAUAAUUUUUGAUGGUUUCAUGCUAUUAUCUUGUCAAACUUUGGAUGUUUUGCAUGCCUUUUAUUUAUUUUUUGGGACUAACUUAUUAACUUAGUGCCAAGUGCCAGUUCCUGUUUUUUCCAUGUUUUUGACCCCUUUCAGAGGAGAUUUUGAAACAGAGUCCAAACGGAAGAAAAUCUCCGAAAAUAUUUUUUCUGGAACGGAAGAAGAUCGGGGAGCUUGGGAGCCAAGGCACGGGAGCCCCAGGGGCCCCACAAGCCCCCAACCUGCGUCCAGGGGGGAGGUCGCGCCAUCCAGGCUUGUGGGCCCCCUGAGCGUCCCCUGACCUAGGGGUUGCGCUUAUAUAUUCCCUAAAAAUCCCAAAAAAAUCAGGAGAUCAUCGAAAGUACUUUUCCGCCGCCGCAAGCUUCUGUCUCCGCAAGAUCCCAUCUGGGGCACGUUCUGGUGCCCUGCCGGAGGGGGGAUUCGGACACGGAGGGCUUCUUCAUCAACACCAUGACCUCUCCGAUGAUGCGUGAGUAGUUCACCAUAGACCUACGGGUCCAUAGCUAGUAACUAGAUGGAUUCUUCUCUCUCUUGGAUCUUCAAUACAAAGUUCUCCAUGAUCUUCAUGGAGAUCUAUCCGAUGUAAUCUUCUUUUGCGGUGUGUUUGUCGAGAUCCGAUGAAUUGUGGAUUGAUGAUCAGAUUAUCUAUGAAUCUUAUUUGAGUUUCUUCUGAUCUCUCUUAUGCAUGAUUUCAUAUCCUUGUAAUUCUCUUCGAGUUGUGGAUUUUGUCUGGCUAACUAGAUCUAUGAUUCUUGCAAUGGGAGAAGUGUUUGGUUUUGGGUUCAUACUGUGCGGUGACCUCACCCAGUGACAGAUGGGGUAGCGAGGCACGCAUCAUGUUGUUGCCAUCAAGGNNNNNNNNNNNNNNNNNNNNNNNNNNNNNNNNNNNNNNNNNNNNNNNNNNNNNNNNNNNNNNNNNNNNNNNNNNNNNNNNNNNNNNNNNNNNNNNNNNNNNNNNNNNNNNNNNNNNNNNNNNNNNNNNNNNNNNNNNNNNNNNNNNNNNNNNNNNNNNNNNNNNNNNNNNNNNNNNNNNNNNNNNNNNNNNNNNNNNNNNNNNNNNNNNNNNNNNNNNNNNNNNNNNNNNNNNNNNNNNNNNNNNNNNNNNNNNNNNNNNNNNNNNNNNNNNNNNNNNNNUAAUAGUAGUAGAUGCAUAAAGUAUCGGUCUACUUGUCUCGGACGUGAUGCCUAUAUGUAUGAUCAUUGCCUUAGAUAUCGUCAUGACUUUGCGUGGUUCUAUCAAUUGCUCGACAGUAAUUUGUUCACCCACCGUAAUACUUGCUAUUUUGAGAGAAGCCUCUAGUGAACACUAUGGCCCCCACGGUCUACUCCACACCAUAUUUUCAGCCUCACACUUUUAACUUCGCUGCACUUUCCGCCUUUAGAUCUCACUUUGCAAACAAACUUGAAGGGAUUGGCAACCCCUUUGAAGCGUUGGGUGCAAGCUUGUUUGUGUUUGCGCACGUACUCUGGACUUGACGAGACCCUCCUUCUGGAUCGAUACCUUGGUUCUCAAACUCAUGGAAAUACUUACCGCUCCUGUGCUGCAUCACCCUUUCCUCUUCAAGGGAAAAACCAACGCAAGCCCAACCUCUGUCAAUGUGUCAAUUUCUGGCGCUAUUGUCUAUGGGUAGCAACGUUCCAUCAUGGAGUUCAUGUCCCCAUUUUCCAGGGAUAUGGUUUAUGGUUUGGGUUAUCCCACGCGCCCAUAAUCGCACAUUUUUAUCAGGAAAUGAUGGUGUUUACAGCAGAGUGGUGAGGCUUUUGGUAUUUAGGCAAGCCAUAAAAGGAGAAACCGUCGCCUGAGCCCCUUCACACACCUUAGAUAUCGCAACGCCAUUGCCAUUCCCUGCCACUCAAGCCGCUCAAACUCCACCCUAACCGUCGACCCUCCUUGGAGGAGGGGCCAAGGGUUGCGACCUAACCCUACCCCUUGCCUCCUAUAUAUAGUUAGGAGAGGGGGGCUGGACACAACAACUCCCACGCCAUGCGGCCUCCCCUCUCUCCCAUUUUUCCUCCUUCACGGUUCCGGAGGCGCUUGGGGAAGCCCUGCUAGGAUUGCUCCUCCACCACGCCGUCAUGCUGGUUGAGAUCACAUCUACUUGUGCUUCCUCUCUUGUUGGAUCAAGAAGGAGGAGAUGUCAUCGAGUCGCACGUGUGCUGAACACGAAGGUGUCAUCUGUUCGGCGCUAGAUCGCGAUUGGAUCGUGAAGAGUACGACUACAUUAAUCGUGUUAUAUACGCUUCUGCUUAGCGAUCUACAAGGGUAUGUAGAUGCACUCCCCCUCUCGUAGUUGUUAAUCUCCAUAGAUAGAUCUUGAGUGCGCGUAGGAAUUUUUUUGUUUCCAUGCAACGUUCCCCAACAUGGAACGAUGUUCACUGGUUAAAAAUAUCCUUAAGUACCUCAAGAGGACUAAGGAAAUGUUUCUCGUUUAUGGAGGUGAAGAAAAGCUCAUCGUAAAGAGUUACGUUGAUGCUAGCUUUGACACUGAUCCGUGUGACUCUAAGUCUCAAACGAGAUACAUAUUUAUUUUGAAUGGUGGAGCAGUCAGCUGGAGUAUCUCCAAGCAGAGCAUUGUAGCUGCAUCAACAUGUGAGGGAGAAUAUAUAGUUGCUUCAGAAGCAGCGUAGGAAGGAGUCUAGAUGAAGGAGUUCAUUCCCGAUCUAGGUGUGAUUCCUAGUGCAUCGGAUCCCAUGACUAGCUACUGUGACAACACUAGUGUCAUUGCCAUUGCCGAGGAGCCAAGGUUUCACAAUAAACUAAGCAUAUCAAAUGUCGCUUUAACUCCACAUGACUAUGUCAGGUAAGGAUACAUAGAGAUUUGCAAAGUUCAUACGAAUGUAAAUGUCGCAGACUUGUUGACCAAACCUUUUUCAUGAACAAAACAUGAUCAACACCAGGAUUCCAUGGGUUUUAGAUUCAUUAUGAUGUAAACUAGAUUAUUGACUCUAGUGCAAGUGGGAGACUGCUAGCAAUAUGCCCUAGAGGAAAUAAUAAAUUUGUUAGUAUCAUAUUUUCUUGUUCUUGAUAAGUGUUUAUUCUCCAUGCUAUAAUUGUAUUAACUAGAAACUCAAAUUCAUGUGUGGAUACAUAAACAAACAUUUGUGUCCCUAGUAAGCCUUUACUUGACUAGCUCGUUGAUCAAAGAUGGUUAGGAUUUCCUAACCAUAGGCAUGAGUUGUUAUUUAAUAAUGGGAUUACAUCACUAGGAGAAUGAUGUGAGAGAAAAAAUCAAUCAUAAGCUUAGCAUCUGAUCAUGUCACUUAGUUUAAUUGAUAUAGAUUUCUCAAUGUCAAGUACCCAUUCCUUAGAUUAUGAGAUCGUGCCACUCCCUAAUACCGGAAGAAUACUUUGUAGGUAUCAAACAUCACUUCAUAACUCGGUGAUCAUAAAGCUGCUCUUCACGUAUCUCAUAAAGUAUUUGUUGGGUUGCAUGGAUCGAGACUGGGAUUUAUCACUCCAUGUGACAAAGAGAUAUCUCUGGGUCCUCUCGAUAAUUCUACAUCCUAAGUAGCUUGCAAGCAUGUGACUACUAUGUUUAGUCAUGAGAAUAUUGUCGGGGAACGUUGCAUGGGAAACAAAAAAAUUCCUACGCACACGAAGACCUAUCAUGGUGAUGAUCAUCUACGAGAGGGAGAUCGGAUCCACAUAUCCUUGUAGAUUGCUAAGUGGGAAGCGUUAAGAAACGUGGUUGAUGUAGUGGACCGCCUUCGCGAUCCAAAUCGCCGCCGUCCCACGAUCCGUCCCGAUCUAGCGCCGAACGAACGACACCUCCCCAUUUAACACACGUACAUCUCGACGAUGAUCUCCGCCUUCUUGAUCUAGCAAGAGGGGGAAGCGAGGUAGAUGAGCUCUCCGUCAGCGUGACAGCGUGACGGCGAUGGUGGUGGAGCUAGUCCAGCAGGGCUUAGCCUAAGCACCGCUGAAAACUAGACUAGAGGAGAAACGGAUCUAGAGAGAGGGCAGCACGUGGCUGAUUAUUGUGUCUCAAAACCCCUCAAAACCUAUAGUAUAUAUAGCAGGAGAGGAGAGGAGGCUGCCUUGGCCCCUCCUCCAAGGAGAGGGGUCGGCCGAACCAAAGGAGGAGUCCACCUCCUUGUGGGAAGGUGGACUACUUUGGGAGGACUCCUCCUUUCCCUUCCUUUUAAAAGUUCUUUGCCUUUUAUCUAUUCUCCUAUCCGCAUGGGCCAUUGAGAAAGGCUUUGGCCAGCCCACCAGGGGCUGGUACACCUCUUCUCACAGCCCACAAGGCUCUUGGGUCAUCACACCCCUCCCGAUGGUCCCCCGGCACCCUCCCGGCACUCCCGGUACACUAUCGAUAAGCCUAAAACUUUUCUGGUGACCAAAACAGGACUUACUGUAUAUCAAUCUUUACCUUUGGACCAUUCCGUAGCUCCUCGUGACGUCCAUGAUGUUAUCCGGGACUUUGAACAACCUUUGGUCACCAACACCUAUAACUCAACUAUACCGAAACAUCAUGAAACCUUAAGUGUGCAGACCCUGCGGGUUCGAGAACAAUGCAGACAUGACCAAGACACUCUCCGGUCAAUAUCCAAUAGCGGGACCUGGGCGUCCAUAUUGGAUCCUACAUAUUCUAUGAAGAUCUUAUCGGUUGAACCUCUAUGUCAAGGAUUCACACAAUCAUGUAUACCAUUCCCUUUGUCCUUCGGUAUGUUACUUGACCGAGAUUCGAUCGUCGGUAUCGACAUACCUAUUUCAAUCUCGUUACCGACAAGUCUCUUUACUCAUUCUGUAAUACAAGAUCCCAUGGCUAACUCUUUAGUCACAUUGCUUGCAAGGCUUGUUUGUGAUGUUGUAUUACCGAGUUGGUCCCGAGAUACCAAUCCAUCACACGGAGUGACAAAUCCCAGUCUUGAUCCAUGCUAACUCAACGGACACCUUCGAAGAUACUUGUAGAGAAUCUUUAUAGUCACGCAAUGAUAACCCACAAGUAUAGGGGAUCGUUUGUAGCCUUCUUCGAUAAAUAAGAGUGUUCAAUCCAACGAGGAGCUAAAGUCAGAACAAAUAUUCCCUCAAGUUCUAUCGACCGCCAAUACAACUCUACGCACGCUUGACGUUUGCUUUACCUAAAACAAGUAUGAAACUAUUUUGCAAGAACAAAACUACGAGUUCUUUGCGAGAAUAAAACUAAGAAUAAAUUGCAAGGUAAUAAAAGUGGAUAGCUUUUGUCAACAAGAAAGUCAUUUGUCCCUAGGAAAUCGAUAACAAGUACCGGUAAUCAUUCUUGCAAUUUUAUAUGAGGGAGAGGCAUGAACUAACAUACUUUCUCUGCUUGGAUCAUAUGCACUUAUGAUUGGAACUCUAGCAAGCAUCACAACUACUAAAGAUCAUUAAGGUCGUGAAACCCAACCAUAGCAUUAAGUAUCAAGUCCUCUUUACUCCCAUACGCCAUAACCCACUUAUUCGCGUUUAGGCUGUUGUCACCCCGCAACACCGACAAUAAGCAAACCAUGAACAUAUUGCAACACCCUAUAGCGGGCGGCCCUCAUGUUUGGUGACAUAGAGGGCACCAUAGUACAACACCAUAAAUAAAAUAUACAAUCAUACCAACCAAUAUCACGAUUAACCCAUAGGACAAAACGGAUCUACUCAAACAUCAUAGGAUAGCCAAAUAUCAAUGGGAAAUAAUAUAUGGGGUUGAGAACCAUGUUUAAGUAGAGAUUACAGCAUAGAUAAGGGGUGUUACACCGCUGCAUAGAGGGGGAGAAAGUUGGUGUUGACGGUAGCAAGGUUGUUGAUGUAGAUCGUCGUCACGAUCCUAGCCCCGGCGGCACUCCGACACCACCGAGAGAGAGGGAGAGAGAGAGACCCCCACCUUAUUCUCCUUCCUUGGCCUCCCCCUAGAUGGGAGGAGAGUUCCCCCUAUGGUCCAUGCCCUUCAUGGAGGCGUAGGGGAGAGAGCCCCUCCGAGAUUGGAUCUCCUUCUCUGUUCUCUUCUGUUUCGCGCUUCCCAGAUCUGGCCCUUCACUGUUUCUUAAAUUCCCAUAUAUCCGUAACUCUGAUUGUGCUGAAAUUUUUACACUAUUUUUUUCCAUAAAUUAUCUUUCUUGCGCCAGAAGAAGGGCUCCAACCAACGUUCUAGGAGGGCACAAGAUACUAGGGCGCGCGUGGGGCCUGUGGCGCUCCCUGGUGGGUUGUGGACUCUAUGGGCCCCCGUUUGCGUUUAUUCCACCUCCCAAAAAUCACAUCAAUUCCAAAAUAAUUAUCCGUAAAUUUUUAUCAUGUUUGGACUUCAUUUGAUAUGGAUUUUCUGCAUACAAAAAACAUGCAAAAAAUAGGAACUGGCACUGGGCACUGGAUCAAUAGGUUAGUCGCAUAAAUCAUAUACAAAGUUGCCAAAAUUAUGUGAAAGUUGUAUAAUAUUGGCAUGAAACAAUCGAAAAUUAUAGAUACAACAGAGACGUAUCAUCAUCCCCAAGCUUAACUCAUGCUCGUCCUCGAGUAGGUAAAUGGUAGAAAAAUGAUGUGGAAUGCUACCUAGCAUAAACUUGAUCAUAUAUCUAAUCAUGACAUGAAUAUUAAGACAUAAGUGAUUCAAAGUAAUAAUCUAUAAUUUGACAUAAAGAGAACAAUACUCAGGCAUCCCAAUAAACAAUCAUGUAUUUCAAAAUAUCAACGCUAAAGAAAGCUAUCCCUACAAAGUCAUAUAAUCUUGUCAUGAUUUGUCUUCUUAACACAAAGUAUAAAUCAUGUACUAUCCCGGUGUCAGCCAAGCAAUUGGUUCAUACUAUUUAACGCGCUUCAGCUUUUUCAACCCUCACGCAAUACAUGAGCGAAAACCAUGGAUAUAGCACUAUGGGUGGAAUAGAGUAUGAUGAUAGGGGUAAAUAUAAAGAAGCCAAAAAAGUAAUAAAGUCUCACAUCAACGCGGCUAACCAACGGGCUAUGGAGAUGCCCAUCAAUUGAUAUCAAUGUGAGGAGUAAGGGUUGUCAUGCAAUGAAUGCACUAAGAGCUAUAAGUGUAUGGAAUCUCCAUAUGAAAACUAAGUGGGUGUGCAUCUAAUCCUAUAAUGAAAAAUUCCCACCGGUAUAUGAAAGUGACAAAAUAGGAGACUCUCCAUAUGAUAAACAUGGUACUACUUUGAAGCACAAGUGUGGAACUAGCAUCCCCCUUCUCUGUCUUUUUUCUUCUUUUUUUAUUUCUUUCUUUUCUAUAUUUUUUCUUUUUUUAUAUUUUUUUCUCUCAUUGUCCCGAGUCUCAUCCCGACUUGUGGGGGAAUCAUAGUCUCCAUCAUCCUUUCCUCACCGGGACAUGCUCUAAUAAUGAAUAAUGAUGAUCAUCACACUUCUAUUUACUUAUAACUCAAAAGGAAUAAAAAUUACAACUCGAUACCUAGAACAAAAUAUGACUCUACAUGAAUGCCCCUGGCAGUGUACCAGGAUGUGCAAUGAUCUAGCGUAACAUGUAUAAAAAUGAUGCACGGUGGUUGAGCCACGACUACUAUGCCAGCUAUAUGAUCAUGCAAAGCAAUACGACAAUGAAUGCUCAAGUCAAACGGAGGCGGUGGAAAUUGCAUGACAAUAUAUCUCGUAAUGGCUAUGGCAAGGCCAUAAUAGGUAGGUAUGGUGGCUAUUUUAAGGAAGAUAUAAUAAGACUUAUGUGUGAUAGAGCGUAUCAUAUCACGGGGUUUGGAUGCACCGGCGAGGUUUGCACCACGUCUCGAGGUGAGAAAGGGCAAUGCACGGUACCAUAGAGGCUAACAAAUUGCGGAAAGGUAAGAGUGCAUACAAUCCAUGGACUCACAUUAGUCAUAAAGAACUCAUAUACUUAUUGCAAAAGUUUAUUAGCCCUCUAAGAAAAGUACUACUACGCAUGCCCCUAGGGGGGAGGUUGGUAGGAGUUAACCAUCGCGCGCCCCGACCUUCACACAAAGAUAGACAAUCAAGGAUAAAUUGUGCUCCAACUUCCGGCAUAACGAGAGACUAUACGUGCAUGCUUCGGGAAUCACAAACCUUAACACCAAUAUUCUUACUAACCACAACCGUUUACUAGUACCUCCCACAUAUUUCAUCUCUAUAUCUCAAAACUACCGCAAGGAAUCAAACAUAUCAUAUUCAGUGAUCCAUAAGUUUUAUGUAGGAUUUUAUGACUAACCAUGCAAAUGACCAAUUCUUGUUGACUCUCUAAAUAGAUAUAAGUGAAGCAUGAGAGUUUAAUUCUUUCUACAAAAGAUCAUGCUCUAAUAAGUAUAAGUGAAUCAAUAGAGCAUUCUACAAACAACGGUUUUUUAUGUGAAGAGAAACAGGCAAUCCAAACUUCAAAUGAUAUAAGUGAGGCACAUGAAGCAUUCUAUAAAGCCAUACUCAAAAGAUAUAAGUGAAGUGCAAUGAGCAUUCUGUAAAUCAACCAUGUACUAUCUCAUACCAGCAUGGUGCAUAAAAGAAAAAAUGAAAACUAAAUGCAAAAGACGCUCCAAGAGUUGCACAUAACACAUGAACGAAGCAAAGACGAAAACAUACCGAUACUUGUUAAAGAAAGAUGGGAUGCCUUCCGGGGCAUCCCUAAGCUUAGACGCUUGAGUCUACUUGAAUAUUUACUUGGGAUGCCUUGGGAAUCCCCAUGAUUGAGAUCUUGCCUCUCCUCCCUCUCCUUAUAUCGAGACUUCCUCGAUCUUUGAUCACUUCAUCCACACAAAACUCAACAGAAAGCUCGGUAAGAUCUGUUAGUAUAAUAAAGCAAAUCACUACUCUAAGUACUGUUGCAAACCAAUUCAUAUUUUGUUUUUGCAUUGUAACUAUUGUAAUAUAACUUUUCCAUGGCUCAUACCACCGAUAAAAAUCGAUAGUUUCAUCAAAACAAGCAAAACAAUGCGUCAAAAACAGAAUUUGUGUUAAAAACGACAAGUUGUAGCAAUCUUUACAUCUACCAUACUUCUGGUACUCCAAAAAUUCUGAGAAAUUAGGACGAAAUAAAAAAAAUUGUAUAGCAAGAUUGUGCAAAAAGUUUCAGAACCUUUUUAGUUCCAGUAAAAAAUGAAAAUUCACGCACUACAGCCAAAGUUUCUGUUUCUGCACCGCACAUACCAACAAGCAAUGUACCCAUACUAAAGGAAAAUCUUGGCACAUUAUUUUUAUAAUACAAUGGAUUUGUACAAGGGGAUAAUUAUUUUUGUGAGAAUCUUCAUGAAAACUUCUACAUUGUUUCCGUGAGCAUGAACACAAGUGUUCAAGGUCGACCCUCACUUCACCAAUGCAUCACCUUUCAAUCGCUUCUAUUUUUGUGAAGUAUUAAGUUCCCCUCUAUUUUUUUGUUUUUAAACAUUGUAAAAGCACUCAACAGAAUGAAAUGACUCUAAAACUUCCAGGUUGUCUCCCUGGGAGCGCUUUCUUUAAAGCCAUUAAGCUAGGCAUAAAAUGCUCAAGCAAUGGAUCCACUCGGAUCCCAAGGUAUAUCAAAGCCAAUUUUAAUUAGCAAUGAUUUGGCAUUUAGUAGUGAGAACAAAGCAACAUAUAUCAAGCAAUGACGAAGUCUAACUAUCUUCCUAUGCAUCGGCGUGUCAUACAAGAACAAUUCAUGCACAUCAAGUAAAGACCAAUACAUAGCGUAAGCAGUUUCUUGCAAUUUUAUCGUGUUGGAAACAUAGAGAGGCGGAGAUGUAGUUCCUCUAUCGUAAUAGUUGCAAGUAGGAGCAGCAAGCACAUGUAUAUUAUAUUCAUAAAAAUCAUCAUGUGUAGUGGUAAAAGGCAACCCAUCAAUAUAAUCCUUAACAAGUGCAAACUUCUCCGAUAUAGUGUAGUUUGGAGAAUUCAAAAAGAUAAUAGGACUAUCAUGUGUGGGUGCAAUAGAAACAAUUUCAUUCUUAAUAUAAGUAACAAUAGCAAGUUCAUCUCCAAUAGAAUAUUUCAUAUUGGCAUCUUGUCCACAAGCAUAGCAAGCAUCAUCAAAAAGGGAUAUUUCAAAGGAAUCAACGGGGUCAUAGCAAUUAUCAUAGCAUUCAUCCUUCGGUAAGAACAAAGGGACGUUAAACAAUGUAUGAGUUGAAGAGUUACUCUUAUUAGAAGGUGGGCACAGAUGAUCAAUCCGCUCUUCCUCCUUUUGUUCUUCGCUCUCCUCAUCAUCUUUUUCAUCCAAUGAGCUCACAGUUUCAUCAAUUCCUUCUUCCAUAGACUCCUACAAAAUAUUAGUCUCUUCUUGGACAGGGAAACUUUCUCAAUAAACACAUCAAUUUCGGAAUUGUAUUUAUAAUUCUCAUAGCAAUAUUUAAGGAUAGCAAAAAUUUAAGGUCUAUAAACCGAAUCAUCAAAAUCUUCAAACUUUUCAAACAAAGAUUCAAUUUCAUAAGCACCCUUAAAAGCAACAAAUUCUUCUAUUCGUUCCACAUCAUAGUAAUCAUAUAUACCAUUAGCAUAAGAAGCCAAGAUUUCAUUAUCAUUAAAUUUGCAUGAAAAGGGAAGGUGUGGAGAAUUCAUCCUAGAGCAACAAGUAAAAUCAUAUCUCUCGCAUAAAUUCCAAGCAUACCAAUGCAACCUAUCAAUUUGAUCCCAUAACAAUUUCCCUUUUUGUGUCAAGCAAUAAUCCCUAAAGUAUUCACGUGGAUCCAGCGUGUCUCCCGUUAUCAUGUUGAAUGUGGUUUUCUCAGGAUUAUCAAAGUAGUGCAUAAUAUUUUUCACAUAACGAGCAUCGAGGGUUUUAGGAGGUUCCCCAUCUCUAUGAGUAGCAAGUACCACUAAUUUUUUGGUGUUUCGUGUUCCAUAUCCAUAACUAAAGAUAGAGAACAACAUAAACGGGAAAUAAAAACUACUUAGUGAUAAAGCAAACAAGCACACACGAGAAUAUUCACCCCACGCUAUUGCUCCCAGCAACGGCGCCAGAAAAAGGUCUUGAUAACCCACAAAUAUAGGGGAUCAUUUGGAGCCUUCUUCGAUAAAUAAGAGUGUCGAACCCAACGAGGAGCUAAAGGCAGAACAAAUAUUCCCUCAAGUUCUAUCGACCGUCGAUACAACUCUACGCACGCUUGACGUUUGCUUUACCUAAAACAAGUAUGAAACUAUUUUGCAAGAAUAAACCUACGAGUACUUUGCGAGAAUAAAACUACGAAUAAAUUUCAAGGUAAUAAAAGUGGAUAGUUUCUGUCAACAAGAAAGUCAUUUGUCCCUAGGCAAUCGAUAACAAGUACCGGUAAUCAUUCUUGCAAUUUUAUAUGAGGGAGACGCAUGAGCUAACAUACUUUCUCUACUUGGAUCAUAUGCACUUAUGAUUGGAACUCUAGCCAGCAUCCGCAACUACUAAAGAUCAUUAAGGUCAUGAAACCCAACCAUAGCAUUAAGUAUCAAGUCCUCUUUACUCCCAUACGCCAUAACCCACUUAUCCGCGUUUAGGCUGCUGUCACCCCCACAACACCGACAAUAAGCAAACCAUGAACAUAUUGCAACACCCUACAGCGGGGGGCCCUCACGUUUGCGUGACACGGAGGGCAUCGUAGGACAACACCAUAAAUAAAAUAUACAAUCAUACCAACCAAGAUCACGAUUAACCCAUAGGACAAAACGGAUCUACUCAAACAUCAUAGGAUAGCUAAAUAUCAUUUGGAAAUAAUAUAUGGAGCUGAGCACCAUGUUUAUGUUGGGGAACGUCGCANNNNNNNNNNNNNNNNNNNNNNNNNNNNNNNNNNNNNNNNNNNNNNNNNNNNNNNNNNNNNNNNNNNNNNNNNNNNNNNNNNNNNNNNNNNNNNNNNNNNNNNNNNNNNNNNNNNNNNNNNNNNNNNNNNNNNNNNNNNNNNNNNNNNNNNNNNNNNNNNNNNNNNNNNNNNNNNNNNNNNNNNNNNNNNNNNNNNNNNNNNNNNNNNNNNNNNNNNNNNNNNNNNNNNNNNNNNNNNNNNNNNNNNNNNNNNNNNNNNNNNNNNNNNNNNNNNNNNNNNNNNNNNNNNNNNNNNNNNNNNNNNNNNNNNNNNNNNNNNNNNNNNNNNNNNNNNNNNNNNNNNNNNNNNNNNNNNNNNNNNNNNNNNNNNNNNNNNNNNNNNNNNNNNNNNNNNNNNNNNNNNNNNNNNNNNNNNNNNNNNNNNNNNNNNNNNNNNNNNNNNNNNNNNNNNNNNNNNNNNNNNNNNNNNNNNNNNNNNNNNNNNNNNNNNNNNNNNNNNNNNNNNNNNNNNNNNNNNNNNNNNNNNNNNNNNNNNNNNNNNNNNNNNNNNNNNNNNNNNNNNNNNNNNNNNNNNNNNNNNNNNNNNNNNNNNNNNNNNNNNNNNNNNNNNNNNNNNNNNNNNNNNNNNNNNNNNNNNNNNNNNNNNNNNNNNNNNNNNNNNNNNNNNNNNNNNNNNNNNNNNNNNNNNNNNNNNNNNNNNNNNNNNNNNNNNNNNNNNNNNNNNNNNNNNNNNNNNNNNNNNNNNNNNNNNNNNNNNNNNNNNNNNNNNNNNNNNNNNNNNNNNNNNNNNNNNNNNNNNNNNNNNNNNNNNNNNNNNNNNNNNNNNNNNNNNNNNNNNNNNNNNNNNNNNNNNNNNNNNNNNNNNNNNNNNNNNNNNNNNNNNNNNNNNNNNNNNNNNNNNNNNNNNNNNNNNNNNNNNNNNNNNNNNNNNNNNNNNNNNNNNNNNNNNNNNNNNNNNNNNNNNNNNNNNNNNNNNNNNNNNNNNNNNNNNNNNNNNNNNNNNNNNNNNNNNNNNNNNNNNNNNNNNNNNNNNNNNNNNNNNNNNNNNNNNNNNNNNNNNNNNNNNNNNNNNNNNNNNNNNNNNNNNNNNNNNNNNNNNNNNNNNNNNNNNNNNNNNNNNNNNNNNNNNNNNNNNNNNNNNNNNNNNNNNNNNNNNNNNNNNNNNNNNNNNNNNNNNNNNNNNNNNNNNNNNNNNNNNNNNNNNNNNNNNNNNNNNNNNNNNNNNNNNNNNNNNNNNNNNNNNNNNNNNNNNNNNNNNNNNNNNNNNNNNNNNNNNNNNNNNNNNNNNNNNNNNACUAUUAUCUUGAUACAUGAAUUAUAAUAACAACUAUACAUUUAUUAUUGCCUCUAGGGCAUAAUUCCAACAGUCUCCCACUUGCACUAGAGUCAAUAAUCUAGCCCUCACAUCACCAUGUGAAUUACAUUGUAAUAAAUCUAACACCCAUACAGUUCUGGUGUUGAUCAUGUUUUGGCCGUGGAAGAGGUUUAGUCAGCGGGUCUGCUACAUUCAGAUCCGUGUGCACUUUGCAUAUAUUUACGUCCUCCUCCUCGACGUAGUCGCGGAUGAGGUUGAAGCGUCGUUUGAUGUGUCUGGUCUUCUUGUGAAACCUUGGUUCCUUUGCCAGGGCAAUGGCACCAGUGUUGUCACAGAACAAGGUUAUUGGAUCCAGUGCACUUGGCACCACUCCAAGAUCCGUCAUGAACUGCUUCAUCCAGACACCCUCCUUAGCCGCCUCCGAGGCAGCCAUGUACUCUGCUUCACAUGUAGAAUCUGCUACGACGCUUUGCUUGGAACUGCACCAGCUUACUGCACCCCCAUUAAGAAUAAAUACAUAUCCGGUUUGCGACUUAGAGUCGUCCGGAUCUGUGUCAAAGCUUGCAUCGACGUAACCUUUUACGGCGAGCUCUUCGUCACCUCCAUACACGAGAAACAUCUCCUUAGUCCUUUUCAGGUACUUUAGGAUAUUCUUGACCGCUGUCCAGUGAUCCACUCCUGGAUUACUCUGGAACCUGCCUGCCAUACUUAUGGCCAGGCUAACAUCCGGUCUAGUGCACAGCAUCGCAUACAUGAUAGAACCUAUGGCUGAAGCAUAGGGGACGGAGCGCAUAUGCUCUCUAUCUUCAUCAGUUGCUGGGCACUGAGUCUUACUCAAUCUCGUACCUUGUAAAACUGGCAAGAACCCUUUCUUGGACUGUUCCAUUUUGAACCUCUUCAAAACUUUAUCAAGGUAUGUGCUUUGUGAAAGUCCUAUCAGGCGUUUUGAUCUAUCCCUAUAGAUCUUAAUGCCUAGAAUGUAAGCAGCUUCUCCUAGGUCCUUCAUAGAGAAACUUUUAUUCAAGUAACCUUUUAUGCUCUCCAAAAGCUCUACGUUGUUUCCAAUCAGUAAUAUGUCAUCCACAUAUAAUAUUAGAAACGCCACAGAGCUCCCACUCACUUUCUUGUAAAUACAAGAUUCUCCAACCACUUGUAUAAACCCAAAUGCUUUGAUCACCUCAUCAAAGCGUUUGUUCCAACUCCGAGAUGCUUGCACCAGUCCAUAAAUGGAUCGCUGGAGCUUGCACACCUUGUCAGCAUUUUUAGGAUCGACAAAACCUUCGGGUUGCAUCAUAUACAACUCUUCCUUAAGGAAACCGUUAAGGAACGCCGUUUUGACAUCCAUCUGCCAGAUUUCAUAAUCGAAAAAUGCAGCUAUUGCUAACAUGAUUCUGACGGACUUAAGCAUCGCUACGGGAGAGAAAGUCUCAUCGUAGUCAAUUCCUGGAACUUGUGAAAAACCCUUUGCCACAAGUCGAGCUUUAUAAACGGUCACAUUGCCGUCAGCGUCCGUCUUCUUCUUAAAGAUCCAUUUGUUCUGAAUAGCCUUGCGGCCCUCAGGCAGUAUCUCCAAAGUCCAUACUUUGUUCUCAUACAUGGAUCCUAUCUCGGAUUUCAUGGCUUCUAGCCAUUUGUUGGAAUCUGGGCCCACCAUUGCUUCUUCAUAAUUUGCAAGUUCAUUGUUGUCUAACAACAUGAUUGACAAGACGGGAUUACCGUACCACUCUGGAGCAGCGCGUGAUCUCGUCGACCUGCGUGGUUCAACAGAAACUUGAACUGGAGUUUCAUGAUCAUCAUCAUUAACUUCCUCCUCAACCGGCGUCGCAAUGACAGAGGUUUCCCCUUGCCCUGCGCCACCAUCCAGAGGGAUGAGAGGUUCGACAACCUCGUCAAGUUCUAUCUUCCUCCCACUCAAUUCUCUCGAGAGAAACUCCUUCUCGAGAAAAGUUCCGUUCUUAGCAACAAACACUUUGCCCUCGGAUUUGAGAUAGAAGGUGUACCCAACUGUCUCUUUUGAGUAACCUAUGAAGAUGCACUUUUCCGCUUUGGGUUCCAGCUUUUCAGGCUGAAGCUUUUUGACAUAAGCAUCACAUCCCCAAACUUUAAGAAACGACAACUUUGGCCUUUUGUCAUACCAUAGUUCGUAUGGUGUCGUCUCAACGGAUUUCAAUGGUGCCCUAUUUAAAGUGAAUGCAGCUAUUUCUAAUGCAUAACCCCAAAACGAUAACGGCAAAUCAGUAAGAGACAUCAUAGAUCGCACCAUUUCUAACAAAGUACGAUUACGACGUUCGGACACACCAUUACGCUGUGGUGUUCCAGGCGGUGUUAACUGCGAGACAAUUCCACAUUGUCUUAAGUGAGUACCAAACUCGAAACUCAGAUAUUCACCCCCACGAUCAGACCGUAGGAACUUGAUCUUCUUGUUACGAUGAUUUUCCACUUCACUCUGAAAUUGUUUGAACUUUUCAAAUGUUUCAGACUUGUGUUUCAUCAAGUAGACAUAACCAUAUCUACUUAAAUCGUCAGUGAAGGUGAGAAAAUAACGAUAUCCGCCGCGUGCCUCCACGCUCAUUGGACCACACACAUCGGUAUGUAUGAUUUCCAACAAGUCACUUGCACGCUCCAUUGUUCCGGAGAACGGAGUCUUAGUCAUCUUGCCCAUGAGGCAUGGUUCGCACGUGUCAAGUGAAUCAAAGUCAAGUGACUCCAAAAGUCCAUCAGCAUGGAGUUUCUUCAUGCGCUUUACACCAAUAUGACCCAAGCGGCAGUGCCACAAAAAUAUGGCGCUAUCAUUGUUUACUCUAACUCUUUUGGUCUCAAUGUUAUGUAUAUGCGUAUCUCUAUCAAGAUUCAAUAUGAACAAUCCUCUCACAUUCGGUGCAUGACCAUAAAAGAUGUUACUCAUAGAAAUAGAACAACCAUUAUUCUCAGACUUAAAAGAGUAACCGUCUCGCAAUAAACAAGAUCCAGAUAUAAUGUUCAUGCUCAACGCAGGCACUAAAUAACAAUGAUUUAAGUUCAUCACUAAUCCCGAUGGUAGUUGAAGUGACACUGUGCCGACGGCGAUUGCAUCAACCUUGGAACCGUUUCCUACGCGCAUCGUCACUUCGUCUUUCGCCAGCCUUCGUCUAUUCCGCAGUUCCUGCUUCGAGUUGCAAAUGUGAGCAACAGAACCGGUAUCGAAUACCCAGGCACUACUACGAGAGCUGGUUAAGUACACAUCAAUAACAUGUAUAUCAAAUAUACCUGAUUUUUCUUUGCCCGCCUUCUUAUCUGCCAGAUACUUGGGGCAAUUGCGCUUCCAGUGACCCAUACCCUUGCAAUAGAAGCACUCUGUUUCAGGCUUAGGUCCAGCUUUGGGUUUCUUCGGCGGAUUGGCAACAGGCUUGCCGCUCUUCUUCGAAUUGCCCUUCUUGCCUUUGCCGUUUCUCUUGAAACUAGUGGUCUUGCUCACCAUCAACACUUGAUGCUCUUUACGGAGUUCAGACUCUGCGACUUUCAGCAUCGCAAACAACUCGCCGGGAGACUUGUUCAUCCCUUGCAUGUUGUAGUUCAACACAAAGCCUUUAUAGCUUGGCGGCAGUGGUUGAAGGAUUCUGUCAGUGAUAGCUUCUUGCGGGAGCUCAAUCCCCAGUUCAGCUAGACGGUUUGAGUACCCAGACAUUUUGAGCACAUGUUCACUGACAGACGAGUUUUCCUCCAUCUUGCAAGCAUAGAAUUUAUCGGAGGUCUCAUACCUCUCGAUCCGGGCGUUCUUCUGAAAGAUGAACUUCAACUCCUGGAACAUCUCAAAUGCUCCAUGACGCUCAAAGCGACGUUGAAGUCCCGGUUCUAAGCCAUACAAGACUGCACAUUGAACUAUUGAGUAGUCCUCCUUACGCGCUAACCAAGCGUUCUUAACAUCCUGAUCAGCCGUAGCGGGUGGUUCAUCUCCUAGCGCAGCAUUAAGGACAUAAUCCUUCUUUCCAGCUUGUAAGAUUAGCUUAAGAUUACGAGCCCAGUCUACAAAGUUGCUUCCAUCAUCUUUCAACUUAGCUUUCUCUAGGAACGUAUUAAAAUUGAGGAUGACACUUGCGUGAGCCAUGAUCUACAACACAAAUAUAUUCAAAGUGGACUUAGACUAUGUUCAAGAUAAUUAGAGUUCAACUUAAUCAAAUUAUAUGCUAAACUCCCACUCAAAAAGUACAUCUCUCUAGUCAUUUGAGUGGUUCAUGAUCCACCUACACUAUCCCAAGUCCGAUCAUCACGUGAGUCGGGAGUAGUUUCAGUGGUAAGCAUCCCUAUGCUAAUCAUAUCAUCUAUAUGAUUCAUGAUCGACCUUUCGGUCUCAUGUGUUCCGAGGCCAUGUCUGCACAUGCUAGGCUCGUCAAGCUUAACCCGAGUGUUCCGCGUGCGCAACUGUUUUGCACCCAUUGUAUGUGAACGUUGAGUCUAUCACACCCGAUCAUCACGUGGUGUCUCGAAACGACGAACUAUAGCAACGGUGCACAGUCGGGGAGAACACAAUUUCGUCUUGAAAUUUUAGUGAGAGAUCACCUCAUAAUGCUACUGUCGUUCUAAGCAAAAUAAGGUGCAUAAAAGGAUUAACAUCACAUGCAAUUCAUAAGUGACAUGAUAUGGCCAUCAUCACGUGCUUCUUGAUCUCCAUCACCAAAGCACCGGCACGAUCUUCUUGCCACCAGCGCCACACCAUGAUCAUCCAUCAACGUGUUGCCAUCGGGGUUGUCGUGCUACUUAUGCUAUUACUACUAAAGCUACAUCCUAGCAAAAUAGUAAACGCAUCUGCAAGCACAAACUUGUUAGUAUAAAGACAACCCUAUGGCUCCUGCCGGUUGCCGUACCAUCGACGUGCAAGUCGAUAUUUCUAUUACAACAUGAUCAUCUCAUACAUCCAAUAUAUCACAUCACAUCAUUGGCCAUAUCACAUCACAAUCAUACCCUGCAAAAACAAGUUAGACGUCCUCUAAUUUUGUUGUUGCAUGUUUUACGUGGUGACCAAGGGUAUCUAGUAGGAUCGCAUCUUACUUACGCAAACACCACAACGGAGAUAUAUGAGUUGCUAUUUAACCUCAUCCAAGGACCUCCUCGGUCAAAUCCGAUUCAACUAAAGUUGGAGAAACCGUCACUUGCCAGUCAUCUUUGAGCAUAAGGGGGUUACUCGUAACGAUGAAACCAGUCUCUCGUAAGCGUACGAGUAAUGUCGGUCCAAGCCGCUUCAAUCCAACAAUACCGCGGAAUCAAGAAAAGACUAAGGAGGGCAGCAAAACGCACAUCACCGCCCAAAAAACCUUUUGUGUUCUACUCGAGAAAACAUCUACGCAUGAACCUAGCUCAUGAUGCCACUGUUGGGGAACGUCGCANNNNNNNNNNNNNNNNNNNNNNNNNNNNNNNNNNNNNNNNNNNNNNNNNNNNNNNNNNNNNNNNNNNNNNNNNNNNNNNNNNNNNNNNNNNNNNNNNNNNNNNNNNNNNNNNNNNNNNNNNNNNNNNNNNNNNNNNNNNNNNNNNNNNNNNNNNNNNNNNNNNNNNNNNNNNNNNNNNNNNNNNNNNNNNNNNNNNNNNNNNNNNNNNNNNNNNNNNNNNNNNNNNNNNNNNNNNNNNNNNNNNNNNNNNNNNNNNNNNNNNNNNNNNNNNNNNNNNNNNNNNNNNNNNNNNNNNNNNNNNNNNNNNNNNNNNNNNNNNNNNNNNNNNNNNNNNNNNNNNNNNNNNNNNNNNNNNNNNNNNNNNNNNNNNNNNNNNNNNNNNNNNNNNNNNNNNNNNNNNNNNNNNNNNNNNNNNNNNNNNNNNNNNNNNNNNNNNNNNNNNNNNNNNNNNNNNNNNNNNNNNNNNNNNNNNNNNNNNNNNNNNNNNNNNNNNNNNNNNNNNNNNNNNNNNNNNNNNNNNNNNNNNNNNNNNNNNNNNNNNNNNNNNNNNNNNNNNNNNNNNNNNNNNNNNNNNNNNNNNNNNNNNNNNNNNNNNNNNNNNNNNNNNNNNNNNNNNNNNNNNNNNNNNNNNNNNNNNNNNNNNNNNNNNNNNNNNNNNNNNNNNNNNNNNNNNNNNNNNNNNNNNNNNNNNNNNNNNNNNNNNNNNNNNNNNNNNNNNNNNNNNNNNNNNNNNNNNNNNNNNNNNNNNNNNNNNNNNNNNNNNNNNNNNNNNNNNNNNNNNNNNNNNNNNNNNNNNNNNNNNNNNNNNNNNNNNNNNNNNNNNNNNNNNNNNNNNNNNNNNNNNNNNNNNNNNNNNNNNNNNNNNNNNNNNNNNNNNNNNNNNNNNNNNNNNNNNNNNNNNNNNNNNNNNNNNNNNNNNNNNNNNNNNNNNNNNNNNNNNNNNNNNNNNNNNNNNNNNNNNNNNNNNNNNACUAUUAUCUUGAUACAGGAAUUAUAAUAACAACUAUACAUUUAUUAUUGCCUCUAGGGCAUAAUUCCAACAGUUUAAGUAGAGAUUACAGCGGGGAGAACGGGUGUUACACCGCUGCAUAGAGGGGGGGGAGUUGGUGUUGACGGUAGCAAGGUUGUUGAUGUAGAUCGCCAUCACGGUCCUAGCCCCGGCGACACUCCGGCGCCACUUGAAGAGAGGGGGAGAGAGCCCGCCCUACUUUUUCUCCUUCCUUGGCCUCCCCCUAGAUGGGAGGAGAGUUCCCCCUCUGGUCCAUGGACUCCGUGGUGGCAGAGGGACGGGAUCCCCUCCGAGAUUGGAUCUCCUUCUCUGUUCUCUUCUGUUUCGCGCUUCCCAGAUUUGUCCCUUCGCGGUUUCUUAAAUUCCCGGAGAUCCAUAACUCUGAUUGCGCUGAAAUUUUUACACGAUUUUUUCCAUGAAUUAUCUUUCUUGCGCCAGAAGAAGGUCUCCAACCAACGUUCGAGGAGAGCACAAGACAUCAGGGCUCGCUUGGGGCCUGUGGCGCGCCCUAGUGGGUUGUGGGCUCUGUGGGCCCCGUUUGCGUUGAUUCCACCUCCCAAAAAUCAUAUAAAUUCCAAAAUAAUUUUCCGUAAAUUUUUAUCACGUUUGGACUUUGUUUCAUAUGGAUUUUCUACGAUACGAAAAACAUGCAAAAAACAGGAACUCGCACUGGCACUUGAUCAAUAGGUUAGUCGCAUAAAUCAUAUAAAAAGUUGCCAAAAGUAUGUGAAAGUUGUAUAAUAUUGGCAUGAAACAAUCAAAAAUUAUUGAUACGACGGAGACGUAUCACCCAGUAAUGUUGCGGCGUUUGAUACACACAAGGCAUUCCUCCGGUGUCAAUGAGUUAGAUGAUCUCAUGGUCAUAGGAAUGCAUACUUGACAUGCAGAAAACAAUAGCAACAAAAUGACACGAUCGUAUGCUACGUUUAUAGUUUGGGUCUUGUCCAUCACAUCAUUAUCCUAAUGAUGUGAUCCCGUCAUCAAAUGACAACACUUGUCUAUAGCUAGGAAACCUUAACCAUCCUUGAUCGAUGAGCUAGUCAACUAGAGGCUUGCUAGGGACAGUAUUUUGUGUAUGUAUCCACAUAUAUAUAUUUAUGUUUCCAUUCAAUACAAUCAUAGCACGGAUAAUAAACGAUUAUCUUGAAACAGGAAAUAUAAUCAUAACUAUUUUAUUAUUGCCUCUAGGGCAUAUUUCCAACAGUCUCCCACUUGCACUAGAGUCAAUAAUCAAGCUUGACAUCUCUAUGUGAUUUACAAUGUAAUGAAUCUAACACCCAUACAGUUCUGGUGUUGAUCAUGCUUUUCUCGUGGAAGAGGCUUAGUUAGCGGAUCUGCAACAUUCAGAUCCGUGUGCACUCUGCAAAUAUUUAUGUCCUCAUCCUUGACGUACUCGCGGAUGGCAUUGAAGCGUCGCUUUAUGUGUCUAGUCCUCUUGUGAAACCUUGGUUCCUUGGCUAGAGCAAUGGCACCAGUGUUGUCAAAGAACAUAUUGAUUCGGUUCAGUGCACUUGGCACUACUCCAAGAUCUGACAUGAACUGCUUCAUCUAUACACCCUCCUUAGCCACCUCUGAGGCAGCUAUGUACUCUGCUUCGCAUGUAGAAUCAGCUACGACGCUUUGCUUGGAACUGCACCAGCUUACCGCAUCCCCAUUAAGAAUAAAUACGUAUCUGGUUUGUGACUUAGAGUCAUCUGGAUCGGUGUCAAAGCUUGCAUCGACGUAACCAUUUACGACGGGCUCUUCGUCACCUCCAUAAACGAGAAACAUUUCCUUAGUCCUUUUCAGGUACUUCAAAAUAUACUUGACCGCCGCCCAGUGCUCCACUCGUGGAUCACUCUGAAACCUGCCUACCAUAGUUAUGGCCAGGCUGACAUCCGGUCUUGUGCUCAACAUUGCAUACAUGAUAGACCCUAUGGAUGAAGCAUAGGGGACGACAGUCAUCUUUUCUCUAUCUUCUGCAGUUACUGGACAAGAACUUUAUACCUUGUAACACAGGCAAGAACCCCUUCUUGGAUUGUUCCAUUUUGAACUUCUUCAAAACUUUGUUAAGGUCUGCUUUAUGAAAGUGCUAUAAGGCGCCUUGACCUAUCUCUAUAGAUCUUUAUGCCCAAUAUGUAAGCAGCUUCUCACAGGUCCUUCAUUGAAAAACUUUUAUUCAAGUAAUCAUUUACGUUUUUCCAAAAACUCUACAUUGUUUCCAAUCGGCAAUAUGUCAUCCACAUAUAAUAUUGGAAACUCUAUAGAGCUCCCACUCACUUUCUUGUAAAUACAAGCUUCUCCAAAAACUUGUAUAAACCCGAACGCCUUGAUCACCUCAUCAAAGCGUUGAUUCCAACUCUGGGAUGCUUGCACGAGUCCAUAAAUGGAUCGCUGGAGUUUGCACACUUUGUCAGCAUUCUCUGGAUCGACGAAACCUUCGGGUUGCAUCAUAUACAACUCUUCCUUAAGAAACCCGUUAAGAAACGCCAUUUUGACAUCCAUCUGCCAGAUUUCAUAAUGGAAAAAUGCAGCUAUUUCUAACAUGAUUUGGACAGACUUAAGCAUCGCUACGGGUGAGAAUGUCUCAUCAUAGUCAACUCCUUGAACUUAUGAAAAACCCUUUUCCACAAGUCGAGCUUUAUAAACAGUAACAUUACCGUCUACAUUUGUCUUCUUCUUAAAGAUCCAUUUGUUCCGAAUAGCCUUUCGACCUUCAGGUAAUACUUCCAAAGUCCAUAAUUUGUUUUCAUACAUAGAUCCUAUCUCGGAUUUCAUGGCUUCUAACCAUCUAUUGGAAUCUGGGCCCACAAUUGCUUCUCCAUAAUUCGCAGGCUCAUUGUUGUCCAGCAACAUGAUUGAUAAGACAGGAUUCACGUACCACUCGGGAGCAGUACGUGCUCUUGUCGACCUGCGAGGCCCGAUAGCAACUUGAUCUGAAGCUUCAUGAUCACCAUCAUUAGCUUCCUCUUCAACUGGUGUUGCCUCGACAUAAAUUUCUUUCUGCCCUGCGCCACCAUCUUGUUGAAGUAGAGGUUCCACAACCUCAUCAAGUUCUAUCUUCCUCCCACUCAAUUCUUUCGAGAGAAACUUUUUCUCAAGAAAAGAUUCAUUCUUAGCGACAAACACUUUGCCCUUGGAUCUGAUAUAGAACGUAUACCCAACUGUCUCUUUUGGGUAACCUAUGAAGAAACACUUUUCCGCUUUGGGUUCUAGCUUUUCAGGCUGAAGCUUUUUGACAUAAGCAUCACAUCCCCAAACUUUAAGAAACAACAACUUUGGCUUCUUACCAUACUACAACUCGUAUGGUGUCGUCUCAACGGAUUUUGAUGGUGCCCUAUUUAAAGUGAAUGCAGUUGUCUCCAAUGCAUAGCCCCAAAAUGAUAAUGACAAAUCGGUAAGAGACAUCAUAGAACGCACCAUAUCUAAUAAAGUACGAUUACGACGUUCGAACACACCAUUGCGCUAUGGUGUUCUAGGCGUUGCCAACUGUGAAACAAUUCCACAUUGUCUUAAGUGUGCACCAAACUCGUAACUCAUAUAUUCACCUCCUUGAUCAAAUCGUAGGAACUUGAUCUUCUUGUUACGAUGAUUUUCAACUUCACUCUGAAAUUGCUUUAACUUUUCAAACGUUUCAGACUUUUGCUUCAUCAAGUAGAUAUAAUCAUACCUACUCAAAUCGUCCGUGAAGAUGAGAAAAUAACGAUAUUCACCGCGCGCCUCUAUGAUCAUUGGUCCGCACACAUCAGUAUGUAUGAUCUCCAACAAGUCACUUCCAUGCUCCAUUGUUCCAGAGAACGUAGUCUUAGUCAUAUUACCCAUGAGACAUGGUUCGCAUGUGUAAAGUGAUUCAAAAUCAAGUGACUCCAAAAUUCCAUCAGCAUGGAGUUUCUUCAUGCGCUUUACACCAAUAUGACCUAAGCGACAGUGCCAUGGCGCUAUCAUUAUUAACUCUGCAUCUUUUGGUCUCAAUGUUAUGGACAUGAGUGUCAUCAUAAUAGAGAUUCAAUAUGAACAAACCCCUCACAUUGGGUGCAUGACCAUACAAGAUAUUACGCAUAUAAAUAGAACAACCAUUAUUCUCUGACUCAAAUGAGUAACCGUCUCGCAAUAAACAAGAUCCAGAUAUAAUGUUCAUGCUCAACGCAGGCACUAAAUAACAAUUAUUUAAGUUCAUCACUAAUCCAGGUGGUAACUGAAGUGAGAGCGUGCCGACGGCGAUCGCAUCAACAUUGGAACCAUUUCCCACGCGCAUCGUCACUUCAUCCUUUCUCAGCCUUCGUUUAUUCCGCAGUUCUUGUAUCGAGUUGCAAAUGUGAGCAAUAGAACCGGUAUCAAAUACCUAGGCACUACUACGAGAGUUGGUGAGGUACACAUCAAUAACAUGUAUAUCAAAUAUACCUUGUUUGGUGUUGGCCGCCUUCUUAUCGGCCAGAUACUUGGGGUAGUUUCGGUUCCAGUGACCAGUUCCCUUGCAGUAAUAACACUCAGUUUCCGACUUAGGUUCAGCCUUGGGUUUUUCGUAGGAGGGGCAACAGGUUUGCCACUCUUCUUGGAGUUACCCUUCUUUCCUUUGUUGUUUUUCUUGAAACUGGUGGUCUUAUUGACCAUCAAAACUUGAUGCUCUUUUUGGAUUUCUGACUCUGCGACUUUCAGCAUCGCAAACAGCUCGGCGAGUGACUUAUUUAUCCCUUGCAUGUUAUAGUUCAACACGAAGCUCUUAUAGCUAGGUGACAGUGAUUGAAUAACUCUGUCAGUGAUAGCCUCUUGCGGGAGUUCAAUCCCCAACUCAGCUAGACGGUGAGAGUACCCAGACAUUUUGAGUAUGUGUUCACUCACACGUCCGUUCUCCUCCAUUUUGCAAGCCUAGAACUUAUCGGAGGUCUCAUACCUCUCGAUCCGGGCAUUCUUCUCAAAGAUAAACUUCAACUCUUGGAACAUCUCAUAUGCUCCAUGACGUUCAAAACGUCUUUGAAGUCCCGGUUCUAAGCCAUACAAAAUUGCACAUCAAACAAAUGAGUAGUCAUCCUUACGGGACUGCCAAGCGUUCAAAACAUCUUGGGUCACCGUAGCAGGUGGUGCAUCACCUAGCGCAACAUCAAGGACAUAUUGCUUUUGGCCAUUCGUGAGGAUAAGCCUCAGAUCACGAGCCCAGUUAACAAAGUUUCUUCCAUUACCUUUCAGCUUAGCUUUCUCUAGGAAUGUAUUAAAAUUCAGGGUUGCUACUGCGCGAGCCAUUGAUCUACAACAUAAAAGUUUGCAAAGAUUACUUAGACUAUGUUCAAGACAAUUGAAUUUAACUAAUCAUAUUACUAAUGAACUCCCACUCAAAUAGACAUCCAUCUAGUCAUUCGAGUGUCGCAUGAUCCAAAUCUACUAACUCAAGUCCGAUCAUCACGUGAGUUGAGAUUAGUUUCAAUGGUGAAUAUCUCCAUGUUGAUCAUAUCAACUAUAUGAUUCAUGCUCAACCUUUCGGUCUCUUGUGUUUCGAGGCCAUGUAUGUACAUGCUAGGCUCGUCAAGUUUAACCCGAGUAUUCCACGUGUGCAACUGUUUUGCACCUGUUGUAUGUGAACAUUGAGUCUAUCACACCCGAUCAUCACGUGGUGUCUCAGAACAACGAACUGUUGCAACGGUGCACAGUCGGGGAGAACACAAUUUUAUCUUGAAAUUUUAGUGAGGGAUCACCUUAUAAUGCUACCUUCGUCCUAAGAAAAAUAAGGUGCAUAAAAGGAUUAACAUCACAUGCAAAUCAAAAGUGACAUGAUAUGGUCAUGAACUUGUGCUUCUUGAUCUCCAUCAUCAAAGCAUCGGCAUGAUCUCCAUCGUCACCGGCGCCGCACCAUGAUCUCCAUCAUCGUGUUGCCAUCGAGGUUGUCGUGCUAUCUAUGCCGUUACUACUAAAGCUACUUCCUAGCGAUAUAGCAAGAGCAUGUGCAAGCGCAAAAUAAAUUUAAAGUCAACCCUAUGGCUCCUGCCGGUUGCCGUAGCAUCGACGUUCAAGUCAAUAUUUAACUAUUACAACAUGAUCAUCUCAUACAUACAAUAUAUCAUAUCAUGUCAUUGGCCAUAUCACAUCACAAGCAUACCGUGCAAAAACAAGUUAGACGUCAUCUAAUUUUGUUGUUGCAUGUUUUACGUGGAUGCUAUGGGUAUCUAGUAUGAUUGCAUCUUACUUACGCAAAGCCACAAUGGUGAUAUGCAAAUUGCUAUUUAACCUUCUCCAAGGACUGUCUCGGUCAAAUCUGAUUCAACUAAAGUUGAAGAAACAGACACCUGCCAGUCAUCUUUAUGCAACAAGUUGCAUGUUAGUGGAUGAGACCGGUCUCUCGUAAGUGUACGAGUAAAGUUGGUCCGGGACGCUUCAAUCCAACAAUGCCGCUGAAUCAAGAAAAGACUAAGGAGGGCAGCAAAUCGAACAUCAAUGCCCACAAACUCUUUUGUGUUCUACUCGAGAUAUCAUCUACGCAUGAACCUAGCUCAUGAUGCCACUGUUGGGAACGUUGCAUGGGAAACAAAAAAAUUCCUACGCACACGAAGACCUAUCAUGGUGAUGAUCAUCUACGAGAGGGAGAUCGGAUCCACAUACCCUUGUAGAUCGCUAAGCGGGAAGCAUUAAGAAACGUGGUUGAUGUAGUGGAACGUCUUCGCGAUCCAAAUCGUCGCCGUCCCACGCUCCGUCCCAAUCUAGCACCGAAUGGACGGCACCUCCGCGUUUAGCACAUGUAUAGCUCGAUGAUGAUCUCCGCCUUCUUGAUCCAACAAGAGGGGCGGAGAGGUAGACGAGUUCUCCGACAGGGCGACAACAUGACGGCGAUGGUGGUGGAGCUAGUCCAGCAGGGCUUCGCCUAAGCACCGUUGAAAACUAGACUAGAGGAGAAACAAAUCUAGAGAGAGGGCAUCACGUGACUGAUUAUUGUGUCUCAAAAACCCUCAAAACCUCUAGUAUAUAUAGGAGGAGAGGAGAGGAGGCAGCCUUGACUCCUCCUCCAAGGAGAGGGGUCGGCCGAACCAAAGGAGGAGUCCACCUCCUUGUGGGAAGGUGGACUACUUUGGGAGGACUCCUCCUUUCCCUUCCUUUUAAAAGUUCUUUGCCUUUUAUCUCUUCUCCUAGCCGCAUGGGACCUUGAGAGAGGCUUUGGCCAACCCACCAGGGGCUGGUCCACCUCUUCUCACCGCUCACAAGGCUCUUGGGUCAUCACACCCCUCCUGAUGGUCCCCCGGCACCCUCCCGGCACUCCCGGUACACUACCGAUGAGCCCGAACUUUUUCGGUGACCAAAACAGGACUUCCUAUAUAUCAAUCUUUACCUCUGGACCAUUCCGGAGUUCCUCGUGACGUCUAGGAUCUUAUCCGGGACUCCGGACAACCUUCGGUCACCAACACCUAUAACUCACCUAUACUGAAACGUCAUCGAACCUUAAGUGUGAAGACCGUGCGGGUUCGAUAACUAUGCAGACAUGACCGAGACACUCUCCGAUCAAUAUCCAAUAGCGGGACCUGGACGUUCAUAUUGGAUCCUACAUAUUCUACGAAGAUCUUAUCGGUUGAACCUCUAUGUCAAGGCUUCACACAAUCCCGUAUACCAUUCCCUUUGUCCUUCGGUAUGUUUCUUGCCCGAGAUUCGGUCAUCGGUAUCGACAUACCUAUUUCAAUCUCAUUACCGGAAAGUCUCUUUACUCAUUCCGUAGUACAAGAUCCCGUGGCUAACUCUUUAGUCACAUUGCUUGCAAGGCUUGUUUGUGAUGUUGUAUUAUCGAGUGGGCCCCGAGAUACCUCUCUGUCCCACGGAGUGACAAAUCCCAGUCUUGAUCCAUGCUAACUCAACCCACACCUUCGGAGAUACCUGUAGAGCACCUUUAUAGUCACCUAGUAACGUUGCGACAUUUGAUACACACAAGGCAUUCCUCCAGUGUUAGUGAGUUACAUGAUCUCAUGGUCAUAGGAAUGUAUACUUGACAUGCGGUAAACAAUAGCAACAAAAUGGCACGAUCAUAUGCUACGUUUAUAGUUUGGGUCUUGUCCAUCACAUCAUUCUCCUAAUGAUGUGAUCCCGUUAUCAAGUGACAACACUUGUGUGUGGCUAGGAAACCUUAACCAUCCUUGAUUGAUGAGCUAGUCAACUAGAGGCUUACUAGGGACAGUAUUUUGUGUAUGUAUCCACACAUGUAUUUAUGUUUCCAUUCAAUACAAUUAUAGCACGGAUAAUAAACGAUUAUCUUGAAACAGAAAAUAUAAUAAUAACUAUUUUAUUAUUGCCUCUAGGGCAUAUUUCCAACAAAUAUUGUAUAGCGGAAUGAGCUAGAGACUUACCGGUAACGAGAUUGAACUAGGUAUGGUGAUACCGACGUUUGAAUCUCGGGCAAGUAAUAUAUCGCUAGACAAAGGGAAUUAUAUACGGGUUUAUUUGAAUCCUUGACAUAGUGGUUCAAAACGAUAAAGAUCUUCAUUGGAUAUGUGGGAGUCAUUAUGGGCGUCCAGGUCCCGCUAUUGAUUAUUAAUCGGAAAGGUGCCUCGAUCAUGUCUGCAUGUUCUCGAACCCGUAGGGUCACACACUUAACGUUUGGUAAUGCUAGGGUAAUAUUAGGAUAUUCAUAAUGGUAAGUUUGAAGAUAGUUCAGAGUCUUAGAUGGAAUUCGGGACAUCACGAGGAGCUUCAGAAUUGUCCAUAUGUAAAGUUUCAUAUAAGGGAACUGGUUUUUAGGGUUCCAGAAAAGUUCGGUAAUUUUCUGGUAUUGUAUCGAGGAGUUCUAGAAGGUUCCAAGGGGUUCCACAAUGGGGCCCACCUGACACCCGAGGCCUGCAUGGGCUGAGGGGGCACCCUGGACUACAUGGGCUAGGGGCGCCGCACCCCACAGGGCCCAUGUGCCAAGGGGGGAGGGUAAAAGGGAGGGGGAAUCACAUAUCUUGGAGGGCGGGCCUCCCCCCUGGCCGCCUCCCCCUUGGCUUGGAGGGGGGUAAGGGUUGGUUGCAUCCCUUACCCCCAUAUAAAGAGAGGGGGGUUGUGCGGAGCCAAACCUUCACCCUUGGUCGCCGCCCUCUCUCUCCCCCUCCAUCUCCUACUCCGUUUCCACUUGGCGAAGCCCUGUCGGAGUUCCACCACCACCACCACCACGUAGUCGUGUUGCUGUCCUAGAUCCCAUUUAUCUCUCCCUCUCGCUUGCUGGAUGAGGAAGGAGGAGACGUCAGUGAGCCGUACGUGUGCACUUCUUGGAGAUUCCGUUCGCUCAAUGUUGGAUCCGAUUGGAUCAUGAAGAGUACGACUGCAUCAACACGUUCAUUAGAACACUUCCGCUUUCGGUCUACAAAGGUACAUAGACACUCCCCCGUCCUUACUAGCAUUUCACAGAAUAGAUCUUGGGUGGAUCCAUAGGAGGGAAAAAAUCAUGCAACGUUUCCCAAUAGUUUUGAGCUUUUCAUUCAAGGUGAACCACAAGAAACCACUAUAUCGGUGGUAGCGCUAGUUGUAUCGCCAUGUUGUGCUAUGUCGUAAGUAAGUCCUACUUGAUUUGCUAAAGGUCUCACAUUUCAUCAAAAAAAUAUAACGCGAUUUAGUAAAGAAAGGAACAUCAUUUUCAUCCUUUGUGUAGAUGCAUGCUUCUUUUUUAUUAUUCCACCUUCAUGGUUGUUGCACAGAUUUCGGUCUAUGCUUGCAGCUAUAGGUUGUUCAGCAACGUGGGACAAAGAGACCUUUGCAGAUUACAACAAUUUUCACUUCUAAGACAAUUUGUUAUCUUCCAACAUUAUAUCUACAUGUAUCUUUCAAAAAAAUUGUAUCAUUAUGCACGUUCCAAAAUAAUAAUUUAGUUACAUGUUUCCGCUGCAAAAGCUAAUUCUGAUUAGUUUUUUGUUAUUUAUAUUAGCAUUAUAUAUAGCAAAGAGAGUAUGUAAUUAGCAAUUCCACUGUGUCUGUAAUGCGUAAAUUGUAUACGAAAUGGUUCAACUUUUGUAGGAAAUUCGAAAGGCUCGGAACAGUUCAAACUAAAACCACAACACUUAUUUCGAAACGAAGAGAGUACAUGUUUGUAAGGAAGUGGGAGGGUCCGAAAAAGUUGUUUUAAGCUUGUAAUCCAAGUCUAACCGAAAGAAACCACCACAUCCUUGAAAGCGAUAUCACUAUGAAUGUAGGGGCGGUGCAACGCUACUCGAUUCAGUGAAGAUUCUUAUCUUCUCUAAUGUAUAUAAACACAAUAAAGAGGUCACAUUAAUGGCAAUUAAAAUAAUCGCAGGACCUCUGCAUCUCCAUGCAUGCCAUCGUUUUCUCUUGCUACAUUGUUGCGUCAUGUGUCCCUUGAUCGUUCAACGGCAUUUCGCUGCCGCCCGACUGCGUGAGUUGUUUAACGACCGAAACCAAAGAGAGCAUACCAAAAUUUGUCAACAGCUAAUCUCGUGUAAGAUACAAUAAUAUCCUCCAAAACGAUGUGAGCAAGAUAUGCCUCCAUGAAAAUAGUAAAGAAUGUGUUUGUAUCGCCUAAAUUUCACGGGUUUUUGCAGGAAUUUCAUAGGAUACAACUAUGUUUGGGAUAAUCCAACAGGUUCUAAGAUAAUUAUAACAUUUGUAAAUUUACAAGUGAAUAGACCGGUGUUCCAAAUGGGGUGUCUUAAUUCUGAAGGAAUGGUGCACUACCAGGGUGGUUGCACAACCGCUACCGCCCUUGCUUUUUCCUGAUAUGAUAUUUUCUAAUCAUUUUCUCAACUUUGUCUUAUUAUUUUAUUGCAUUUUUUUUUAUUUAUGGCUGCCAUCUGCCCACGCCACCAUACCAACUGUUUUCAGCGUCACUUCCUUUCUAGGGUGACAACAUAUAGGCACUAGCCACUCUUGCCAGAAAAGGGAAAAGUGAGAUAUGUUGGUUGAAAGGCAAGACAUCAAGAUUCAGAAGUGCACAGGCAUCUCAUAUAAUUGGACCAUAUCCUUUCAGUUGUCAAUACAUAAAUCAUUACUAUUUCAGAAACCUUUUUGCACAUCUCUGAAUCAGUUGCCGGUCAUGCUUAUAGAUUAUUAUCAUUUUUCAACAAUAUUUCAUUAAGAAAACACCUCAAUUCCUGCAGAAACAGGGGAAAAUCCAGCAAAUCGGCGCGGCCCUCGUUUAUUUGGCGGUUCCACUGAUUAGGGUACCAAGCAUCCCCUCCCUAAACUUAGAAGCAAAGCAAUAUCAUACACAUAUGUAUGUGGUCUACAAACUGCACUGAUUACUUGCCUGGACAGAAAUGGUUCAUCAGCUAACUUCCCAUCCAGCUGUGAGUGGGAGCAGUUAGGAACAACCAUCAUAUAUAUCCCUGUGAGUGCAGUGUGUGUACCAUACAAAAACUAGUUGGGACAGCUAAUAAAAUCCAGGAUCCAACUGGAUAGAUUAGAUUGGACAAUGGAGCUCUUGUUUCCUUCCCUCUCCUGUCCUGCCACAUCAGCAGUGGAGCCUGCGCCACCACUCAUGUACAAUCAGUUUUGUGCAAACAAGCAUAACAUACGGUUCACCCAAGCCGAACUGAGAUCUCAGUUGACCUAGGUGGUGCCACUGAUUGAACUGGGGUUUCAUGGAACAUUAGCGAAUGCGGUACAGUUUGAAGCCGGGGCAAAUUUCUCGCCCCUGUCAAAAUUUAUUUCACGGCUCUUGUUGACCUUUUUCUGGUCCAACAAAAGGCGCAUAGAACAGUUGGCAAAUCCUUGCCUGGUAGACUAAGCCAAAGGUUAAGCACUCUCCGAAGUUCUGACUACAGGGUUGUCCGGUUACUUGAAUUUGUGGAUCCUUUUAGCUGAAUCCAGUGUGUUCGAUAGAAGCAUCGCAAUUGUCAUCGGCCCGACACCGCCUGGUACUGGUGUGAUAGCUCCAGCCACCUUGGAGGCCUCCUCAAAGCAUACAUCUCCAACAAGACGAUAACCUCGAGGGCUUGCUGGAUCCUGAUGCAUUUCAGAUCAGCAGUAAGUAUACGAUGCAGGAAAAGUAAUGCACGUGCUGCCAAAAUAAAAAAUAUACACUGGAAGACAUGAAUCAAAUAUGACUUUCUAGGUACUAAUAGAGUUCUGAACUAACUGAUCAAUACCUGCUGCCCAAACUUAAUAUAGAGUCUACAAAUUACCAGAAUAUGACAAACAUGAGGUUCAUACGCUAGUUGCAACUUCAAUAAAUAUAUGCCCAAUGGUGGGAGCACAGGGCUUCAUAGAGUUUGAUCCCAGGGAGAGACCUGAAGAGAAACACUUACUCCCCAAAAAGUACCAUGCGGAACUAUCCAUAUUCUGAGAUUGUCAAAAACUUGCAUAUCCAAAAGCAUGAUACAAAACGUACAGCAUCGUAACUGUUUUAACAACACUAUCAAGCUUUACCAUUCAGAGACAGCCGUAUGUUAACAGUAAACAGAUCACCUUACCACUAAAUAUAAAAGAACAGGAAAAGAAGAUGAAAAAGGUUCUAGCCAAAAGAGAGUAGGUGCCUUACAUCAACCGGAUUGAUGCCAACAUCAAUAAUAGCAGCUCCAGGCUUUAUCCAACUCCCUCUGACCAGGUUAGCAACUCCAACAGCCGCAAUGAUAAUAUCUGCUUGUCUUGUUAUUUCCUCGGGGUUCUUGGUUUUUGAAUGUACAAUGCUCACAGUUGCAUUUGCUUUCUAAUAAACAUUUUAAACAUAUUAAACACUGAAAUAAAGUUGAUCAAACUAUUUUAAAUGAAAAACUAGUUCAUACUUGUAAGAGUAAAGCAGCAGGCGUCCCCACAAUAUUGCUUCUUCCAAUUACAACAGCUCUCUUCCCAUUUAUUUCAACUCCAGAUCUGUGUAGCAGCUCCAUGCAUCCUUUAGGGGUGCAUGGAACAAAGAAUGGAUCCCGACCUUGCAUCGCCAGUCGUCCAAUAUUCACUGGAUGAAAGCCAUCGACGUCCUUUUCAAUACUAACAGCAUUCAAUAUGUUCUCGUCGUUCAUAUGCUGCAAAUUAAUUACAAGAUAUGAGUGAAAAAAGAAGCUCAAGAAUCCAUGAGUAUCCAUGCUGCAAAUUAACCAGUAUAGACUGUCAUUUUUAAUAGAACGCUGACAACAAACACAAAACCUCGAUUGGCAUGUGGCCUUUAGCCAAAACAAAAUAAAAUAUGUUCAUCUGUAGUAUCCAUGAGUUCUAAAGAAUGUAACCAGAUGGCUUCCGUAUUAUUUAUACAACAUCUAUGCAGUUACUUGAAUUUAUAAAUGGAAAUGUUUGGUGUAGGGUAAAGGGAAUCUGCCACUAUCUACAUAAUGUCUAGGUCAGUGAUCACUAGACAAAAUAAAACUAAAAAAAGAUCAAAUAAUGCGAGUCCCUUGAGCCAACCGGUUCAGUUAUAGUAGCCAUAGAGUAGGGACUAUCAAGGACUCACGCGAGGCAAGGGCAACUGAACCAAGAUGCCAUGGACAGACGGGUCAUCAUUGAAGGUCGCAAUGUGCUUGAUGACCUCGUACUCGGAAGCGUCCUCCGGCAAAUUGACCUCGUACGACUUGAUACCGACCGCCUCGCACGCCUUCUUCUUGUUCCGCACGUACGUCUGGGAAUCCUUCCUCGAGCCGACUAGGAUGACCGCCAGCCCAGGCACCACACCGGUCGCGUCCUUCAUCCUGGCGAUCUCAACGCCGACUUCCUCUCUUAUCUGCUUCGCCACCAGCUUGCCGUCGAUGAUCUUGGCAGACGCGUCAGCUAGAACGGUGGCUGCAGAAGCAAACCAAUCCAUAAACAUAAUUAUUAUAAGCUUAUAACACCACAACAACAUGAUCCCUACAAGAUUUGCAGUUGGGCAUAUGUAACAACUAACAAGCCUGUUCAGUUAAGGGCGAUUCAUUUGUUGCUACACUUGAACUAAUAAUGCGAUAAGAAAUAAAGAAAAUACAGUACUAUCCAAAGGCUGUGCUUCUGCCUAGAGAGACAUCAGUCGUACACAAGCGAAUACUUAAAGACUACUACUAAUGAAGCGAGGUGAAGAGGAAAUGGGCGCGCGCACCUGGGUCGGCGGAGGAGGCAGCGGCGGAGAGCGCGGCCAUGCGGCGCGCGCGGGGGAGGAGCGGGAGCGGGGCGGCGGCGGUGAGGAGGAGAGGCCUCCUCGGCGACGGCGCCGGACCGGGGGACGGGCGGAAGCGGGGCGGCGGCGGGUGGAGGGCGCGGCGGAGGGGGAGGAGGCGGGAGGUGGCGCAGGAGGAGCAGUCGGACAGGAUGGAGGACGCCAUCGCCCCGGAGCCGCGCAGGGAGCGGAGUUGGCGGCGGCGGCGGCGGCGGCGGGGGCGGGGGCGGCGGCGGCGGUGGCGGCGCAAAAAGGAGCGGUCGGGCGAGAAAGUCGUGGGCACGAGUCUUUGAGCAGUGACCUAAAACCCCAAUUUGCCCAGGUUUAGCGAGGGUAGGAGUAGUAAUAUUUUUGGGGUAAUUAAUUGUGGUUGAGUAAGAACUAAAAAGUAUACGUUUAAUAAGAUGAAAUUUACUCCCUUCGUUUCUAAAUGUAAGCUUUUCUUAAAAGGUUUCACUGAAAAACUACUCCCUCCGUAUCAUAAUAUAUGACGUUUNNNNNNNNNNNNNNNNNNNNNNNNNNNNNNNNNNNNNNNNNNNNNNNNNNNNNNNNNNNNNNNNNNNNNNNNNNNNNNNNNNNNNNNNNNNNNNNNNNNNNNNNNNNNNNNNNNNNNNNNNNNNNNNNNNNNNNNNNNNNNNNNNNNNNNNNNNNNNNNNNNNNNNNNNNNNNNNNNNAAACGUCAUAUAUUAUGGUACAGAGGUAGUAUAUCCGAAUUAAAAUAAGCAAAUCUACACUUUAAAUAUGUCCAUACACAUCUGUAUGUAGUUUUUCUAAUAGAAUUUUUAGAAAAACUUAUAUUUAGAAUGUUUGUAUACAAAUGAAUACGCGAUAAAAAUUGGAUGAUGAAAAUAUUCGCAAACAGCAAUAAUGAGUAGGGGAGUUCGAGACACUUGUUGAUUUACAAGAAAAGAAUGCAAAAUACAAGAAUUCUCGGAACCUUGUUCGUUGUAGAUCUAACCAGUUUUUUAGGGUUCAUUUAUUCAAUGUGAUGAAUCCAAUUUUCAAUUAGCUCUCACUACUAUGACUCCUCCUAAUCAUGCUACCAACGAUGGCUCUAUUUGGAUAUUCUAACUCAGUUAAAGGUUAGAAUUAGAUUCUAACCCUAGGCUAACUCUAAACUUACUCUAACCAAAGAAAUGUUUGGAUGGUAGGGUUAAAUUGUCAAUAAAUACAUUUUUUUCAAUCAUUUGACUUCUUUAACCAGGAUUUGGUAUGGCGGAGAUAGAGUAAAAACGUAACUUUUUUUUAGGCCCCACCUAACUCUAUCCCAAAUAAGCAUUUUUUGGAUGGGUUUUUUUUUGGGUAAGUUAGAUGCAUUUUAAUCAACUCUAACCUUCUGUUUGAUGUUUUGAGGUUAGUUCGAUCCAAUCUAACCAACUAUAACUCUAUCCCAUGGACCCAAACAGGACCGAUGACUAAACAAUUCAUCGCCAAAAUAAAACGAUGACUAAAUAGUUCAUCGCAAAGUAGUAUCAACACCGCCUAAGACAAAUGAUAUUUUCAUGCAAUAUUUUUUAUGGCUACAAUAUUAUAAUAUGAACGUGAUCGGCCAAGCGAAAGUAGUAUCAACAUAUUAGUUAUUUAAAAAGUAUUCUCUCCAUUCCUAUGUUGUUGUUUUUCAUGGUAUUACGUGUCUCAUUCAUAGCUCACAAACCGAAUACAAGUCACGUAAAAACCGAUAUGACAAAAUUGAAAAGAUAGCAUAACAUCGCUAAACUUCACACCAACGCCCGUCACCUACCUACAGUACCACCACGGUAGCCACCAAAGGAAAAAAUGGCGGAGCACCUCCUUACUUGAGCUCGACGCGGCUCCAUCGCUGAUAUGCAGAUUUGCGGACCUUUAAGAUGGCUCAUCAAAAGUGAAGCCCUUGACGUUUAAACGAAUCAGACCGGGGCAACACCCCAGACAUGCCAUCGAUCUCCAGAUCUAGCACCCCACCACGACUAAGACGUUGAAGAAGGAAACCAUAUCUGCCAUCCAUCAACCACGAAUCCAGCACAAGUUCUGUCUUUCAGAUGUCGUCGAUGCAUAUCACAAUCCGCAUCCGCUCCUGGACUACCUCCCAAGCUCCACAACAACGUUAGAGCAGACACCAUCGCAACGACGGAGCCCGAAGACACAGAUCUACCACAAGAAUGACGCCACCGUCACACCAUCCUUGCUUGAACUGACUAGUUUCCAAAUUCAUCCCCAACCAUAAGACCGAUUGCCUCGUUAGGGACAGAUCGGAACCUUCUUUAUUCAGCGCCGCCAUCGCCUCCUUCAAAGUGAAGACAAUGAACAGCCGAAAAGACCAAAGCUACUAGGGCCUAACCUAAAGCUAUACGAUCCACACACGUAGAUCCGGCGACCUCCCUCACCACCAACGACCGAUGUCGUCGGUGGAGGGGGGCCGUCGGAGGAACGAGGUGAAGGGACUCUCGUGGCGGCAACUAGGGUUUCUAUAUGUAUCUCAUUCCUAGGUAAUUUAAACUAGUCAUAUUUUUAGAAACGAAAGGAGUAUUAUAGUUAUAUAUAAAUGCUUACACUACUUUAUAUGAUACGAAAUCGCAUGCCUAUGUUCAUUAUAAAUGUUAUUAUGUACUCCCUCCGUUCCUAAAUAUAAGUCCUUUAAGAGUUUUCAUUAGAAAACUACAUACAAAUGUAUAUAGACAUACAUUAAAGUAUAAAUUCAUUCAUUUUAUUUCGUGUUUAGUCUCGUAGUAAAUCUCUAAAAAGAUUUAUAUUUAGGAACGUAGAGAGUAUUUAAGUUCGUAAGAUGGAGAUUUUUAGGUGAAUCGGGAACUCAGAAAGGCUUCUUUAUUUAUUUUUCACUUUUCUUUUGGUAGACUAAAUAAAACAGAAACAUUGGUUUUAGGAAUAAAAGCACCUGGCGUAGAAAACAUCUCUGUAGUACAUCAUCAAAUAUUGGUAGUUGAAGCAUCAACUUGUAGUACUAUGAUACAGAAAAAAACACUUUAUUAGGCGCCAAACUAUUCGUACAUCUUACUAGAAGUGUCCUAUGUGUUCCCAGCAACGGAAGAAAUAGGCAACACAACCUACAAAAAGUACAGCAAGAUGGAGCACAUAUCCUCAAAAUCCAUGACACGCGUAAAAAAAAAGAGUAACACACCAUCACUCUCUCACAUUAUAUGAUUGUUCUGGAUUCCCUACAAAAAUUUACGAAGCCGCGGGAACGGCAGAUUCAACCGGCGACUCUUGCUGCUUCUGCAGUGACUCCCAGUUCACCUCUUUCAGGAUCUUGAACCUUUCGUCGAGACUCACAAAACCGGACUGAGGGGCUACCGCACCAGAGGUGCCUGCUUUGUGCACGAGGAUUACGGUACUGUCCAUGGCAGGUCCGUGAAGCUUCCCAGUCAACAGUACUCGGAGUGGCAUAAAUAGCGACUUUCCCUGAUCAAAGGUUAAUACAACAAUACAAUGCGUAUUAGUUGUUUCUUUCAGUUGUAUAUAUGGCCAGGAAAAGCAUUAGUAUUCAAGGAGCCGAAUGAAGAACUUGAUAUCAGCCAGGAUUAUCAAGGAUUGUAUCGAACUAAUUAUUUGUUAUCUGUGUUUUCAACAUUUCUAGUUAUCAUGGUUUAGGUGAGAGAUAGGUUGCUUCCAGAAGUUAUGGAUUCAGUUCAGGCUAGAAAAUACGGUAAUAAGUCUUGCAUGUAUUUGUUGAGGCAGUUCAAAAUUAAAACUAAUUUAGAUGCUCCAGCGGUUUGGCCAAACCGUUGAAACAGUCCAGGAACAACCCUAGAUUCCAUUGGCAACAAAAUAAAACCACAAUCGCCCUCAUCAACAUUUCAACACUGACCUUCCUUUUGUGAGUCUUGCCAAAAGAUUUCACCCACUUCUUCCAACCAUCAUGGCCUUCAGCUAAUGCUUGAUCAAGCUCACCACUAUCAUAAGCAGAAAUGAGACCCGAUGCAAUCUCAGAAAGUUUGUCUUCCACCACAGAUUUAGCUUCAUCACUGGAGAUUAAAAACACGCGAAUAAAAAAACAGUUAUUGAUCGGAACAGGCCUACCACAGUCAGUCAAAGAAAUUUACAAGACUACACAUUUGGCAACAAUUUCAGAAUUAGUUCAGGAAAAGGGUAAACAAAGAAUUAAUGAGACACUAAAUUGGUUUGCAGACCUGCUUAAAGUUUCAUGAAGGGGAUACGACAAUAAUUUACAAAGGGCAGCAUCUGCAUCUGUUAUCAAAUCAAUGCCCUCCUUCAAAAGCUCAGCAGCUUCCUGCGCAAAAUAGUGCAUAUUAUUAUUAAAGCUUCCCAGGAUAGCAACUAGUCCUAAACCUCCUGAUGUUGCAGCAUUUGAAAGAAAAAUGAUUAACCACAAAAUAACAACAUUUUGUACAUCGCUUUCUUUUGGUGGUUGUGAGAAAGAAACAAAAACUCUUAGAACCAAAUGCUGUGUCAAAUAAGUCCGCGUUUCCGUUUAGCAUGUAGUUCCAAAGUAAAUAACCCCUGGUGUGUACAGAAAAUUGAAUUCCAGUCUUACUUUAGCAAAACCACUUUCAGACUCCAGAAGAAUUCCUGUGCUCCUCCAUUGAUCUUCGAAGUCCUUGAUGAGUAAGUCGGAAGGAAGUGAGCGUAGAUGCUGUCCAUUCAUCCAUCUAUAAACAAACCAGAUUAUUGUGAAAAUAGAUCAGUGAAGCACAUAUACAACUUCCCAUGUUCAAGUGAGUCCGAAAGGUCCUGGUAAUAUGAAAAUUGUUAGAAUUUUGAUUUACUUCAAUUUUGUUGCGUCAAAGACUGCUCCACUUUUAUUGACGCGGUCUAUAGUGAACUUCUCAACUGCAAGUGAUGGAACACCGAAGUGAGAAUUGAUGAAAGAAAAGGUCCACAGGUUUUUCAAAACCACCCGGUGAAGUAAGAGUUGACGAACUAACCUAAGUCAUCAAUGAUGAAGAACUCAUUUUCAGUACCAUCACCCCAGCCCAGGAGUGCUAAAUAAUUGACCAUUGCCUGAGGCAGAUAGCCCAUCUCUUUAUACUGUUCAGAGAAAGAAAAAACAAAUGAGUGAUUCACUUUCGUGCCUCAAUAGUAAAAUAUGUUCAGAGAAGAUGUGAAACUAUGAGUAAUUAAAUUGAACAAUACAGACAAUUAGAGAGAAAUAUAUCAGGAAUACAGUUUGACAGACACAUAUUUUGAUGCAGGUAAACACCUCAUAUUUCCAACAAUCAGCUAGUUACCUGCCCCACAGAAGUAGCCCCAUGACGUUUAGACAGUUUACUUUUAUCAGGAGCCAGAAUGAGGGAAACAUGAGCAAAUAAAGGCAUUGCAAAUCCAAGAGCCUGCAGAGGAUCAUAACAUUGCAUUUGAUGAGACAGACAUUUCGAAGGUCAGGACUAUGGUCACACAUUUCGAAGGUCAGGACUAUAAUCACGACACACAAUAGAAGCAGAUGCAGGAAAUUACUUUAUAAAUGAGGGCUUGCCGUAAUGUGUUUGGUAGGUGCUCCUCGGCUCUGGAAAAAACAAGAGAAUGCAUGAAUACUGCACCAGACGACCAGAAAUAAGUUCCAAGAGUAAUAACUUUCAGUUACCUAAUAACAUGAGAGAUGCGCAUGGUAGCAUCAUCAACAGUGACACAGAAGUUAUAGACUGGCUGGCCGUUGCUUCUCAUGAUCACGAAAUCACCAAGUGUGUUUAGAUUCCAACUGACCUUUAUAAAACUAUCCGAUGGUCAGUGUAUGUAUAUCACACUGCGACUCGCACAAUUCACAAAUUUUGAAUUACUAACAUAGCAAGCAUGAGAGCAGUUCAUGGUGUGGGCCUAUGGUAAUGUGAAAGCAUAGACUCAAACACUUUAUGUCAUUACCUCACCACGAAUAAGGUCAUUAAUUUUUAGUGAACCUUCCUUUGGCACUCGGAAACGGUAAGUGUAAGGUGUGCCUUUCUCUAACUCUUGUUGCACUUCUGCAUCUGAAGCAGUAGCCCACUUCCCCAUGUAUACAGGAGGAAUCUUCAUCCGAUUCGCAGUUUCCUUCAUUUUCUCAAGUUCCUGAAGUAUCAAUAACACUUGUUAGACAAGCUACUAAUUGAUCAGUAAAUAUUACAGCCAGGUGAGGCCAUGAGUUUACUUGAAAUAACACCCUCAAACUGUUUACCAGGUUUGAAAUGACUCAUACAUGGUGGUCAUGGACUCAUGGUAGGAUAUGUCACAUUCAAUUUUUCAUGAGAAGCACAAGAUCCCAAGCAUCUUACUCAAAGCAACCAAAAUAAUUCAUUUGUGGAACUUUAAUCAGCUCGCAUGUUGAUAAGAGCCAACAAAAACAGCCUAUGCUAGUACAUAUACGUGGAACUUGGAACCAGGAAACUCAUGUUUCACUAAGCAGGGAAACAUGCAGGUCAGGAGAGGGGGAGAAAGAUACCUCGUUAGAGCAAAAGCAUCGAUAAACAGCACCAGACUCCAUUAGCUUCUGGGCAUGCUCUUUGUACAGAGCAUUGCGCUCCGACUGGCGGUAAGGGCCGAAAUCGCCACCAAUGUCCGGGCCUAAACAGGUACACAUACAUGAGCACAUCAAUUUGCAGGUAACAGAUUCUACUCUAGUUAUUAACUACUCCAAUACAGCGGAAUAAUCAACUACACCAUUGCAAAUUUCCUAUAAAAAGCAACCAUCGCAAACACAAUCCAGAGUAGGAGUUCGUUCUUAAACUCUGGUCAUCAGAAAGCCCUCGGUGACCUCAGAAGAACCCUGCCAGGCUGAAAUGUGGGUGAUGGUAAAUACCUUCGUCCCAGUCGAGGCCGAGCCAGGAGAGGUCGGUGAGGACGGCCUCCUCGGACUUCUUGGUGGAGCGCUCGAGGUCGGUGUCCUCGACGCGGAGGACGAACUUGCCGCCCCUGGAGCGCGCGAAGAGGUAGUUGAAGAGCGCGGUGCGGGCGCCGCCGACGUGGAGGUUGCCGGUGGGCGACGGCGCGAAGCGGACGCGGACCGGGCCGCUGCCGCCGCUGUCCGCGGAGGCGCGGGUGGCGAGCGCGCGGCGGGAGAGGCGCGGGGUCACGGACGGGAGGAGCCCGACGCGGAGCCGCGCCGACGACCCCAUGAAGUUGCUCGCCGCCAUCUCGUCGCCUUCUUCGCCGGGUGGUGGAUUGGAUUGCGACGAGGAGAGGAAGAUUUGACGAGGGGGGAUAGGAUGGGUUCGGGGGCCCAAGCCCUAUAGCCCACGAAGCCCUGAUCACCACCCUGAAGCCAGGCCUGGUUUGGUGUCCGGCUGACGUGUGGGACCCACUUUGCAUGGUUUAGGUUGGGUUUGGGCCUUUGGGGGCUAGGUUGGUGUGAGGCUGUGGGACCUACUUAGGGCAUCUUCAACAAUGCAACACAAUUGUCAUCAAAUCGGGCACCAUGACAUUUCAAUUCAGUGCUAGUCAUUAUUGUUAUUUUCCUUUUGUUUGAUUUCAUCAACCACUUCCUCAUGUGCAUCGGAGCUCGGACACACGGUCACACGCCAUGUGAUGGAUAGAGAGGUAGAGUGACCGACUCGGGUGGCAAGUGUGUCGCUCGCACAUUCCUUUACUUCCUGGGCCUGCACACGACGACUGCCUCGGCCAUGUUCUCCACUGCAUCGGUCAGGCCAUCAUCGCGUGCCCCCAUACGCUUCACGCCCCACGUGUCGGCCUCCACUUGAUCUCAUAGUUGAUGGGGAUCUUGAGUUGGCGACAACCAGGACCAUGCAUGUCAUCACCUUUAACAACAAAGAAGGGGUGUGGUGGUCGAGCCGGUGUUCCACAUGGAGCUAGUUGUGGAUACGUCCAAGACGCUGACGUGGUUCAUGAUGGCGAACUUCCACGCGAUGUUGCGGGGCUCUUUCAGGUUGUCGUGAACGAUGAUAUAGCCCAACACACACAAGUGGGACAUUCAACAUCGGUUGUGAUUCCUCGUCAUCUAGCGCACAAUACAUUACACAACCCGAUGCAAAACUUUUGAUUGUAUCCUCGUGAUUAGUUCCUUAAUCAAUAUAUCAAGUUAUCCUCUUUACCGAUUUGUACUCUUUUCUCAAUUUGUAUCUCGGUAUCCCGCUACUAACUCCUUAGUCACAAUAUAUGGCCAGGCGAUGCUGGACAUCGUAAUAACGAGUGGGCCUAGAGUGUAUCUCUUUAUCGUCACACGAGCAAAUUCCAAUCUUGACAUAUUUAGCACAACUGACUACUUUCUGGUGUGUCCAAGAUUCGUCUUUAUAACCAUCCAAUUAAGAAGUAACGUUGGAUAACCUCAAAGUUACCAUCCAGUAUUCGGAUUUAUGAUAUUAUUAUGGGCUGAGGACAUAUGUAAACGUUAAUAAAUUAAAAAACAACAUGAUUACCCUAUCAGACCACGUGAUAACUUGUCACUUUUGCCUAUUUUGUGUAUAGGAUUUGGCUAGGCUUUUGGCGUUGGACUUUUAGUAGGAUUGGCAUGUGAUGAUGAUUUUGAUCCGACCAGAUCCUUCGCAAACCCUGUUGAUCCAGUUUUAUUAGUGUAGGAUCUUUAUAACUCUAAUAGUGAAAGGAACAAUCUACGCUUAUCUCUGUUGUCGCAUGAUACGUCUCAAAUGUAUCUAUAAUUUUUUAUGGUUUCACGUUGUUAUCUUGUCAACUUUGGAUGUUUUAUAUACAUUUUAUAUCUUUUUUCGGACUAACUUAUUAAUUCAGUGCCAAGUGUCAGUUCCUGUUUUUUCUGUGUUUUUGACUCUUUUCAUAUCUGAUUUUGGAACGGAGUCCAAACGGAAUAAAAUCCCCGAAAUAAAAUUUUCCAGAUCAGAAGAAGGUCACGGGACUUGAGGGCCAAGGCAAGGGCCCCAGAGGGAUCCCACAAGCCCUGUUGCCGCGACCAGGGGGGCCCGCGGCAACCAGGCUUGUGGCCUCCCUGGCGCUCCCCUGCCCUAGCUCUUUGGCCUAUAAAUUCCCUAAAAUCACAGAAAAAAUGAGGGCAUCCACGAAAACAUUUUUCCGCCACCGCAAGCUUCCGUUUCCACGAUAUCUCAUCUGGAGACCCUUCCCGGUGCCUUGCCGGAGGGGACUUUGGAGUUGGAGGGCUUCUACAUCAACAUCAUCGCCUCUCCAAUGACUCGUGAGUAGUCCACUUCAGACCUACGGGUCCGUAGUUAGUAGCUAGAUGGCUUCUUCUCUCUCUUGGAUCUUCAAUACAAAGUUCUCCAUGAUCUUCAUGGAGAUCUAUCCGAUGUAAUCCUCUUUGGCGGUGUGUUUGUCGAGAUCCGAUGAAUUGUGGAUUUAUGAUCAGAUUAUCUAUGAAUUAUAUUUGAGUCUUUGCUGAUUUCUUAUAUGCAUGAUUUGAUAUCCUUGUAAGUCUCUCCGAGUCUUGGGUUUUGUUUGGCCAACUAGAUCUAUGAUUCUUGCAAUGGGAGAAGUGCUUGGUUUUGGGUUCAUACCGUGUGGUGACCUUUCCCAGUGACAGAAGAGGCAGCAAGGCACGCAUCGUGUUGUUGCCAUCAAGGNNNNNNNNNNNNNNNNNNNNNNNNNNNNNNNNNNNNNNNNNNNNNNNNNNNNNNNNNNNNNNNNNNNNNNNNNNNNNNNNNNNNNNNNNNNNNNNNNNNNNNNNNNNNNNNNNNNNNNNNNNNNNNNNNNNNNNNNNNNNNNNNNNNNNNNNNNNNNNNNNNNNNNNNNNNNNNNNNNNNNNNNNNNNNNNNNNNNNNNNNNNNNNNNNNNNNNNNNNNNNNNNNNNNNNNNNNNNNNNNNNNNNNNNNNNNNNNNNNNNNNNNNNNNNNNNUAAUAGUAGUAGAUGCAGAAAGUACCGGUCUAUGAUACGUCUCCGACGUAUCUACUUUUCUAAACUCUUUUUCCCUUGUUUUGUGAAAAGGACAUGGAUGUCGCCUAGAGGGGGGGUGAAUAGGCGCUUUAAAAUAGUUAAGGUUUAGGCUUGAACAAAUGCGGAAUAAAACUAAUCGUUUAAUAUGUCAAGCACAAAACCUACAAACAACUAGGCUCACCUAUGUGCACCAACAACUUAUGCUAAGCAAGAUAAACAACUAAGUGAUAGCAAGAUAUAUUACAAUAAAGAAUAUGUCUAUCACAAAGUAAAGUGCAUAAGUAAAGGGUUCGGGUAAGAGAUAACCGAGGCACGGGGAGACGAUGAUGUAUCCCGAAGUUCACACCCUUGCGGAUGCUAAUCUCUGUUAGAGCGGUGUGGAGGCACAAUGCUCCCUAAGAUGCCACUAAGGCCACCGUAAUCUCCUCACGCCCUCGCACAAUGCAAGAUGCCGUGAUUCCACUAAGGGACCCUUGAGGACGGUCACCGAACCCGUACAAAUGGCAACCCUUGGGGGCGGUCACCGAACCCGUACACGUGGCAACCCUUGGGGGCGGUUACCGGUACCCGUACAAAUUGCUCGGGGCAAUCUCCACAACCUAAUUGGAGACCCCGACGCUUCCCGGAGCUUCACACCACACUGAUUGAGCUCCGAGACACCACCAAGCUUCUAGGACGCUAAAGCAUCCACGAAGAACAAUAUCAAGAGUACUAAGUACCAAAGGUAGUAAGCUUCUCAACUUCUCACUUCCACGUAUCACCGUGGAGAACUCAAACCGAUGCAACUAAUGCAAUGGCAAGAACACACGAAGUGGUCAAGUCCCUCACACUCAAAUCCCUCCACAACAACAAAAGCUAUGGAGAAAUAUGAGAGGAAGAACAAGGAGCUCACAAAGAACUCCAAGAUCAAGAUCCAAGGGGUUCCCCUCACAUAGAGGAGAAAGUGAUUGGUGGAGAUGUGGAUCUAGAUCUCCUCUCUCUUUUCCCUCAAGAACAAGCAAGAAUCAUUGGAGGGAUAGAGAGUAAUCAAGCUCUAAGAAUGUCAACAAUGGAGGUAGAACAAGAGCUCAAAAGAUGGAUCUGACCAAGGGGGAAGAAGACCCCCUUUAUAUAGUGGGGGAAGGAAUCAGACCGUUACCCCCACUUUCUGCCCGAGCUCCAGCGGUACUACCGCUGGCUGCAGCGGUACUACCGCUGGCACUCCAGCGGUACUACCGUUGGCACUCCAGCGGUACUACUGCCAGCUAGCGGUACCACCGCUGGCUGCAGCGGUACUACCGCUGGCCCCCUGGUAGUGCAACGGCACUACCACCGCCAAGAAAGUCUUCGCAAAAAGGUCCGUCCACGAACAACCGCUAGGCAGGCGGUACUAAGCUCCUGGAGUGGUACUACCGUUGACCAGGGGCGGUACUACCGCGAGCCAGCGGUACUACAGCUAGGGCCAGCUGUACUACCGCCAACUCUAGCGGUACUACCGCUAGGUCCAGCGGUACUACCGCCAACUCUAGCGGUACUACCGCUAGGUCCAGCGGUACUACCGCUUGCCACUGAAACAACCAUAACUUUCGCAUACGAGCUCCGAAUCGAGCAAACCCAAGCUUGUUGGAUUCAGGACGACAAGGGCUAUCUUAAGACCAUGCGGUUAUGAAUAUGCCAAAGAUAUAGAGAUGUGAGAUCUCUAUGAAUGAAGAACCGGCAAAAACUCCAACAUCGAAAACAUCAUAGUAGAUGCAUAUGGACUCCGUUUUCGAUGAACUCGAGCUUGUCACGAAGAUGACCAUAAGCUCUAAAACUCACAAAGAGAAACACCAAACAAGAACCAAGAAGUAUGUUGCAAGGAUGCAAAUGGUUUGAGCUCUCAACGAACGAUACGGUCAAGCUACUCACUUGAGAGCCCCCCCCCUUGAUAGAACAGCAAUCUAUCCUAACCAGAAAACCUAUCAAGGGCAAACCUAUACCUUGCACCUCGUCCUCUUGAGCUAGAUGAUGAUGAUCUUGGUUUCCUCAAGAUGGACCACCUUUCUUGAUUGUGUUGGCUUGAUGAAGACUAGUUGAUUGCUCCCCCAUACUCACUAUGGGUGAGCCACUCUUGAGCAUAUCUUCACAAGUCCAUUGCCACCACAAUGGAUGGCAAGCUUCAAGCAUGCUAUCUUCGUGCUGAUCCACUUGAACUUGCACAUCGCAAUCUUGAUGACGAUCACAGCUUGACGUCAUACUCCAUGGGUUGUAUGAGAUCUUCCCUUUGACGCAAGCCCAUGUAAACACACCUAACCCCCACAUAGAACUCUCANNNNNNNNNNNNNNNNNNNNNNNNNNNNNNNNNNNNNNNNNNNNNNNNNNNNNNNNNNNNNNNNNNNNNNNNNNNNNNNNNNNNNNNNNNNNNNNNNNNNNNNNNNNNNNNNNNNNNNNNNNNNNNNNNNNNNNNNNNNNNNNNNNNNNNNNNNNNNNNNNNNNNNNNNNNNNNNNNNNNNNNNNNNNNNNNNNNNNNNNNNNNNNNNNNNNNNNNNNNNNNNNNNNNNNNNNNNNNNNNNNNNNNNNNNNNNNNNNNNNNNNNNNNNNNNNNNNNNNNNNNNNNNNNNNNNNNNNNNNNNNNNNNNNNNNNNNNNNNNNNNNNNNNNNNNNNNNNNNNNNNNNNNNNNNNNNNNNNNNNNNNNNNNNNNNNNNNNNNNNNNNNNNNNNNNNNNNNNNNNNNNNNNNNNNNNNNNNNNNNNNNNNNNNNNNNNNNNNNNNNNNNNNNNNNNNNNNNNNNNNNNNNNNNNNNNNNNNNNNNNNNNNNNNNNNNNNNNNNNNNNNNNNNNNNNNNNNNNNNNNNNNNNNNNACCAUGUGUCUCUAUGACCUUUCUUUGGAUAAUACCUUGAAUACUAUCUUGAUCAUCAUAUAAACUCCUUGAACCCAACAGAUGGACUUCAAGAAGUGCCUAUGGACAAAUCCAUACCAUGGGAUCACNAGAUCUUGAUCAACCAUGUGUCUCUAUGAACAUUCUUUGGAUAAUACCUUGAAUACCAUCUUGGUCAUCAUAUAAACUCCUUGAACCCAACAGAUGGACUUCAAGAAGUGCCUAUGGACAAAUCCUAUAAAUGUAACUUAAGGCAACCAUUAGUCCAUAGGAAUUGUCAUCAAGUACCAAAACCACAUAUGGACUAAUGGUAGUACCGCUAGAGGCAGCAGUAGUACCGCGCCUCGCUAUCGGUAGAACCUCUGUGCGCGGGCUGUAAGUGGGGGUAACGGUCUGAUUCCUUCCCCCACUAUAUAAAGGGGGUCUUCUUCCCCCUUGGACUCAUCUGACCGUUUGAGCUCGUGUUCUUCCUCCAAUUUUUUACCUUCUCCGAGCUUGCUAACUCUCAAUCUCUCCAAUGAUUCUUGCUUGUUCUUGAGGGAAAAGAGAGAGGAGAUCUAGAUCCAUAUCUCCACCAAUCACUUUCUCCUCUAUGUGAGGGGAACCCCUUGGAUCUAGAUCUUAAAGUUCUUUGUGAGCUCCAUGUUCUUCCUCUCAUAUUUCUCCAUAAUUUUUGUUGUUGUGGAGGGAUUUGAGUGUGAGGGACUUGACCACUUCGUUUGUUCUUGACAUUGCAUUAGUUGCAUCGGUUUGAGUUCUCCACGGUGAUACGUGGAAGUGAGAAGUUGAGAAGCUUAUUACCCUUUGGCACUUAGUACCCUAGAGAUUGUUCUUUGUGGAUGCUUUGGCGUCCUAGAAGCUUGUUGGUGUCUCGGAGCUCAAUCAUUGUGAUGUAAAGCUCCGGGCAAGCGUCGGGGGUCUCCAAUUAGGUNNNNNNNNNNNNNNNNNNNNNNNNNNNNNNNNNNNNNNNNNNNNNNNNNNNNNNNNNNNNNNNNNNNNNNNNNNNNNNNNNNNNNNNNNNNNNNNNNNNNNNNNNNNNNNNNNNNNNNNNNNNNNNNNNNNNNNNNNNNNNNNNNNNNNNNNNNNNNAGCAAUUUGUACGGGUAUCGGUGACCGCCCCUAAGGAUUGCCAUUUGUACGGAUUCGAUGACCGCCCUCAAGGGUCCCUUAGUGGAAUCACGACAUCUUGCAUUGUGCGAGGGCGUGAGGAGAUUACAGUGGCCUUAGUGGCAUCUUGGGGAGCAUUGUGCCUCCACACCGCUCCAACGAAGAUUAGCAUCCGCAAGGGUGUGAACUUCGGGAUACAUCAUCGUCUCCGCGUGCCUCGGUUAUCUCUUACCCGAAUCUUUUUUGUGCCUUCCUAUUGUAUGGAUUGGUGUGACAUUCCUGAUGGAGAUGAUUUUAUUGCCUUGACAUGAAUAAAAUAUUUAGGGGCCUUGUUCAGGGGUGUUGUUGAAGAUGCUCCAAGUAAGUCGAAAAGGGUGAACCAAUCUGUGGUUGGAUAGUUAAAGGACAGUGCUAUCCCCAUCCGACUAGGAUUCAAGUGGGAGGAGAUGUUCUCGUCGACUAUAAAGGCGUUUGUGAUGACCUCGUUACUCUCAAAAUGAUAUACCGGUUCAAUCUCUCGAAGGUGCUCAUAGAAAAAAAAUCGUGUGUACAUUUAUAGCGAUGAGUGUGCGCUCGUAUGUAUGAACGUUUGUGUGUGUACUGUGUUAAAAAAUUAAAAUUAGAAAGAAGAUCAUACACGCAUGAUCCUUUCCAGCACAGUGGNNNNNNNNNNNNNNNNNNNNNNNNNNNNNNNNNNNNNNNNNNNNNNNNNNNNNNNNNNNNNNNNNNNNNNNNNNNNNNNNNNNNNNNNNNNNNNNNNNNNUUUCCAAUAGUCUCCCACUUGCACUAGAGUCAAUAAUCUAGUUCACAUCACCAUGUGAUUCCAACGAAUCCAACACCCAUAUAGUUAUGGGGUCUGAUCACGUCUUGCUCGUGAGAGAGGUUUUAGUCAACGGUUCUCAAACUUUCAGAUCCGUGCGUUCUUUACAAAUCUUUAUGUCAUCUUAUAGAUGCUGCUACUACGUGCUAUUCGGAAAUGCUCCAAAUAUCUACUCUACUAUACGAAUCCGUUUCACUACUCAUAGUUAUUCGGAUUAGUGUCAAAGCUUGCAUCGACGUAACCCUUUACGACGAACUCUUUAACCACCUCCAUAAUCGAGAAAAAUUCCUUAGUCCAUUAGUUACUAAGGAUAAAUUUUGACCGUUGCUAGUGAUUCAAUCAUGGAUCACUCUCUGUACCUCUCAACUUACUUUGAGUCAAGGCACACAGGGGAUAGGUACACAGCAUGGCAUACUUUAGAUUCUACGGCUAAGGCAUAGAAGACGACCUUCGUCUAUUCUCUUUAUUCUGCUAGGGUCAGGUUUUGAGUCUUACUCAAAUUCACACCUCACAACGCAACCAAGAACUCCUUCUUUGCUGAUCUAUUUUGAACUCCUUCAAAAACUUGUCAAGGUAUGCAUCUUGUUGAAACUUCCAUUAAGCGCUUUCGAUCUAUCUCCGUAGAUCUUUGAUGCUCAACGUUCAAGUAGCUCAAUCCAGGUAUUCCUUUGAAAACUCCUUUCAAACAACCUUGUAUGCUUUACAGAAAUUCUGCAUUACUUCUGAUCCACAAUAUGUCAACCACAUAUACUUAUCAGAAAUUCUAUAGUGCUCGCACUCACUUCUUUGGAAAUACAAGUUUCUCAUAAACCUUGUACAAAACCCAAAAUAUUUGAUCAUCUCAUCAAAGUGUAUAUUCCAACUCCGAGAUGCUUGCACCAGUCCAUUGAAGGAUCACUGGAGCUUGCAUACUUGCUAGUAUCUUUAGGAUCGACAAAACCUUCUGGUUGUAUCACAUACAAUGUUUGCUCAAGGAAACCGUCGAGAAAACAAUGUUUUGACAUCCUACGUGCAAUAUUUCAUAAAUAAUGCAUCAACAACUAACAUAAUUCUAACAGACCUUUAGCAUCGCUACGAGUGAGAAAGUCUCAUCAUAGUCAACUGUUUGAUCUUGUCGAAAACAUCUUUGCGACAAGUCGAGCUUUUCUUAAUAGUGACUUAUCACCAUCAUCGUCUGUCUUCUUUUAAAGAUCCAUUUUACUCAAUAGUCCUAUGACCAUCAAGUAGUUCUACCAAAGUCUACACUUUGUUUUCACACAUGGAUCCUCUCUCGGAUUUCAUGGCUUCCAGCCAUUUGUCGGAAUCUGGGCCCACCAUGGCUUUCUCCAUAACUCGUAGGUUCACUGUUGCUCAACAACAUGACCUCCAAGACAGGGUUACCGUACUACUCUGCAGCAGUACGCGACCUUGUCGACCUACGAGGUUUGUAGUAACUUGAUUCGAAGCUCAAUGAUCACCAUCAUCAGCUUCCACUUCAAUUGGUGUAGGCGCCACAGGAGCAACUUCCUACGCCCUGCUACACACUGGUUGAAGUGAUGGUUCAGUAACCUCAUCAAGUUCUACUACCCUCCCACUCAAUUCUUUCGAGAGAAACCUUUCCUCGAGAAAGGAUCCGUUUCUAGAAACAAACACUUUGCUUUCGGAUCUAAGAUAGGAGAUGUACCCAACUGUUUUGGAUAUCCUAUGAAGAUGCAUUUAUUCGCUUUGGGUUCGAGCUUAUCAGACUGAAACUUUUUCACAUAAGUGUCGAAGCCCCAAACUUUCAAGAAAUGAUAGUUUAGAUUUCUCUAAACCUCAGUCUAUACUGUGUCAUCUCAACGGAAAUACGCGGUGCCCUAUUUAAAGUGAGUGCGGUUGUCUCUCAUGCAUAACCCAUAAACGAUAGUGGUAAUUCGAUAAGAGACAUCAUAGUAUGCACCAUACCAAAUAGUGCAUGGUUAUGACGUUCACACACAUCAUCACACUAUGAUGUUCCAGGUGGCAUGAACUGCGAAACAAUUUCCACAUUGUCUUAACUGCGUACCAAAACUCGUAACUCAGAUAUUCAUUUUCAUGAUCAUAUCGUAGACAGUUUAUCCUCUUGUUACGACGAACUUCACUCUGAAACGGAAUUGAACUUUUCAACAUUUCAGACUUGUGAUUCAUUAAGUAAAUACUCCUGUAUCUACUCAAAUCGUCAGUGAAGUAAGAACAUAAUGAUAUCCACUGCGUGCCUCAGCACCCAUUGGACUGCAUACAUCAAAAUGUAUCACUUCCAACAAGUUACUAUCUUAUUUCAUCUCAAUGAAAACAAGGCCUUGCUCAUGUGGUAUGAUUUGCAUGUCACUAGUGAUUCGAAAUCAGGUGAGUACAAAGAUCCAUCAGCAUGGAGCCUCUUCAUGCAAUUUUAUACUAACAUGACUCAAGCGGCAGUGCCACAAGUAAGUGGUACUAUCAUCAUUAACUCGUAUCUUUUGGCACCAAUAUCAUGAACAUGUGUAACACUACGAUCGAGAUUCAAUAAACCAUUGAAGGUGAAUAUUCAAGAAAAUAGAGUAACCAUUAUUCUCUUUAAAUGAAUAAUCGUAUUGCAAUAAACACGAUCCAAUCAUGUUCAUGCUUAACGCAAGCACCAAAUAACAAUUAGUUAGGUUUAACACCAAUCCCGAUGGUAGAGGGAGUGUGCGACGUUUGAUCAUAUCAACCUUGGAAACACUUCCAACACAUAUCGUCACCUCGCCUUUAGCUAGUCUCCGUUUAUGCCGUAGCUUUCAUUUCGUGUUACUAAUCACUUAGCAACCGAACCGGUAUCCAAUACCCUCAUGCUACUAGGAGUACUAGUAAAGUACACAUCAACAUCAUGUAUAUAAAAUAUACUUCUUUCGACUUUUGCCAGCCUUCUUAUCUACCAAGUAUCUAGAGUUGCUCCGCCUCAGUGACUGUUCCCCUCAUUACAGAAGCACUUAGUCUCGGGUUUUGGUUUAAUCUUGGGUCUCUUCAUCAGUGCAGCAACUGUUUUGCCGUUUCACGAAGUAUCCUUUCUAGCCCUUGCCUUUCUUGAAACUUAGUGGUUUUACAAACCAUCAACUAUUGAUGCUCCUUCUUGAUUUCUACUUUCGCAGUGUCAAACAUCGCGAAUUGCUCAAGGAUCAUUGUAUCUAUCCUUGAUAUGUUAUAGUUCAUCACGACGCUCUCAUAGCUUGGUGGCAGUGACUUUGGAGAACCAUCACUAUCUUAUCUGAAAGAUUAACUCCCACUUGAUUCAAGUGAUUGUCGUACUCAGACAAUCUGAGCACACGCUCAAUGAUUGAGCUUUUCUCCUUUACUUCGUGGACAAAGAAUCUUGUUGGAGGUCUCGUACCUCUUAACAAGGGCACAAGCAUGAAAUCACAAUUUCAUCUCUUUAGAACAUCACUUAUGUUCCGUGACGUUUUACAACGUUUUCGGCGCCUUGCUUCUAAGCCAUUAAGUAUUUUGCACUGAACUAUCGUGUAGUCAUCAGAAACGUGUAUGUCGGAUGUUCAUAGCAUCCACAGACGACGCUCGAGGUGCAGCACACCGAGUGGUGCAUUAAGGACAUAAUCCUUCUGCGUAGCAACGAGGACAAUCCUCGGUUUUACAGACUCAGUCUGCAAAGUUUGCUACUAUCAACUUUCAACUAAAUUUUCUCUAGGAAUAUAUAAAAAACAGUAGAGCUAUAGCGCAAGCUACAUCGUAAUCCGUAAAGACCAUUAGACUAUGUUCAUGACAAUUAGUUCAAUUAAUCAUAUUACUUAAGAACUCCCACUCAAAAAGUACAUCUCUCUAGUCAUUUGAGUGGUUCAUGAUCCACUUACACUAGCUCAAGUCCGAUCAUCACGUGAGUUGAGUAUAGUUUCAGUGGUAAGCAUCCCUAUUCUAAUAAUAUCAUCUAUAUGAUUCAUGAUCGACCUUUCGGUCUCAUGUGUUUCGAGGCCAUGUCUGCACAUGCUAGGCUCGUCAAGCUUAACCCGAGUGUUCCGCGUGCGCAACUGUUUUGCACCCGUUGUAUGUGAACGUUGAGUCUAUCACACCCGAUCAUCACGUGGUGUCUCGAAACGACGAACUGUAGCAACGGUGCACAGUCGGGGAGAACACAAUUUCGUCUUGAAAUUUUAGUGAGAGAUCACCUCAUAAUGCUACCGUCGUUCUAAGCAAAAUAAGGUGCAUAAAAGGAUUAACAUCACAUGCAAUUCAUAAGUGACAUGAUAUGGCCAUCAUCACGUGCUUCUUGAUCUCCAUCACCAAAGCACCGACACGAUCUUCUUGUCACCGGCGUCACACCAUGAUCUCCAUCAUCAUGAUCUCCAUCAACGUGUCGCCAUCGGGGUUGUCGUGCUACUCAUGCUAUUACUACUAAAGCUACGUCCUAGCAAAAUAGUAAACGCAUCUGCAAGCACAAACGUUAGUUAUAAAGACAACCCUAUGGCUCCUGCCGGUUGCCGUACCAUCGACGUGCAAGUCGAUAUUUUCUAUUACAACAUGAUCAUCUCAUACAUCCAAUAUAUCACAUCACAUCGUUGGCCAUAUCACAUCACAAGCAUACCCUGCAAAAACAAGUUAGACGUCCUCUAAUUUUGUUGUUGCAUGUUUUACGUGGUGACCAAGGGCAUCUAGUAGGAUCGCAUCUUACUUACGCAAACACCACAACGGAGAUAUAUGAGUUGCUAUUUAACCUCAUCCAAGGACCUCCUCGGUCAAAUCCGAUUCAACUAAAGUUGGAGAAACCGACACUUGCCAGUCAUCUUUGAGUAACGGGGUUACUCGUAGCGAUGAAACCAGUCUCUCGUAAGCGUACGAGUAAUGUCGGUCCAAGCCGCUUCAAUCCAACAAUACCGCGGAAUCAAGAAAAGACUAAGGAGGGAAGAAAAACGCACAUCACCGCCCACAAAAAACUUUUGUGUUCUACUCGAGAAUACAUCUACGCAUGAACCUAGCUCAUGAUGCCACUGUUGGGGAACGUCGCAUGGGAAACAAAAAAUUUCCUACGCGCACGAAGACCUAUCAUGGUGAUGUCCAUCUACAAGAGGGGAUGAGUGAUCUACGUACCCUUGUAGAUCGUACAGAAGAAGCGUUAAUGAACGCGGUUGAUGUAGUGGAACGUCCUCACGUCCCUCGAUCCGCCCCGCGAACAAUCCCGCGAUCACUCCCACGAUCUAGUACCGAACGGGCGGCACCUCCGCGUUCAGCACACGUACAGCUCGACGAUGAUCUCGGCCUUCUUGAUCCAGCAAGAGAGACGGAGAGGUAGAAGAGUUCUCCGGCAGCGUGUCGGCGCUCCGGAGGUUGGUGAUGACCUUGUCUCAGCAAGGCUCCGCCCGAGCUCCGCAGAAACGCGAUCUAGAGGAAAAACCGUGGAGGUAUGUGGUCGGGCUGCCGUGGAGAAGUCGUCUCAAAUCAGUCCUAAAACCUCCGUAUAUAUAGGUGGGAGGGAGGGGACCUUGCCUUGGGGCUCAAGGAGCCCCAAGGGGGUCGGCCGAGUCCAAGGGGGAAGGCUCCCCCCCAAACCGAGUUGGACUUGGUUUGGUGGGUGGGAGUCCUUCCUUCCCUUCCCACCUCCUCUGUUUUUUUCUUUUCUCUUUGAUUUUCUUUCCUAGGCGCAUAGGGCCCUUUUGGGCUGUCCCACCAGCCCACUAAGGGCUGGUGCGCCACCCUCAAGGCCUAUGGGCUUCCCCGGGGUGGUUUCCCCCCCCCCCCCCGGUCGAACUCCCGGAACCCAUUCGUCAUUUCCGGUACAUAACCGGUAACUCCAAAAACCUUCCGGUAAUCAAAUGAGGUCAUCUUAUAUAUCAAUCUUCGUUUCCGGACCAUUCUGGAAACCCUCGUGAUGUCCGUGAUCUCAUCCGGGACUCCGAACAACAUUCGGUAACCAACCAUAUAACUCUAAUACGCAUAAAACAACGUCGAACCUUAAGUAUCCGCAUACCUAUUUCAAUCUCGUUUACCGGCAAGUCUCUUUACUCGUUCCGUAAUACAAGAUCCCGUAACUUACACUAAGUCACAUUGCUUGCAAGGCUUGUGUGUGAUGUUGUAUUACCGAGUGGGCCCUGAGAUACCUCUCCGUCACACGGAGUGACAAAUCCCAGUCUCGAUCCAUACUAACUCAACGAACACCUUUGGAGAUACCUGUAGAGCAUCUUUAUAGUCACCCAGUUACGUUGCGACGUUUGAUACACACAAGGCAUUCCUCCGGUGUCCGUGAGUUAUAUGAUCUCAUGGUCAUAGGAACAAAUACUUGACACGCAGAAAACAGUAGCAACAAAAUGACAUGAUCAACAUGCUACGUCUAUUAGUUUGGGUCUAGUCCAUCAACAUGCGAGGUCGCGAGGGGGCGCGGCCAUGAGAGCAGGGAUCUCGGGGGAGCUUGCGGGGGCGGCGGAUCUGGGCUGGGACGGGCCGCGCGCGGGCCUGGCAGGCCGGCGGCUGGAGGAGGGAGACAUGGAGCAAGUGGGGGGCGGCUAGGGUUUCGGGACGACACAGAUUCCGAGGUGGAGAGGGGUUGGUUCCCUAAAAUUAAGGAGGAGGCCUAUUUAUAACAAAUGGGGGGGCUAGGUUUAGCGGUUUUCCGCCCCGGAUUCAACGGCGCGGACGGAUUCGGCUAAUUCCGAACGCGUGAACGGGUACGUGGCUGUGUAGAGGGGAUAUCCGGAGACGAGAGGGAGGACGGGCGGCGCGGCACGAAUUUUUAAACACCGACAGACGUCCGACGGUAGACCGAAUACGGUGCCGCUACGGUCGACCGUUCGGGUACCAGACGGUCUCCGAUCGCGACAAAAUUUGACAGGCGGCCUCGCUAUAACUAAUCACAACCGCACGUCAAAUCUCAACCCGAUCAGAGAAAGUUUUAAACGCGCUUUAAAAACAGGGUUUCGACGGUGCCGCGGGCGUGUGCAUGUGCGGUCGGGCUCAGAACGGACGACGACGCGAACUGGCAACUAACAACGGAUGCAUGUUUUGAAAACGGGCGGCAACAGAGACGCCGAUGCAAUGCAGAUGAUGCGCAUGAUGCAAUGAUGAUGCGGCAACUGAAAAUACCCACACGACGAAAACGGAAAGAAAAGGGGAAGCUUCUGGAACGUCGGCAUCGGGCUGUCACAACUCUCCUACACUACAAGAGGAUCUCGCCCCGAGAUCCAAGAAUGAAAGGGGAAGAGGGUGAGAAAGAACAAGUGGUAAAAACUUAGUCGCUUCUUUGACACAUGAGUGAAGCCAACGAUCAUUGAAAGUUGCAAAGCGAUGAGGAAUGAUAUGAGAAAGAAGCGAGAAUUCACGGAAAAUUUCGGCAGCACUUCGGUAGGAAAAUGGGACAAAAAAUUCGAAAAGGUAGGAGAAUUAGACAAUAUUCACAACAAACAAGUAAAUAGAGCAAGGGAACACCAUGAUCUUGAUAGAACAACAAGAUUGACCCAGAAGAGCAAUAUCACAAAGCCUCCGGAACAAUAGAAUAGGAACUAGCUCAUACGGAAGAAGAGAAUGAAGAAAAGAAUGACAACUAUCAUCACAACAGACUUGAAGUGCCUCCGGACAGAGAAUUGACGUAGUAGUGGUUAGAAAACCAACAACGAAAAGAACAAGAUAGUAGUGGGCUUAUGAAAAUCAUCUCAACAAAUAUGAGGUGACAAACAACCACUAAAAGAAACAAGGAUAGAUUGCGAGAAACAAGAUAUGAACAAUUACUUACACCAAGAGGAAACAUUGAGAACUCGGAUUAAUGGCAAGCACCAUGAUAACAACAAUCCAUAGGAAAAGCUUUAGGUGAAAACCAAACCCAGAUAGCUCAAUGAAGAAAUCAUGGGUUGAUAAUAUCUCAUGAUCAUAGAAUUGGUGGGUUUAAUUAUCUCAUUCUUGAAAGGAAAACUCUUCGAGGCUCCUACACUAACAAGAAGGCUAUAAUACCACCUCAAAGGAUAAAGGAAGAACAAAUGCACUUGGGAAUGCAAGAGAACGGAUACUUGAGAAAAGAAUUGAUAUCAUGGGCCACUCCGGAUGAAGAAUCGAAAUCAUUUGAUGACACAAGAAUAAGAACUAUGUUAUGCUAAUCCUUCAUCAAAUUAAAUUGAUGACAAGCAACGGAUUUAGCAUACAACUUAUUCUUCUAGAAAAGAUUGAGGAGAGAUAUGAGCACAAACUAGAAAAAGUCUAGAAGGAGACACCGGUGAGAAUUGAAAUGAAUGAGGCAACCAUGAAUGACUCGAGAUACAUGAGAAUGAUGAGACCAUGAACCACCUAACAGAAAACUUGAACAAGGCACCGGAAUAAUCGAGAGACGAACGAAGAUGCAACAAUUGAGAAGAAUCGAGGAUGAAAGCUGAAAGGUGAGAACGAAGAAUCUUCUGAAAUGAUGGCCUUCGGAGGAUCGAGAAAUGAACACAACAUUGAAAUGCACCGAAUAGCAAGAAAAUGGAUUCCUCAUGAUUGGAACAAAUUCCAGAUUAUAACACAAGGCUGAAAUGAUGAAUAUCCAAGAGAAUGAACCAAGAUUCUAGAAAAACACUCCUUCGAAUAGCAAGCUGAGAAUGAGGAGGAGAACGCCACCAAGAAUUAAUGAGACACUCCGGAAUAAAGAAGGAUGCCAGGUUGAGCCAAAUAUGAGAAUAAUUCGAAUAGAUCUUGAAGAAGGAAUAUGACUGAUGAAAAUCAUACUUACGUCAUAGUUGAAAAGAAUUAAAGAUCUCCGAGAAAAGAUUAAAAGAGCCAGGAGAGAUCCUGGGAAAGAACCUGUGGGUUAUGGGCCCACUCAAAGAAACCACCAUUGAAAAGCUUGCUAGAACAAGAGAUAUUGCACCGGUACAAGAAAACUAGAUGAGGUUAGCACCUCGAAAUAAAAGAAAGAAUUGAAAGCAAGAAUUUCUGAGAUAACUUCAGCACUCCGGAUAGACUAGAGAGAAAUGAACAACAAGAUAGGCUGCCAAGAAACUCCAACAUGGGAAAGAAUUACAAGGAUGAAAAGGAUAUGAUGACACGGACAACUGAAUUAAAUUCACCGGUAAGGAAGACAAGAAUGAACAAAGAUGAACAUGAAGCUCCUGAGAAUCUUCACAACGAAUCAUCGGGUAAGAGAGAAAAGAACAGACAGCGAAAGCAUAAUGAAAAAGAAAACUCUUGGAUGAAAAUUGAAUCACUGAGAAAAAGGGCGGGAGGGUGGGGAAAAACAAAGACAACUUGGGCUAGAUGAGAUGAACUCCGGAAUAAACGAGAGAAAGAUCUUGCAAAUUGGAGAGGGUUGAAUUCACUUGGAGAGAAACACACCGGUUGAAAAAGAAUUGAAAUGGCAACUCCGUUUGACAAAAUUGAUAAGACAACUAAUUGAGCACAAGGAUUAAUACUCUCAUAAAAAUAUGAGAACACCUCUUAGGAAAGAUCUGAAAUCACCACUUGACAUCGAAGCAACUUGAAUUACCAUAUUUAGAAAAACAAUGGGUGCGGCUUAUGAAACAAGCCAGAACAAACUCAUGAGAAAGAUUUCCGUUUGAUAUUUUCGUGGACAGGAUCGCACGGGCACGAUUUACUGUAGCCAUCAAGUGCAAGGCAGUGCACCCGACAUACGAAGCGUCCCCGAGUCGUAGCAAGCUACAAGGACUCUUUAAUACGCAACGUGUACCGCUGUAAGUCGACCGUGAACAAACGAAUCCACUAGAUGUCGAACCCCAACCUAACAUCAUGCAUUUGUUGGAAGAUUGUCCUAUAAGCAACUACUUGAAUUCCCACCUAUGAAUUCCCGAAAUAUCUGGUCAUGCAAUCUGGUACACAGAUACAAGGAGUAAUAAUCACACAACUCCUAUACUAACCCGUCACUUAUAUCACAUCCGUCAACACACGACCAGAAUCUCGAACCUUCAUCUACAACAGACCCUCGUGAUCACAACGAUACAAAGUAUGGCAGUACUCCCGAACAAUCUGCACCAGUACUGGGGACAUCGGGGUUAUCUCGCCACUACUAGUAUUGAAGCAAUUACUAACAUCCUUCGUCCUGAGAUACUAAGAAAUCUGAAUGAUAAGGAUGUGCUCAAGAAUCCCCUGCAGCUCAACUCCCCGGAAGAAGAUCAAGUCAGACAGGAGGCACCAAGACAGAACUCCGUCACAUCGGCAUCAUAUAGAUCCCAAGAAUAUCCGCGUGAUCCUAAAAAAAAUUUGAGUGGGAAGAGAAGUAGAGUAAAUUAUUACGUCAAGAUUCCUCACCAGAGCAUAGAAGAGGAGAAAAAAAUCCUACUCUCGGAUAUAUAACUAAGACUCAAAUAGUUUUACUAGACUCGACUCGGCCAAGUUCAAUCAAUCAAGGGGGCUCCUAGGUCGGUCCUUGCUCUGAUACCAACUUGUCACGCCCAAGAUGCGACCCUAUCCUCAAUUUGGCACGAAGGCCUCGUCAGGGAUAUAAGCGCAUCUCGUCGUGUCGCAAGAAUGGGUAUUGUUACAAGUACAUGUACUGAGAAGAAGAGACAUAUAAAGAGUUGGCUUACACUCCCACAAGCUACAUCAGAGUCACAUCAGUACAUUACAUAAUCAUCAAGAGUAAGAGCAGGGUCCGACUACGGACGAAACAAACGACAAAGAAGAACGACGUCCAUCCUUGCUUUCCCAGGCUGCCGGCACGGAACCCAUCCUAGAUCGAUGAAGAAGGAGAAGGAGAAGCAACUCCAAAUGGACAAUCAACGCGCUUGCAUCAAGUAACCUUUACAUGUACCUGCAACUGGUGUUGUAGUAAUCUGUGAGCCACAGGGGACUCAGCAAUCUCAUUUCCAAAGGUAUCAAGACUAGCAGAGCUUAAUGGGUGAGGUAUGGUUAAGUGGUGAGGUUGCAGCAGCGACUAAGCACAUAUUAGGUGGCUAACUUACGAGUACAGGAAAUAAGAGGGGGGAUGAUCUACGCAUAACGGGCGUGACUACUGAUGAUCAAAUGAAUGAUCCUGAACACCUACAUACGUCAGACAUAACCCCACCGUGUCCUCGAUCGGAGAAGGAACUCACGAAAGAGACAGUCACGGUUACGCACACGGUUGGCAAGUUUUAAUUAAUUAGCUUCAAGUUGUCUAGAACCAGUGUUAAACAAAGCUUCCACGUUGCCACAUAACCGCAGGCACGGCUUUCCGAAAUAUUUAACCCUGCAGGGGUGCUCCAACUAGUCCAUCACAAAUUACCACAAGCCGCAUAGAAAUCCUCAAUCACGAAGCUCGCGAUCUCGUCGGAUUCCCUAGUGGAAAACCUCAACUCUGAGAUUACCCAAAGCAUCACCGGAAUCCCGAUGCACAAGAUAUUUCGUCAAAGGUAAAACUAAUCCAGCAAGGCCGCCCGACGUGUCGACGAUCCCGAUAGAAGUCGCGUACCUCGUUCUCAGGACACGGCGGAUGAGCUAGACGUCGGGAUCGCUAAACCUCCGGGUGACCAGAGGGGCGCCGGACAUCGCUCAGGUGGGGCCAACACUCAUGAGGAGCACUGGUCCGGGGGUUGAUUAAAUUUCCUCGGGUUAAUUACUCCCUAUGCAGUUCAUUAGUUUUUAGGUAAAUGUAGUACCAAAGUUGGCCCUGCCAGACCAGCUUUAAUCUAAAACGAAUUAUCAAGGGGGUCCCCAUAACAACCCCGAUCGUGUUAGGAGCGCUCAUUUAUGGAACAUAACACCGGUAGCCGGAAACUAAGGGGGCAAAGGUGGAACAAUACACCAGGCUAGAAAGACCGAGCCUUCCACCUUUUACCAAGUAUAUAGGUGCAUUAAAUUAGAUAGCAUUAAAUAGGGUGAUAUGACAAGGAACCCAUGUUAUUGUUGGGGAACGUUGCAUGGGAAACAAAAAAUUUCCUACGCGCACGAAGACCUAUCAUGGUGAUGUCCAUCUACGAGAGGGGAUGAGUGAUCUACGUACCCUUGUAGAUCGUACAGCAGAACCGUUAGUGAACGCGGUUGAUGUAGUGGAACGUCCUCACGUCCCUCGAUCCGCGCCGCGAACAAUCCCGCGAUCGGUCCCACGAUCUAGUACCGAACGGACGGCACCUCCGCGUUCAGCACACGUACAGCUCGACGAUGAUCUCGGCCUUCUUGAUCCAGCAAGAGAGACAGAGAGGUAGAAGAGUUCUCCGGCAGCGUGACGGCGCUCCGGAGGUUGGUGAUGACCUUGUCUCAGCACGGCUCCGCCCGAGCUCCGCAGAAACGCGAUCUAGAGGAAAAACCGUGGAGGUAUGUGGUCGGGCUGCCGUGGAAAAGUCGUCUCAAAUCAGCCCUAAAACCUCCGUAUAUAUAGGUGGGAGGGAGGGGACCUUGCCUUGGGGCUCAAGGAGCCCCAAGGGGGUCGGCCGAGUCCAAGGGGGAAGGCUCCCCCCCAAACCGAGUUGGACUUGGUUUGGUGGGUGGGAGUCCUUCCUUCCCUUCCCACCUCCUCUUUUUUUCUUUUCUGUUUGAUUUUCUUUCCUAGGCGCAUAGGGCCCUUUUGGGCUGUCCCACCAGCCCACUAAGGGCUGGUGCGCCACCCUCAAGGCCUAUGGGCUUCCCCGGGGUGGGUUCGCCCCCCCCCCCCCCCGGUCGAACUCCCGGAACCCAUUCGUCAUUCCCGGUACAUUCCCGGUAACUCCGAAAACCUUCCGGUAAUCAAAUGGGGUCAUCCUAUAUAUCAAUCUUCGUUUACGGACCAUUACGGAAACCCUCGUGACGUCCGUGAUCUCAUCCGGGACUCUGAACAACAUUCGGUAACCAACCAUAUAACUCAAAUACGCAUAAAACAACGUCGAACCUUAAGUGUGCAGACCCUGCGGGUUCGAGAACUAUGUAGAAAUGACCCGAGAGACUCCUCGGUCAAUAUCCAAUAGCGGGACCUGGAUGCCCAUAUUGGAUCCUACAUAUUCUACGAAGAUCUUAUCGUUUGAACCUCAGUGCCAAGGAUUCAUAUAAUCCCGUAUGUCAUUCCCUUUGUCCUUCGGUAUGUUACUUGCCCGAGAUUCGAUCGUCAGUAUCCGCAUACCUAUUUCAAUCUCGUUUACCGGCAAGUCUCUUUACUCGUUCCGUAAUACAAGAUCCCGUAACUUACACUAAGUCACAUUGCUUGCAAGGCUUGUGUGUGAUGUUGUAUUAUCGAGUGGGCCCUCAGAUACCUCUCCGUCACACGGAGUGACAAAUCCCAGUCUCGAUCCAUACUAACUCAACCAACACCUUUGGAGAUACCUAUAGAGCAUCUUUCUAGUCACCCAGUUACGUUGCGACAUUUGAUACACACAAAGCAUUCCUCCGGUGUCCGUGAGUUAUAUGAUCUCAUGGUCAUAGGAACAAAUACUUGACACGCAGAAAACAGUAGCAACAAAAUGACACGAUCAACAUGCUACGUCUAUUAGUUUGGGUCUAGUCCAUCACAUGAUUCUCCUAAUGAUGUGAUCCCGUUAUCAAGUGACAACACUUGCCUAUGGCCAGGAAACCUUGACCAUCUUUGAUCAACGAGCUAGUCAACUAGAGGCUUACUAGGGACAGUGUUUUGUCUAUGUAUCCACACAAGUAUUGUGUUUCCAAUCAAUACAAUUAUAGCAUGGAUAAUAAACGAUUAUCAUGAACUAAGAAAUAUAAUAAUAACUAAUUUAUUAUUGCCUCUAGGGCAUAUUUCCAAUAGUCUCCCACUUGCACUAGAGUCAAUAAUCUAGUUCACAUCACCAUGUGAUUCCAACGAAUCCAACACCCAUAUAGUUAUGGGGUCUGAUCACGUCUUGCUCGUGAGAGAGGUUUUAGUCAACGGUUCUCAAACUUUCAGAUCCGUGCGUUCUUUACAAAUCUUUAUGUCAUCUUAUAGAUGCUGCUACUACGUGCUAUUCGGAAAUGCUCCAAAUAUCUACUCUACUAUACGAAUCCGUUUCACUACUCAUAGUUAUUCGGAUUAGUGUCAAAGCUUGCAUCGACGUAACCCUUUACGACGAACUCUUUAACCACCUCCAUAAUCGAGAAAAAUUCCUUAGUCCAUGAGUUACUAAGGUUAAAUUUUGACCGUUGCUAGUGAUUCAAUCAUGGAUCACUCUAUGUACCUCUCAACAGACUUUGAGUCAAGGCACACAGGGGAUAGGUACCCAGCAUGGCAUACUUCAGAUUCUACGGCCAAGGCAUAGAAGACGACCUUCGUCUAUUCUCUUUAUUCUACCGGGUCGGGUUUUGAGUCUUACUCAAAUUCACACCUCACAACGCAACCAAGAACUCCUUCUUUGCUGAUCUAUUUUGAACUCCUUCAAAAACUUGUCAAGGCAUGCAUCUUGUUGAAACUUCCAUUAAGCGCUUUCGAUCCAUCUCCAUAGAUCUUUGAUGCUCAACGUUCAAGUAGCGCAAUCCAGGUACUCCUUUGAAAACUCCUUUCAAACAACCUUGUAUGCUUUACAGAAAUUCUACAUUACUUCUGAUCCACAAUAUGUCAACCACAUAUACUUAUCAGAAAUUCUAUAGUGCUCCCACUCACUUCUUUGGAAAUACAAGUUUCUCAUAAACCUUGUACAAACCCAAAAUCUUUGAUCAUCUCAUCAAAGUGUAUAUUCUAACUCCGAGAUGCUUGCACCAGUCCAUUGAAGGAUCGCUGGAGCUUGCAUACUUGCUAGUAUCUUUAGGAUCGACAAAACCUCCUGGUUUUAUCACAUACAAUGUUUGCUCAAGGAAACCGUCGAGGAAACAAUGUUUUGACAUCCUAUGUGCAAUAUUUCAUAAAUAAUGCAACAACUACUAACAGAAUUCUAACAGACUUUCAGCAUCGCUACGAGUGAGAAAGUCUCAUCAUAGUCAACUGUUUGAUCUUGUCGGAAACAUCUUUGCGACAAGUCGAGCUUUUCUUAAUAGUGACUUAUCACCAUCAUCAUCUGUCUUCCUUUUAAAGAUCCAUUUUUACUCAAUAGUCCUAUGACCAUCAAGUAGUUCUACCAAAGUCUACACUUUGUUUUCACACAUGGAUCCUCUCUCGGAUUUCAUGGCUUCCAGCCAUUUGUCGGAAUCUGGGCCCACCAUCGCUUUCUCCAUAACUCGUAGGUUCACUGUUGCUCAACAACAUGACCUCCAAGACAGGGUUACCGUACUACUCUGCAGCAGUACGCGACCAUGUCGACCUACGAGGUUUGUAGUAACUUGAUUCGAAGCUCAAUGAUCAUCAUCAUCAGCUUCCACUUCAAUUGGUGUAGGCGCCACAUGAACAACUUCCUGCGCCCUGCUACACACUGGUUGAAGUGAUGGUUCAAUAACCUCAUCAAGUUCUACUACCCUCCCAUUCAAUUCUUUCGAGAGAAACCUUUCCUCGAGAAAGGAUCUGUUUCUAGAAACAAACACUUUGCUUUCGGAUCUGAGAUAGGAGAUGUACCCAACUGUUUUGGAUACCCUAUGAAGAAGCAUUUAUCCGCUUUGGGUUCGAGCUUAUCAGACUGAAACUUUUUCACAUAAGUGUCGAAACCCCAAACUUUCAAGAAACGACAGUUUAGAUUUCUCUAAACCUCAGUCUAUACUGUGUCAUCUCAAAGGAAAUACGCGGUGCCCUAUUUAACGUGAGUGCGGUUGUCUCUAAUGCAUAACCCAUAAACGAUAGUGGUAAUUCGACAAGAGACAUCAUAGUAUGCACCAUACCAAAUAGUGCGUGGCUAUGACGUUCAGACACAUCAUCACACUAUGAUGUUCCAGGUGGCAUGAACUGCGAAACAAUUUCCACAUUGUCUUAACUGCGUACCAAAACUUGUAACUCAGAUAUUCAUUUCUAUGAUCAUAUCGUAGACAGUUUAUCCUCUUGUUACGACGAACUUCACUCUGAAACGGAUUUGAACUUUUCAACAUUUCAGACUUGUGAUUCAUUAAGUAAAUACUCUUGUAUCUACUCAAAUCGUCAGUGAAGUAAGAACAUAAUGAUAUCCACUGCGUGCCUCAGUACCCAUUGGACUGCAUACAUCAAAAUGUAUCACUUCCAACAAGUUACUAUCUUAUUUCAUCUCAAUGAAAACAAGGCCUUGCUCAUGUGGUAUGGUUUGCAUGUCACUAGUGAUUCGAAAUCAGGUGAGUACAAAGAUCCAUCAGCAUGGAGCCUCUUCAUGCAAUUUAUACUAACAUGACUCAAGCGGCAGUGCCACAAGUAAGUGGUACUAUCAUCAUUAACUCGUAUCUUUUUGGCACCAAUAUUAUGAACAUGUGUAACACUACGAUCGAGAUUCAAUAAACCAUUGAAGGUGAUUAUUCAAGAAAAUAGAGUAACCAUUAUUCUCUUUAAAUGAAUAAUCGUAUUGCAAUAAACACGAUCCAAUCAUGUUCAUGCUUAACGCAAGCACCAAAUAACAAUUAUUUAGGUUUAACACCAAUCCUGAUGGUAGAGGGAGCGUGCGACGUUUGAUCAUAUCAACCUUGGAAACACUUCCAACACGUAUCGUCACCUCGCCUUUAGCUAGUCUCCGUUUAUGCCGUAGCUUCCAUUUCGUGUUACUAAUCACUUAGCAACCGAACCGGUAUCCAAUACCCUCAUGCUACUAGGAGUACUAGUAAAGUACACAUCAACAUCAUGUAUAUGUAAUAUACUUGUCUUGACUUUUGCUAGCCUUCUUAUCUACCAAGUAUCUAGAGUUGCUCCGCCUCAGUGACUGUUCCCCUCAUUACAGAAGCACUUAGUCUCGGGUUUGGGUUUAAUCUUGGGUCUCUUCAUUAGUGUAGCAACUGUUUUGCCGUUUCACGAAGUAUCCCUUCUAGCCCUUGCCUUUCUUGAAACUUAGUGGUUUUACAAACCAUCAACUAUUGAUGCUCCUUCUUGAUUUCUACUUUCGUAGUGUCAAACAUCGCGAAUCGCUCAAGGAUCAUUGUAUGUAUCCUUGAUAUGUUAUAGUUCAUCACGAAGCUCUCACAGCUUGGUGGCAGUGACUUUGGAGAACUAUCACUAUCUCAUCUGGAAGAUUAACUCCCACUUGAUUCAAGCGAUUGUCGUACUCAGACAAUCUGAGCACACGCUCAACGAUUGAGCCUUUCUCCUUUACUUUGUGGACAAAGAAUCUUGUCGGAGGUCUCGUACCUCUUAACAAGGGCACAAGCAUGAAAUCACAAUUUCAUCUCUUUAGAACAUCACUCAUGUUCCGUGACGUUUUACAACGUUUUCGGCGCCUUGCUUCUAAGCCAUUAAGUAUUUUGCACUGAACUAUCGUGUAGUCAUCAGAAACGUGUAUGUCGGAUGUUCAUAGCAUCCACAGACGACGCUCGAGGUGCAGCACACCGAGUGGUGCAUUAAGGACAUAAUCCUUCUGCGCAGCAACGAGGACCAUCCUCGGUUUUACAGACCCAGUCUGCAAAGUUUUGCUACUAUCAAUUUUCAACUAAAUUUUCUCUAGGAACAUAUAAAAACAGUAGAGCUAUAGCGCAAGCUACAUCGUAAUUCGCAAAGACCAUUAGACUAUGUUCAUGACAAUUAGUUCAAUUAAUCAUAUUACUUAAGAACUCCCACUCAAAAAAGUACAUCUCUCUAGUCAUUUGAGUGGUACAUGAUCCAAAUCCACUAUCUCAAGUCCGAUCAUCACGUGAGUCGAGAAUAGUUUCAGUGGUAAGCAUCUCUAUGCUAAUCAUAUCAACUAUACGAUUCAUGCUCGAUCUUUCGGUCUCAUGUGUUCCGAGGCCAUGUCUGCACAUGCUAGGCUCGUCAAGCUUAACCCGAGUGUUCCGCGUGCGCAACUGUUUUGCACCCGUUGUAUGUGAACGUUAAGUCUAUCACACCCGAUCAUCACGUGGUGUCUCGAAACGACGAACUGUAGCAACGGUGCAUAGUCGGGGAGAACACAAUUUCGUCUUGAAAUUUUAGUGAGAGAUCACCUCAUAAUGCUACCGUCGUUCUAAGCAAAAUAAGGUGCAUAAAAGGAUUAACAUCACAUGCAAUUCAUAAGUGACAUGAUAUGGCCAUCAUCACGUGCUUCUUGAUCUCCAUCACCAAAGCACCGGCACGAUCUUCUUGUCACCGGCGUCACACCAUGAUCUCCAUCAUCAUGAUCUCCAUCAACGUGUCGCCAUCGGGGUUGUCGUGCUACUCAUGCUAUUACUACUAAAGCUACGUCCUAGCAAAAUAGUAAACGCAUCUGCAAGCACAAACGUUAGUUAUAAAGACAACCCUAUGGCUCCUGCCGGUUGCCGUACCAUCGACGUGCAAGUCGAUAUUAACUAUUACAACAUGAUCAUCUCAUACAUCCAAUAUAUCACAUCACAUCGUUGGCCAUAUCACAUCACAAGCAUACCCUGCAAAAACAAGUUAGACGUCCUCUAAUUUUGUUGUUUGCAUGUUUUACGUGGUGACCAUGGGUAUCUAGUAGGAUCGCAUCUUACUUACGCAAACACCACAACGGAGAUAUAUGAAUUGCUAUUUAACCUCAUCCAAGGACCUCCUCGGUCAAUUCCGAUUCAACUAAAGUUGGAGAAACUGACACCCGCCAGUCAUCUUUGAGCAACGGAGUUACUCGUAGCGAUGAAACCAGUCUCUCGUAAGCGUACGAGUAAUGUCGGUUCGAGCCGCUUCGAUCCAACAAUACCGCGGAAUCAAGAAAAGACUAAGGAGGGCAGCAAAACGCACAUCACCGCCCACAAAAACUUUUGUGUUCUACUCGAGAAGACAUCUACGCAUGAACCUAGCUCUGAUACCACUGUUGGGGAACGUCGCAUGGGAAACAAAAAUUUUCCUACGCGCACGAAGACCUAUCAUGGUGAUGUCCAUCUACGAGAGGGGAUGAGUGAUCUACGUACCCUUGUAGAUCGUACAGCAGAAGCGUUAGUGAACGCGGUUGAUGUAGUGGAACGUCCUCACGUCCCUCGAUCCGCCCCGCGAACAAUCCCGCGAUCAGUCCCACGAUCUAGUACCGAACGGACGGCACCUCCGCGUUCAGCACACGUACAGCUCGACGAUGAUUUCGGCCUUCUUGAUCCAGCAAGAGAGACGGAGAGGUAGAAGAGUUCUCCGGCAGCGUGGCGGUGCUCCGGAGGUUGGUGAUGACCUUGUUUCAGCAGGGCUCCGCCCGAGCUCCGCAGAAACGCGAUCUAGAGGAAAAACCGUGGAGGUGUGUGGUCGGGCUGCCGUGGAAAAGUCGUCUCAAAUCAGCCCUAAAACCUCCGUAUAUAUAGGUAGGAGGGAGGGGAGGAGGCAGCCUCAAAACCUAAAGGUUUGGCCGAAAUUGGAGGUGGAGGAGUCCUACUCCAAUCCUACUUGGAGUAGGAUUCCACCUUCCCACUUGGAAACUCUUUCCACCUUGUGUUUUUUCCUUCUCAAACCUUAUGGGCCUUAGUGGGAACUUAUUCCAGCCCACUAGGGGCUGGUUUAUCUCUUCCCAUAGCCCAUGAGACCCCUUGGGGCGUGACACCCCUCCCGAUGGUCCCCGGCACCCCUCCCGGCACUCCCGGUACACUACCGAUGAGCCCGAAACUUUUCCGGUAAUGCACGAAAACCUUCCGGUAACCAAAUGAGGUCAUCCUAUAUAUCAAUCUUCGUUUCCGGACCAUUCCGAAAACCCUCGUGACAUCCGUGAUCUCAUCCGGGACUCCGAACAACAUUCGGUAACCAACCAUAUAACUCAAAUACGCAUAAAACAACGUCGAACCUUAAGUGUGCAGACCCUGCGGGUUCGAGAACUAUGUAGACAUGACCCGAGAGACUCCUCGGUCAAUAUCCAAUAGCAGGACCUGGAUGCCCAUAUUGGAUCCUACAUAUUCUACGAAGAUCUUAUCGUUUGAACCUCAGUGCCAAGGAUUCAUAUAAUCCCGUAUGUCAUUCCCUUUGUCCUUCGUAUGUUACUUGUCCGAGAUUAGAUCGUCAGUAUCCGCAUACCUAUUUGAAUCUCGUUUACCGGCAAGUCUCUUUACUCGUUCUGUAAUACAAGAUCCCGCAACUUACACUAAGUCACAUUGCUUGCAAGGCUUGUGUGUGAUGUUGUAUUACCGAGUGGGCCCCGAGAUACUUCUCCGUCACACGGAGUGACAAAUCCCAGUCUUGAUCCAUACUAACUCAACUAACACCUUCGGAGAUACCUGUAGAGCAUCUUUAUAGUCACCCAGUUACGUUGCGACGUUUGAUACACACAAAGCAUUCCUCCGGUGUCAGUGAGUUAUAUGAUCUCAUGGUCAUAGGAACAAAUACUUGACACGCAGAAAACAGUAGCAACAAAAUGACACGAUCAACAUGCUACGUCUAUUAGUUUGGGUCUAGUCCAUCACAUGAUUCUCCUAAUGAUGUGAUCCCGUUAUCAAGUGACAACACUUGCCUAUGGUCAGGAAACCUUGACCAUCUUUGAUCAACGAGCUAGUCAACUAGAGGCUUACUAGGGACAGUGUUUUGUCUAUGUAUCCACACAUGCACUGUGUUUCCAAUCAAUACAAUUAUAGCAUGGAUAAUAAACGAUUAUCAUGAACAAAGAAAUAUAAUAAUAACUAAUUUAUUAUUGCCUCUGGGGCAUAUUUCCAACAAUUAGAUGUCAUUGAUAACGGGAUCACAUCAUUGGGAGAAUGAUGUGAUGGACAAGACCCAAUCCUAAGCCUAGCACUAGAUCGUAUUGUUCGUAUGCUAAUGCUUUUCUAAUGUCAAGUAUAUUUUCCUUCGACCGUGAGAUUGUGCAACUCCCGGAUACCGUAGGAGUGCUUUGCGUGUAUCAAACGUCACAACGUAACUGGGUGACUGUAAAGGUGCACUACGGGUACCUCUGAAAGUGUCUGUUGGGUUGGCACGAAUCGAGAUCGGGAUUUGUCACUCCGUGUGACGGAGAGGUACCUCUGGGCCCACUCGGUAGAACAUCAUCAUAGCUCAAUGUGACUAAGGGGUUAGUCACACGAUGACGUGCUACGGAACGAGUAAAGAGACUUACCGGUAACGAGAUGGAACAAGGUAUAGGUAUACCGACGAUCGAAUCUCGGGCAAGUUCUAUACCGACAGACAAAGGGAAUCGUAUACGGGAUUGAUUGAAUCCUUGACAUCGUGGUUCAUCCGAUGAGAUCAUCAUGGAGCUAGUGGGAGCCACCAUGGGUAUCCAGAUCCCGCUGAUGGUUAUUGGCCGGAGAGGUGUCUCGGUCAUGUCUGCCUGUCUCCCGAACCCGUAGGGUCUACACACUUAAGGUUCGAUGACGCUAGGGUUAUAGGGAAUUGUUGUACGAGGUUACCGAUAGUUGUUGGGAGUCCCGGAUGAGAUCCCGCACGUCACGAGGAGCUCCGGAAUGGUCUGGAGGUAAAUAUUGAUAUAUAGGACGGAUGGUUUCGGACACCGGAAGUGUUUCGGGCAUCACCGGUAACGUACCGGGACCACCGGGACCACCGGAGGUGGUCCCGGGGGACCACCGAAGGGGGGCUGCGACCCCGGGAGGUAAGGUGGGCCAAGUGGGGGUGAGAACCAGCCCCUAGUUGGGCUGGUGUGCCUCCCCACUCAGCCCAUGGCGCAGGGGAAAGAAAAAAAGGGGGGGCAAACCCUAGGCCAGGUGGGCCUAAGGCCCACCAGUGGGUGCGCCACCCCCUCCUCCCCAUCUGGCCGCCGCACCACCCAUCUGGGAGGGCUGCCGCACCCCCUAGGGUGGGAACCCUAGGGGUGGCACCCCCUCUCCCCUUCCCCUAUAUAUAGUGGGCACUUUUGGCCUUUGGAGGACACGGUUUUCCCUCUCCUUCGGCGCAGCCCUGCACUUCUUCCUCCUCCUCUUUGCCGGCGCUUGGCGAAGCCCUGCCGGGAGACCUCGUCUCUCCACCGACACCACGCCGUCGUGUUGCUGGACUUCUUCCCCAACCUCUCCCUCCUCCUUGCUGGAUCAAGGUGCGGGAGACGUCACCGGGCUGCACGUGUGUUGAACGCGGAGGUGCCGUUGUUCGGCACUAGAUCGGAAUCGCCGCGAGUACGACUCCAUCAACCGCGUUCUAGCAACGCUUCCUCUUAGCGAUCUUCAAAGGUAUGAAGAUGCUCUUACCCCUCUCUCGUUGCUGGUCUCUCCAUAGGAAGAUCUGAACAUGCGUAGGAAAAUUUUGAAUUUAUGCUACGUUACCCAACAAUGGUAUCAGACCCAGGUUUUCUAUGCGUAGAUUCUAUGCACGAGUAGAACACAAAAGUUGUGGGCGAUGGUUUGGUAAUUUGCUUGCCGUUACUAGUCUUAUUCUUUUCCGGCGGUAUUGUGGGAUGAAGCGGCCCGGACCGACCUUACAUGUACGCUUACGUGAGACUGGUUCCACCGACAGACAUGCACAUCGUGCAUAAAGGUGGCUAGCGGGUGUCUGUCUCUCCUACUCUAGUCGGAUUGGAUUUGAUGAAAAGGGUCCUUAUGAAGAGUAAAUAGCUUUGGCAUAUCAUCGUUGUGGCUGUCACGUAGGUAAGAAGGCGUUCUUGCUAGAAACCCAAAUCAGCCACGUAAAACUUGCAACAACAAUUAGAGGACGUCUAACUUGUUUUUGCAGGGUUUGACAUGUGAUGUGACAUGGCCAAAGUUGUGAUGUUGCAUGUAUGAUGUAUGAGAUGAUCAUGUUAUUGUAAUAGGUUUCACGACUUGCAUGUCGAUGAGUAUGACAACCGGCAGGAGCCAUAGGAGUUGUCUUAAUUUAUUGUAUGAGAUGCAACGCCAUGUGCUUACUAUUUUACUUCAUUGCUAACGAUUAGCCAUAGUAGUAGUGAUAGUAGUAGUUGGCGUGACGACUUCACGGAGACACGAUGAUGGAGAUCAUGGUGUCACGCCGGUGACAAUGAUGAUCAUGCGAUGCCUGAAGAUGGAGAUCGAAAGAGCAAAGAUGAUAAUGGCCAUAUCAUGUCACUAUAUGAUUGCAUUGUGAUGUUUAUCAUGUUUUACAUCUUAUUGCUUAAAACGACGGUAGCAUAAUAAGAUGAUCCCUCUUAAAAUUUCGAGAACGUAUUCCCCUAAGUGUGCACCGUUGCGAAGGUUCGUUGUCUCGAAGCACCACAUGAUGAUCGGGUGUGAUAGAUUCUAACGUUCGCAUACAACGGGUGUAAGCCAGAUUUACACACGCGAAACACCUAGGUUGACUCGACGAGCUUAGCAUGUACAGACAUGACCUCGAAUACAAGAGACCGAAAGGUCGAACAUGAGUCGUAUGGUUGAAUACGAUCAGCAUAAGUUGCUCACCAUGGUGACUAGUCCGUCUCACGUGAUGAUCGGACACGGGUUAGUCAACAUGGAUCAUGUAUCACUUAGAUGACUAGAGGGAUGUCGAUUUAAGUGGGAGUUCAUACUUAAUUUGAUUAAAUGAACUUAAUUGUCAUGAACUUAGUCUAAAAGUUGUCUUUACAAAUAUUAUAGAUGUCCAACGUCAACCUCAACUUCAACGCAUUCCUAGAGAAAAACAAGCUGAAAGAUGAUGGUAGAAACUAUGCGGACUGGGUUCGCAACCUGAAGCUCAUCCUUGAAGCAAGUAAAAAAGGCUUAUGUCCUUAAUGCGCCGCUAGGUGACCCUCCCGCUCCCGCAGCAGCCCAGGACAUUCUAAACAUCUGGCAAGCGCGGAGUGAUGACUACUCUCUGGUCAGGUGUGGCAUGUUAUACAGUUUAGAAACGGGGCUCCAAAGACGUUUUGAGCAACACGGGGCAUAUGAGAUGUUCCAAGAGCUGAAGCUAGUUUUUCAAGCUCAUGCCCGUGUCGAGAGAUAUGAAGUCUCCGACAAGUUCUUCAGCUGUAAGAUGGAGGAGAACAGUUCUGUCAGCGAGCACAUACUCAAAAUGUCUGGGUUACACGGUCGUCUGACUUCACUUGGAGUCGAACUUCCGGAUGAUGCUAUCAUUGACAGAAUCCUCCAGUCUCUCCCACCAAGCUACAAAGGCUUUGUGCUUAACUACAACAUGCAAGGGAUGGAGAAAACCAUUCCCGAGUUGUACUCGAUGCUCAAGUCUGCAGAAGUAGAAAUCAAGAAGGAGCAUCAAGUGUUGAUGGUCAACAAGACCACUAGUUUCAAGAAAGGCAGGGGUAAGAAGAACUUCAAGAAAGACGGCAAAGCUGUUGCCGCGCCCGGUAAGCCAGAUGCCGGGAAGAAGAAAAAGAACGGACCCAAGCCUGAGACUGAGUGCUUCUAUUGCAAGGGAAAGGGUCACUGGAAGCGGAACUGCCCCAAAUACUUAGCGGACAAGAAGGCCGACAACGUUAAAGGUAUAUUUGAUAUACAUGUUAUUGAUGUGUACCUUACCAGCGCUCGUAGUAGCUCCUGGGUAUUUGAUACCGGUGUUGUUGCUCACAUUUGCAACUCAAAGCAGGAACUGCGGAAUAAGCGGAGACUGGCCAAGGACGAGGUGACGAUGCGCGUCGGAAAUGGUUCAAAGGUCGAUGUGAUCGCCGUCGGGACGCUACCUCUACAUCUACCGUCGGGAUUAGUUUUGAACCUUAAUAAUUGUUAUUUAGUAUCAGCUUUAAGCAUGAACAUUGUAUCAGGGUCUUGCUUAAUGCGAGACGGCUACUCAUUUAAGUCAGAGAAUAAUGGUUGUUCUAUUUAUAUGAGUGAUAUGUUUUAUGGUCAUGCUCCGCUGGUGAAUGGUUUAUUCUUGAUGAAUCUCGAUCGUGAUGUUACACAUAUUCAUAGCGUGAGUACCAAAAGAUGCAAAGUUGAUAAUGAUAGUCCCACGUACUUGUGGCACUGCCGCCUUGGUCAUAUCGGCGUUAAACGCAUGAAGAAGCUCCAUACUGAUGGACUAUUAGAGUCUCUUGACUUUGAAUUAUUUGACACAUGCGAACCGUGCCUCAUGGGCAAGAUGACUAAGACUCCAUUCUCAGGAAUAAUGGAGAGAGCAACCGACUUAUUGGAAAUAAUACAUACUGAUGUGUGUGGUCCAAUGAACGUUGAAGCUCGCGGUGGUUAUCGUUAUGUUCUCACUCUCACCGAUGAUUUGAGUAGGUAUGGGUAUAUCUACUUGAUGAAGCACAAAUCUGAGACGUUUGAAAAGUUCAAGGAAUUUCAGAGUGAGGUUGAGAAUCAACGUGACAGAAAAAUUAAAUGUCUACGAUCCGAUCGUGGAGGAGAAUAUUUGAGUCACGAGUUUGGCACACACCUAAGGAAUUGUGGAAUCGUUUCACAACUAACGCCGCCUGGCACACCGCAGCGCAACAGAGUGUCUGAACGUCGUAAUCGCACUUUAUUAGAUAUGGUACGAUCUAUGAUGUCUCUCACCGACUUACCGCUAUCAUUUUGGGGAUACGCAUUAGAAACUGCAGCAUUCACUUUAAAUAGGGCACCGUCUAAAUCCGUUGAGACGACACCGUAUGAACUAUGGUUUGGCAAGAAACCUAAGUUGUCGUUUCUUAAAGUUUGGGGCUGCGAUGCUUAUGUGAAGAAACUUCAACCAGAAAAGCUCGAACCCAAAGCGGAGAAAUGCGUAUUCAUAGGAUACCCUAAGAAAACUAUUGGGUAUACCUUCUAUCUUAGAUCCGAAGGUAAAACCUUUGUUGCCAAGAACGGAUCCUUUCUAGAGAAAGAGUUUCUCUCGAAAGAAGUAAGUGGGAGAAAGGUAGAACUUGAUGAGGUAAUUACACCCCCUCUCGAACAGGAAAGUAGCGCAGCACGGGAAGUUGUUCCUGUGGCGCCUACACCGACUGAAGAGGAAGUUAAUGAUGAUGAUCAUGAAGCUUCGGAUCAAGUUACUACUGAACCGCGAAGGUCCACAAGGGUACGCUCCGCACCAGAGUGGUACGGCAACCCUGUGAUGGAAAUCAUGUUGUUAGACAACGGUGAACCUUCGAACUAUGAAGAAGCAAUGGCGGGCCCGGAUUCCAACAAAUGGCUUGAGGCCAUGAAAUCCGAGAUAGGAUCCAUGUAUGAGAACAAAGUAUGGACUUUGAUGGACUUGCCCGAUGACCGGCGAGCCAUAGAAAAUAAAUGGAUCUUCAAGAAGAAGACUGAUGCAAAUGGUAAUGUAACCGUUUACAAAGCUCGACUUGUCGCAAAGGGUUUUCGACAAAUUCAAGGAGUUGACUACGAAGAGACUUUCUCUCCCGUAGCGAAGCUGAAAUCAGUCCGAAUCAUGUUAGCAAUUGCCGCCUUUUAUGAUUAUGAAAUUUGGCAAAUGGACGUCAAAACAGCGUUCCUUAACGGGAACCUUAAAGAAGAGUUGUAUAUGAUGCAACCAGAAGGUUUUGUCGAUCCUAAGGGUGCUAACAAAGUAUGCAAGCUCCAGCGCUCCAUCUAUGGGCUGGUGCAAGCAUCUCGGAGUUGGAACAUUUGCUUUAAUGAAGUGAUUAAAGCGUUUGGGUUCAUACAGGUUUACGGAGAAGCCUGUCUGUACAAGAAAGUGAGUGGGAGCUCUGUAGCUUUCCUCGUACUAUAUGUAGAUGACAUAUUAUUGAUGGGGAAUAAUAUAGAGAUGUUGGAGAGCAUAAAGGCCUAUUUGAACAAGAGUUUUUCAAUGAAGGACCUUGGAGAAGCUGCAUACAUAUUAGGCAUCAAGAUCUAUAGAGAUAGAUCGAGACGCCUCAUAGGUCUUCCGCAAAGUACAUACCUUGACAAGAUAUUAAAGAAGUUCAAUAUGGAAAACUCAAAGAAAGGGUUCUUGCCAGUUUUGCAAGGUAUGAGAUUGAGUAAGACUCAGUCACCGACCACGGCAGCAGAUAGAGAGAAGAUGAGUUCUGUCCCCUACGCUUCAGUCGUGGGCUCUCUAAUGUAUGCCAUGCUGUGUACCAGACCUGAUAUAAACCUUGCCAUAAGCUUGGUAGGGAGGUACCAAAGUAAUCCCGGUGCGGAACACUGGACAGCGGUCAAGAAUAUCCUUAAGUACCUGAAAAGGACUAAGGAAAUGUUUCUCGUUUAUGGAGGUGACGAAGAGCUCGUCGUAAAGGGUUACGUCGACGCUAGCUUCGACACAGAUCCGGAUGACUCUAAGUCACAGACCGGAUACGUAUAUGUGUUGAAUGGUGGGGCAGUGAGCUGGUGCAGCAGCAAGCAAGAAGUCGUGGCAGCAUCUACAUGUGAAGCGGAGUACAUAGCUGCUUCAGAAGCGGCUCAUGAAGGAAUUUGGAUGAAGGAGCUCAUCACCGACCUUGGAGUGGUUCCAAGCGCGUCAGGUCCUAUGACACUCUUCUGUGAUAACACUGGAGCCAUUGCCAUAGCCAAGGAGCCCAGGUUUCACCGGAAGACGAAGCACAUCAAGCGCCGCUACAACUCCAUCCAGGACCAUGUCCAGAGUGGAGUGAUAGAUAUUUGUAAAGUACACACGGAUCUGAAUAUUGCAGACCCGUUGACUAAACCUCUUCCACGAGCAAAACAUGAUCGACACCAUGAUGCUAUGGGUGUUCGAUACAUCACAAUGUAACUAGAUUGUUGACUCUAGUGCAAGUGGGAGACUGUUGGAAAUAUGCCCUAGAGGCAAUAAUAAAAUGGUUGUUAUCAUAUUUCCUUGUUCAUGAUAAUCGUCUAUCGUUCAUGCUAUAAUUGUAUUAACAGGAAACAGUAAUACAUGUGUGAAUGAAUAGAUCACAAUGUGUCCCUAGCAAGCCUCUAGUUGGCUAGCUCGUUAGUCAAUAGAUGAUCAUGGUUUCCUGAUCAUGGGCNNNNNNNNNNNNNNNNNNNNNNNNNNNNNNNNNNNNNNNNNNNNNNNNNNNNNNNNNNNNNNNNNNNNNNNNNNNNNNNNNNNNNNNNNNNNNNNNNNNNAAGAAGAAGCAGCAACCUGGCAUUACCCAAGAAGAAGCAAGAAAAGGAGGGACGUACGGUGGGGAAGGUGUUGGAGGUGUAGGAGAUGAGCAUGCAGGUCUUGCCGACGGCGCCGUCCCCCACGGUGACGCACUUUAUGAACCUGGACGCGCUCAUCCUCCCUCUUUCCCUCGCUGCCGGUGAAGCUGCGGGCGAGACAGGGGGAGGAGGAGGAAGAAGAAGGGGAGGUGGGGAGCUGGUUAAGAUUUGGGGCCAGAGGAGCGAGGCCCAGGGCGGGGUGUGGAGGUUAAGAUUGGGGGGCGCGGCGCGGGGGCGGGGACAAAUGGAGGGGAGCGCGGGGGAGGGGGAGGAGAGGGAUGCGGGGGUGCGGCCGAGGAAGCGGUCUCCGCGCCGAAUCGCUGGGUGCCUCCGCUUAGCCUGGUCGCUACGCUCGCCGAGGGAGAAGAAGAGAACCAACGGUGGGUGGGGUGGGUGGGGGUGGACACGGUGUGCGCGCGCAUCAUUUCCUUCUUUAUUACCGCCCGCUCCUGCCCGGCCCCGGCACCGGCACCGGCAGCGGCAGCAGCAGCCAUCAUCACGCCCCGCCCCAUAAUUAAUUUCCUGGCUAAUCCCGCGUGCAAACUCGUUCAUCCAUUCAUUCAUCACAGUUUUCCACCGAGUACAAAUGUUUCUUCUCAGCAAAAAAUAUUAAACUUCUGUUAUAGACAGUGCAAACAGUUGAGUGUGUGUAAUCCGAUUCCAAAUGUGGGGAGUGAGAAUCUGAUGUGUAUCCUUGGCAGGGUCAGCUGUAUCGUCAUAAAUGUAGAAAUUGUGCUACGUUAGCCGCAGUAAGGCCAGCUUGAUUGAACGUGUGGUCGAAAAGGUUGGAACGCUUAUCACGAGGCGCACAGCAAGAAUCCGUCGUAUGUGCUUGGCGGGGCUAGCUGUAUCGUCAUAAAUGUAGGAAUUGUGCUACGCUGGUCGUAAGUAAGGCCAGCUUGAUUGGCACAGAGCUCACGCGUGGUCAAAAAUGUUGUAGCGCUUACUACGAGUCAUAGUAAGAAUCCGUUGUGUAUCCUUGGUAGGGUUAGUUCUGUGGGGUUUAUAAAWAUUGGCCAAGGGGGGUUUCCUGUUUACCGGCUUGGGUUAGUAAAGUAAAGGCCCAACUUGAUUGGAUGUUNNNNNNNNNNNNNNNNNNNNNNNNNNNNNNNNNNNNNNNNNNNNNNNNNNNNNNNNNNNNNNNNNNNNNNNNNNNNNNNNNNNNNNNNNNNNNNNNNNNNGCCGUCGGCCGUCCUCCUCGCCGCCGCGCCGUCCUCCUCGCCGUCAUCGCCGUCCUCCUCGACGUCGCACCCGUCGCUCCUCGCCGUCGCGCCGUCCUCCGCGCCAUCCUCCUCGCCGCGCGCCGUCGACACCUCCGACCGGUAAGCCCCCCGCCCCACUCCUCCCCAACACUCCGGCCAGUAUAGAAGAAAAGAAGAAAAAAGGAGAAGAGAAGAAGAAAAAGGAGAAGAAAGGAAGAAAAAGGAGAAGAAAAGAAGAAAAAGGAGAAGAAGAAGAAGARAAAGAWAAAGAUUUUUUUUGUCAUUUAAUUCCUAUUGUUAUUAGGUUUGUGCUAGAUUAUUAGGGUUAGUAAUAUUUAGAAUUAGGUUAGGGUUACAAGAAGAAGAAAUAUGAACAAAAAUAAGAAAUAAGAUUAGGAAAAAUGAAAAUUAAGAAGAGGAGGAGAAGAAAAGAAGAAAAAAAUGUAUAUUGUAUAGUGUAUAUGCUUAAGUGUAUAGUGUAUAUAGUGUAUAGUGUAUAAGGAGAGGAGAAAUUUUUGCUAUAGUGUAUAUAGUGUAUAGUGUAUAAGAAAAGAAGAAAAGAAGAGGAGGAGAAGAGAAGAAAAGAAGAAGAGGAGAAGAAAAAUGAAAUAAGAAGAGGAGGAAUUUUGCUAUUGUAUAGUGUAUAUGCUUAAGUGUUAAUAGUGUUUCUUAGAUUAUUGCUUACUUUUGCUAUUAUAUAUGCUUAAGUGUUGAUAGUUUAAUUUUGCUAUUGUAUAUGCUUAAGUGUUAAUAGUUUAUUUUCAGCAAGAAAAUUAAUAGAACUAGUUUAUUUUUUAGUUCAUUUUACGAUGCCUAUCCCGCAUCCUCGUCGUCGACUCGGCGGAGGACACCUGCUUGAUCAGAGGGGCCCUGUCCGGGACUGGGCUCCGCCCGGCUGGUAUUGGGAGGUGCUACCUUCCGGGGGGCGUAGGUUGGUGAGGAGCCAGCCCGUCGUUGACCCGAUCCUUGUUUGGUGGCGGUCGCGUGGGCCAGUGAGGGUGCCGAGGCUUCCGGACACCGCGGAGGUGGUACGUCACCGUGUCAGCGAGGAGGAUGAGCACGUCCGUCGCUACAUGGUUGCGUUGGAGGGCAGGUUCGAGCAUACCUGGCAGGUUCUUCGGGGAUCUCACUGGAGCUAUGAUCCUGUGAUGGUUCCUUCUCUUUGGGUGUCCACCUCCCGCGCCGAUACCCGUCGGGCGCUACGGUUCUAGAUGUAUUAGUGAUGCUAUAUGUAUGAUAGUAUUCGAGGAGUAUUAGUGAUAAUAUUCAACGAUGUACGGACAAAAGUGAUGAUGUAUUAGCUUAUAAUUGAAUGCAUGCUAAUUUGAAUACUGCUUUAUUUUACGAUUUGGUUUUGCUUAUUGAAUGCUCAAAUUGGAAAAGUACUCCUACUUUGAAUACUAUGCAGAAAUUUAGGAGUCCCGGGUGGAGCCACGACCCGGGACUUAAGUUGUUUUGGAACGGAGUUCCUGAUAGAAUAAUUCUUUUUUGGUACAAAGGUUAAGAGAAUCCGUUUUUUGCAGAACUAUGGAUCCACAUAUCAGGAACCUCGAAGAGGAAGAACUUCUCGAAGAUAUAAUCAAAGACGGCCCCGACGUUGAACCAGCUGAAUCUCCGUCGUCAUAUCUAAACCAGGACGUUGGAAUGGAGGUCGAGCGACACGAAGAUGAAGCCGAUGGGGCAGGAGAUAGGUCCAAUGACGGAGAAGGUGAUAGCUCCACUGAUGGAGAAGCCGGUGAAGAGGAGAAGUCCGGCGAGGUAUACAUAUGAAGUUCGACAAUCACUUGUAAUAUGUGAAAAAUAUUGGAGAUAGCUCUAUAUUGUAUACAUAUACAUUCAUUUGACGAAUGUUUCUCCCUCUUAGGCCUCCACAUCGAGCAAAACUACGAAACGAGGCCCGACUAGAAACUUGGAUGCACGGACGCAUUACACAUUUGAGGUGAUAUUUCCUACGGGCGAACCCAAGCUUCCUAAGAAUGCUGCUGACACAUUCAAGAAGCCAUGCGGAGUUCUCGUUAGGGAUCACGUCCCGAUCAGCGUUCGGGAGUGGAACAAGCGCAAAGGGGCAGCCGAUAGUGACUAUGUCGCCGAAAGGUACAAAGAUAAUCUUUGGAAUGAUCUCAUAUCACAUUUCAACCUGCCAGAAUGUGAGAAUGAAGACGCCGCAGACAAACUGAGGGCCAAAGUCAAGCAGUGGACUCUGAAGAAGAUGGCUGAACUGUUCCGUAGCUGGAAGAAGAAGCUAUGGAAAAACUAUCUGAAGACACAGAAAGUGCCAGUAUUCGACGGGUAUCUAGCCAAGCAGGCGAAUCACUGGAAGGCAUUUCAAGAGUACAAGGAGUCAGAAGAUGCCCAGGCAUUAUCAGAAAAGAACAAGAUAAAUGCCGACAAGAAGAAAUAUCACCACAAGCUGGGGCCAGGGGGCUAUGAGACUGCCAUCCCAAAGUGGGAUAAGAAAGAUCAAGAUCUGAUAGAUAAAGGCAUCGUACCUGAACCACUCCGUGAUGAGUGGGAAUUGAGAGCAAGAAAUUGGUUCCUUGGGCAUGGUGGGUCGUACGACGAAACAACAGGGGACCUCAUCUGCAAUGACGAGCUUAGGAUACCCAGGGAGAAUUGGAAAAGGAUAGUGAAAGAAAUUAAGGAGGGACAAAGAAAGUUCACUGCAGAUAGAGAUAAAGAUUUGCUCACACUGGUCCUCGGCAAUGACGAACAUGGAGGACGAACGCGAGGCUUCGGUCCUUCUUACCCGUGGUGGCUUGGGUUUGCCAGAGACCAAGACACUUACAGAAGCCGAGAGAGAGCAAAGAAGCAGCAGCAGGAUGAGGAGAAUGACAAGUUCAACCAGUUGCUUGCCAGGAUUAACGAGCAACAGAAGCAGAUUGAUGAGCUUAGAGGAGUACCGCGCCAGGAAGAUCCUGCACUUGAUAUUACCGGCGCCCCAUCUAAGCGGAAAAGCAGCGUGGCUGAAUCUGAGGCCCCGCCCGAUGAUGAACGAAGAAUGAUAGAGGGCGGUCCCGGCUACCCCAUGGAUGGAAUCAAGGAGUCAACAUCAUGUGAACUCCAUCAGAAAUUCAAGAACAUAUCCAUGAAGGUGGCCGUCGGACAGUCGAUCCCACCCCUCAAGGUGUUAACCGAGAAUGUUCCCCCUCCGGUGUAGGGGCAAGCUUUUGAAAGAGCAAAGGAGUUGGCGGAUGAAUGUGGUAUCUCGGUUGAAGAUUUGCUCGCUUCCCAAGACGACAGGAUACCCAAGGCUGUGGUAGCCCCUAAGCCACAGUUUGUCAUGGGAGAGCCUUUGGUCAGCAAAGAUGAUCUCCCAACAAAUAUGCGUUACUUGCAUAAAUGGUACUUAAGUGAAUCAAAGAAUGGGAGAACGAUGAUCGUGUUGAGUGUCCCACGGGAGUACUACGGCCGCUCCGAAGAAAUCCAUAUCGACUUUGAUGAACUCUUCCAGAUGUACAAUGGCGACGCCCUCGACAAAUUGCUUAUGAGUUGCUAUUGUCUGUAAGUUUUUUAAUUCGUUGUCUAUAUAUAACUUGUUUAGUUAUUUCAAUUCAUUGUCUAUAUAUAACUUGUACUCUAUUAUGCAGAAUGAAGAGUCUGGAGUGUAAAAGUAAGAGCAUCCUAAAUAUUGGGUUUAUUGACCCAGAUAAAAUACAUAUAGCGACGUUAACUAACAAACCCAAGGAGACGGAGGAAAACCUUCUAAGGUUUCUAACAGAUCAAAAUUUCUAUGACCACAUACUGUUUCCAUACAACUUCAGGUGAGGGUCUUUACUCUGUUGUGUCCAUUCACUUAUAAGUGUAAUUGAUAAGUUACUGACACACACACACACACACACACACACAUAUAUAUAUAUACAUGUGCAGCUUUCAUUGGAUUCUGUUGGACAUUCAAAUUGAUAAGGGAAGAGUUGAUGCCUUCGACCCAUUAUCGAGACCCUUGGAACAGUUCCAAAGCCUGCAGGACAUGCUCCAAGGGUAAUUUUAAUCAUUCUUGCACUCUAUCGGUCUCUUUUGAUGAUUUUCUGAUAUAUCAAUUAAUGAAAAACUUAGCAAAUCAUUAUCCUUGUCGGGCAGGGUUUGGAAGCGGUUCAAGUGCGUGACUCCCGGUAACUUUCCUGAGAAGCUGACCUUUAGAGCGGCCCAGGUAAGUAGUAGUAUGAUAUACUUCUAUUUUCAAUACAUUUAUGAUGCUAGAUUAUUAUUUUGAUUAUAUAUAUUCUAUUCUCGUAAAGUGUGACCAGCAGCCACGGGGAACGCAUCUAUGCGGAUACUAUGUUUGCGAGACCAUUCGCACGUUUACCUCUGAGUUCAAGGAUCACAGAUUCGACGUAAGCAAUGAACAUUCACACCUCUAUUUUUACCCGUCAUUCUUUGUUAUCAUGAUUGAUAUUCAUAUUCAUCUCCUCUUCUUAUAUAGCACACGGCCAUGAGGACGAAGGUCCUACCACAGCAACGCGCGAUUGCUGUUGCAGAGGAGCUUGCGGGAUUUCUGAGGACGGAAGCUAUAGAAGACAAAGGACGAUUUAGUGUAGCUAAGGGCCAUUACUGAUGUUCGUCCAUGUAAUCGAAUAGACGGGCUCUAGUCCCGAUAAUUCAGAUCUCCAUAUAAUUGUAUAUAUAUGAUCGCUUGUAAGAUAAGUUAAUCUUAUAUAUAUAUAUAUAUAUAUAUAUAUAUAUAUAUAUAUAUAUAUAUAUAUAUAUAUAUAUAUAUAUAUAUAUAUAUAUAUAUAUAUAUAUAUAUAUAUAUAUACUAAUACUAMGUACUACUAACUACUAACGAACUACGUAACGACUAACGUACUACGUACUACUAACACCGUAACCAACCUUAAACAAACCUAACUAACUAAUAACCUAAACUAACAAACCAAUAACGAUAACNNNNNNNNNNNNNNNNNNNNNNNNNNNNNNNNNNNNNNNNNNNNNNNNNNNNNNNNNNNNNNNNNNNNNNNNNNNNNNNNNNNNNNNNNNNNNNNNNNNNGACUGUCAGUCACACGAGAUAAUACACGAAGGCGAAGGAAGGAAAGAAGGAAAAUACCAAACAAUGGAUCCGCCCGAUGCCUACGACAAGAGACCUUGCGUGGCGACGGCGUCGGCCGGGUCGGGGUAAACCGGUAGGRGKGKGGGUGGGGUGAGGGGAGGGAGGACGACCAUGAGAGUGCAGCUCCGCUGAAGCAAGACGUAACAAUAAUAUAGCAUGGCGGCAACUUCGCCCUUGUUCUUUGUCUACCGAUUGAUUAGAUCACAAGAUGGAGCAAGCCCCCCUCUGCGCCUUUUUCUUCUUCUUUGCCUUUGGUGGCUGCAGUACCACCUUUAUUGCCGCAUCAAAUACACCCUUGACAU